rnacentral:lncRNA from 1 species
GAACAACUUGAUCUCUAAACAAAAUUCGAUCUAUUAUGAAACAGUUUCCAAAAGCACUCUUGAUUGGACUCGGACUCGAACUCGCGGCUGAAAACUAUAACUUCCCGACUCGAUGUAGGACUCGAAGAGGGACUCGGUGUAGGACUGGAAGAAGGACUCGGUGUAGGACUUGAAGAGGGACUCGGUGUAGGACUCGAAGAGGGACUCGGUGGAAGAUAUGGUGGCUGCGGAAGAUUAUGGCGGUGGUGUGGCAGGAAGUUUGGCGGCGGAAGAUUGAUGAAGGAAACCUGCCUCACACGAAGAACAAGAAAACCAAAAGCAAGUUCGAUCUAGUAGAAAAAAUCUGAAAAACGAUCCAAUCUAAUCCAGCAACUCGACACGAUUAAUGCAGCAAAGAUUCAACAAUGCAAAUACUAAUAUGAAAAUUGCAAAGCUCAGAUUGGUUCUAGGACAAGGUAGCUAAUUCUAAUUUUUGUUUGGCUUUUUCUGGACGAUAGGUAAAAACAAAUCUAAACUACGGAUAAACUGGAAAAAUCUCACCGAGCAACCUUAAGCUCUGAUACCACGUGAUAGCCUCGAGGGUGUCCCGAUCUUUCGAUGAGAUACCUAAUUAUCGAUUUGGUAGGAGGUGACGUUGACGAUCCGACUACAACCUAGGAGGCAGCGCCUUAGCGAUCGAUACACCAACUCCAGAAGGUUAUUGAUCCCGCGGGGGCACGAUCAACCUGACCACGAAGGUCUUUGUUCCUGCAAGCAAUCGAAGAACAAGCAAGAACAAGAUGAAAAGCAAUCUGAAAUUGCGAAUAGGAGAGAUGAAGGUUCACGAAUCUGAAUACUCAAUAUAGUUAGAGUCUUGAUGACGGUAAAACAGGUGGUCUAACCGACACACGCGAUUACACGAAAGUAGCAAAGGCUAAACUUUAUCUAAUCAAAACCCAAGGCUCCAUGGGGGGGGGCUCAUGGGGUAUAAAUAGGAGGGGAACUAGGUGGUUUUCGGACAGGCCCUUGAGGGACUCCGAAACGGCCUAGGAAUCCUCCUAAAACACAACGAAAACAUCUAAAAAUUGGCUGGACCCUAUUAUAUGGCCUUAAGCCCAAUAAAGCAAGGUUAUAACCCUCAUCUUUGGCUCAUAGAUACCCAUUGGAGGGAGAAUCCUCCACUUGGCCGAAAUCCCAUUGAUAAAGAGGAUGCGGCCUUCUUCCCAUCUCUCGUUAUGGCGGUUUCAAUGUUCUGAAAUCAUCACUUGAGCUAGCUCCCGCCACCUUGCUGCCACCUCCAUGGCUUGCUGUCCAACGCUGAUCCUUGAGGUGCAAGCUAGGUCCUUCAUUCCUAAAACACAUAAAAGAACCCAUCUUAGGCAGCAGCAUAUUCUCAUUAAUAUUAAAUGAAGUACCGAGGAACGAAAGUACCUGAUAAUUUAGUUGUCGUGCACGAGCUCUAGUAAUUGGUCCGUGUAUCUCCGGUACUUGAGGUGUAUGUGCUGUAGGGGCUGUGGUUGUAUCAUUAGUUGGGAUGUCCUCAUCAAAAUCUAAGCGGAUAAUUGGUCUAUGAGGUGACACGCGUACAAUAGACUAGGAGGAGUAUUUUUUUUUUUGACCGGGAUUGUAUUACUCAUAACAGAAUGUGCUUACAAUCAGAGUACACAAAGGCCUGCACAGACGCAGGAACAGAAUUAAGAACAAAGCCACCACCUAAAGAGUUAGCGGCCAAUCUGGCAAGUUGGGCACUACAUUGUUAGUUAGGGGGGUGUAGCUGAAGCAAAUCCUGGGAACAGAGGAACUAAGGUGCCGGAUGUCACACAGGGUAGCAUGGAUAGCCGAUCUGCUAAUCGAGCCGGACAGGAGGGCACAGAUGACCUGGGAGCAGUCACUUUCGAUCACCAAGGGGAGGCUGCAGCGGUGAAUGGCGAUCUUGAGGCCUUCCAGGCAGGCGAUGGCUUCCGCUUCCUGGGCAUUAUAGCAAGGGGGGCCAGUGUUCCAAGUUGAGAAAAUGAUGGCGCCGAUGUCAUCGCGGAGGACAGCACCCCAGGCAGCCGACCCGUCGCCGGGAAAGAAGCUAGCAUCCACAUUCAGCUUCGCUUUCCUCGGGGAGGAGGGGUCCAGUUGGACGAGAGAGCUGUGGGCACUGGAUCCUUGGUAGUAAUGGAGGGGAUUAUGGUCUUCUUCCCCUUGUGGUCCGGUUUCGGGGGGUGCCCUGCAGCAGUAGACAUAGAGCAAGCAUAGGACCGAAUGAACUGAGUAGAAGCAGAGACAGAGGCAUCACCUUUCCCAAAGAUGAUGCUGUUCCUUAGGUGCUAGGCACGCCACCAGAGGAAGAGGAGCUUGGUGCGAUUGUCGUCGUCCACUUGGCUGAGAAGGAUCAAAACCCAAUCCUUGCCAGAAUAGCGGAGGCUAGAUUCCAUGGGCAGGUCCCAGACCUCCGUAGCGGCUUCGCGAAGAGCUUUUGCUUUGGGGCAGAUCAUAACGGCGUGGAAGCCGUCUUCUUGGCCAUAGCCGCAGAUGGAGCAAAUGGGGGAUAUCUUAGGGAACCGCCUGUGCCGAUUGACUUGGACAACAAGGGAGUCAGUGGCGAGCUUCCAUCUAAAGACUUUGACUUUAGGGGGAACAUUGGCGUUCCAAAUCAGAUUCCAGAGGGCACGUUGACCGUCAGUCUUAAGGCUGGUGCCAGUGCUGCCCAAAUUCUACUUGAGAUUGAGAGCCAGCCUAUACACGCUCUUGAUAGAGAAGCAGCCGGAGUUCUCGAAAUGCCACGCAAUGCAGUCUUCGGGAUUAGCUUGGGGAAUGCGGAUUUUGCAGAUUUCCUCCGCACCAAACUGGUGAAACAUUUGGUUUAAAAGAGUAACCUUCCAUUGUCUGGUAUCCUGGUCGACGAGGUCAGCAACCAGUCUAAGACGUCCAUGAUGGCUGCAAGCGGAGACACGCAGGUUGCCUCUAGGAAUCCAGUUAUCACGCCAGAUUUGAAUCUUCUUGCCGUCGCCAAUGCGCCAAAUUAGGCCGUGUUUCAGGAGCUCAAGGCCAUGCAUAAUACCUUGCCAACAGGGAGAAGGGUUCUUGAUAAAGGUAGUGUCCCAUAAAUUUCCGGCUGGAAAAUAUCUCGCUUUCAGAAGGCGGGCGCAGAGGCAAUCCGGAGUGGUGAUGAUGCGCCAAGCCUGUCGGGCAAGGAGGGCUUGACUGAAAAGGUGGAGGUCACGGAAGCCAAUGCCUCCGUGCAAUUUCGGUUUAAUCAUGUUGUCCCAGCUCAUCCAAUGGAUCUUUCUUCUGUUAGUUUCGUCUCCCCACCAAAAAUCUCUGAUUAAGUGACCCAGGUCUUCGCAAAGGUUGGCCAGGAGCUUGAAAAUACUCAUUGAGUAAGUGGGGAUAGCUUGGAGGAGACUUCUUUUCCUCCACAAGAGAGGUAUUUUUCUGACCAAUCAUUGCAUCGUUUGGACAUCUUCUCUUUCACAGAUUGGAAUUUCCCGUCUUUCAUUCUGCCUUCGGGUAUUGGGAGGCCCAAGUAUUUCUCCUCGAAGCAGGAUUGCUGAAUAUUAAGGAUGUUUUUGACAAUCCUCGUGUUUUUGUUGCUGCAUUUGUUCCCCAGCAAGAUGGAGCACUUCUCAGGGCUGAGGAGUUGGCCGGUUCCUUUCUCAUAGUGGUUCAAGAGAGUUUUGAUUUUCUCCGCCUGAUCUGCAUUUGCUUGGAAGAAAAGAAGGCAGUCAUCUGCAAACAGUAGGUGCGAGAUACCUGGGCUAUUACGACAGAUGCGGAGAGGCUUGAUGUUGGUCGCCCUCGUUCCUGGUCCAGAAGAACGGAGAGCCCCUCUACCACGAAGAGCAACAGGUAAGGGGAAAGGGGUCACCGUGUCGGAGUCCACGAGACGGCUGGAACCCUGGGAGCAGUUUCCCAUUGAAUCUGACGCGAUACCGAACAGAGGUAACACAGCUCAUGGUCCAAUUGAUCCACAUAUCGGCAAAACCCUGGUUGGUAAGAGCUUCUUUAAGGAAGUGCCAAUCGACCCUAUCGUAGGCUUUGGCAAGAUCCAGUUUGUAAGCGCAGUAGCGGCCUUUGGCAUCUUUGCAUUUCUGAAUGGAAUUGAAGCACUCGAAGGGGAUCAGGGCAUUGUUCGAGAUCAGUCUACCAGGGAUGAAGGCGCUCUGGUUUGGGGAGAUCAUGUCUUGGAGCAGUGGGCGAAGAUGGUUGCUCAUACAUUUUGCCACUAUUUUGUACACCACGUUGCAGAGGCCGAUGGGGCAGAAAUCUUUCAGCUUGAUUGGGUUCUUGCGUUUCGGAAUAAGGACAAUGGUAGUGUCGUUAACUUCGUCGGGCAUGGUGCUGGAGCGGAAGAACUCUUUGAUAGCUCGGAUGAUGUCUUCCUUAAUCGAGCCCCAUUGACGUUGAUAGAACCUGGCCAGGAUGCCGUCGGGUCCCGAAGCUUUCCACGGCCCAAUUUGGAACAGUGCUGUGCUAAUGUCAUCAUCCGUGAAUUCCUUGCAUAAAUCCUCAUUCAUGUGAUCAGUGAUCUUUGGUUGAAAGGCAAAGGAGACAAGGUUGGUAUCCACCGAGGGCUCGCUAGUGUACAAAUUCUAGAAGAAAGCAGCAGUCAGAUUCUCCAUUUCCUGAGGGAUGCUAGUCAAAGUGCCGUCUUGGCGUUCCAGGUUGUGGAUGUUCUUUUUUGCUCUCCAACUAGCUUUGCGGUGGAAGAAUAUGGUAUUUCUGUCGCCUUCCCGCAGCCAACCAAUCCGGGAUCGUUGGUUCCAAUACUUUUCCUCCAUGUCGAGGAAGUCAUCGAGGCGCCGUCCAAGGGCCACCGCCUCCCGGCACCCGCUUGGGGAACGGUCAGUCUGGGCAGUGGCAAGUUUUUUCCUCACGUUUUCGAUUUGCUUCGGAAUAUUGCCAGUGUGCUUGUUGUUCCAACUCUUCACGUGCUUCAGGGUAUUCGUGGCCAUGGAGGAGAUGUCACCGAGGUCGGACGAUUUGCACUGAGCAGCCCAGGCGGCGGAAAUUUCCUCAUCGAAGGUGUCCACCUGUUCCCAAUGGCCCUCAUAGCGAGUGCAAUUGGCUGAAACAGACGAAGGGUUAGCGGCGUACAGAUUGGUAGAAAGCAGAAUGGGGGAGUGGUCCGAGCGGGAAGAGACAAGGUGGCUCACCUGGAAAUGGGGGAACAGGUCAGUCCAGCCAGGGCAGGCGACCGCUCUGUCCAGCCGGACAUGGACGUUCCUAGGAUCUUGCUGAUUGUUGUCGAAAGUCCAAGGCAAGCCCUGGAAGCCCAAGUCGAAGAGGUUGUAGUCAGAGAGCGCUUCACGGAAGUCAAGCAUGUAACGUUCGUUUCGCUUGUUGUUUGAGAGAUGUUCAUGUUGCCACAUUGCUUCAUUGAAGUCGCCGAUCAUGCACCAAGGCCCUUGGCCCAAGGGCUUGAGGCGUCGGAGCAACUCCCACAUGUCGUGGUGGAGAUGAGCACACGGUUCACCAUAGACAAAAGGUGCAGCGCCAUUUUAUUCCAUUAGAAGGCAGAGAGAUAAAGGUAUCGAUGAAGCGAUUACCAAACUUAUUCAGGGACACGUCGAUGCUCUCAUCCUAGAAGAGAGCGAUGCCGCCUCCUUUGCUGUCGUUGGAGAUGGUGAAGACGUUUCGCAUGCCGAUGCGGUGGCGAAUGUUCUCCACGAAGUCCUUUCUUUGGUGGGUCUCGGAGAUGAACACAAUCUUUGGCUAGUGCACCUGGACCAAUCGGACGAGGUCUUGAACUGUUUGUGGGCGGCCCAACCCGGGCAGUUCCAGGCGAGGAUCGUCAUGGCUCCUGACAGGCACUAACAGACGUGCCUGUCAGGUCGCUGGCGGCCCCGGGGCUGGUUGCCUCCUUUUCAGUGUGCUCCUUGUCAUGCCCUGCCAUCUUCUUCUCCUCCGUCUCCCCCUAUCCCUCUCUCUCCUCAACUCUCUCAGUUACAUUGGUGUUUACAGAGUUUUCACUCCCCUUCUCUCCUAGAAUGAUAUCUAGAGAAACAGAGUCAUCUCCCCCGCCGGCAUUUGACAUGGCCGGAAUAGGGGAGAAUUGAGAGUCGAGCUCUCUAACUCUACGGAGCCCCUCCACUCCGAGACAGUCCUCGAGGGAGGGCCAAAGGCUGGCCUGCUUCUUCAUAGCAGGCUCGAGUUCCCCCUCUUCCUCCUGUGACGAUGGUCGGGGCCGCAGAGCCCCAAGGCGGAGAGCCUGGGUUGAUCGCGUGGAGUUUGUGCUGUCGCUGGGGGGGCGGCCCAGCCUUUUCCAGCAUCUGGGUCUUCUACCCAGGGACAGCGUGCACAAGCUGUCAUCGGCGGAGUCAGCUGGGGCGGUCAGAUCCUUGGCUGGGGCCGGGGAAUGCUUGUCGAUGGCAGUGCUUGGCGGGGUGAUGGUGUCGGCGGCGGCUUGUUGUUCCGGCGGAUCCUCGACCGCGGCAUCCUGCACUGGGAGCUUGGCCACCUCCGUGGUGACUAGGUUGGUGAUGGCGAGCUGACGGUUCGUGCGCGGCCUUGGGUGUUGGAGGAGCGCCAAGGAAGAGCAGCAGUUCGUUGUCGUCGUUCUUGGCCCGUGGAUUCAGGGAGUGGCCAGCACCUGGGGUCGUCAAGCUUGGUGGGUUCGACACCCAGGUCCAGGUUGAAGGAGUGCCUCCUGUUGGCUUCUGGCAGGGAGCAGAAGUCCUUGGUGUGGCUGAUGAGGCCACAGUGGAUGCAGAAGUUUGGAAGGCGCUCGUAGAAGAUGUUCACCACAACCUCGUCAUCGGUGAUCUCGUCGACGAGGGAGAUUUCCUUCUGCAGCAUCUUGUGAAUCGGGAGGAGGAUUCUAGCACGGACAAAUUUGCUGCAUAUAUCACCACUAGCAUUGUUAUCUAUGUUAAGGAGGGAACCAAGCUUACGCCCCAGCUCUCUGUUCAGCACCUUUGAGAGGAGGUAGAAGGGGAUGUUCUUGAAUUGCACCCAGAUGGGCACUCCACUGAAGGUCACGUUCUCCGGGUCUUUGCCGUCCUUCAUCGCCUCGAUUAGGACGGUGUCACCGCCGCGGUACCUCCACGGGCCGCCCCGGGUGACGUGGUUGAAGUCUCCUUCCUCCGUGAAUUCGAUGAUGAAGCGCUUGCCGCGUAGCGGGUGAGAGCUGACGCUGCCUCUCACCUUCUAGACCCUCCUCAAGUGGUCGACGACUUGCUUGGAGGAGACGACGAGCACGGUCAGGAUGAGGCCGACCGCGAGGAAGCGCCUGUGCAUCGAGGAUCUAGCCUUGGACAAGUUGAUGACGACGGUUUUCUUCUCCUCCAUCGGCCUUGGGUCCAGCAUGUGCUCCUUGCCCUUCUGCUUCCUGAGGGCGCCAGGGACUUCCUCCACGGAGGAAGCGUCUGUAAGCUGGGUUGCAGUGGGGUUAGGCGUCUGCGUAGCCUUCUCCCGUGGGCCGGCGUCCUCGCCGGUGGCCGACAGGUUGUCGCCAGCAGCCAGGCCAGUGCUGGGGUUCAUGGUGCAGAGGGGAUCUGGGUACCAGAUGGGUGGUGGAUCGGGGGAAGGAGCAAGUGGGGGGUGAACGCCGGAGGUGUGGAAAGGGAAUAAGUAGGCACUAGCCGGGGGAGGCAUCUCCGGCGGCGGCAUAGGGGAUUACUAGGGUGAGGAAUCAGGGAGUUAAGGACGAGCGAGGUGAUAGGAUUGGAGGGAUGACUCAGUGGGGCUGGAUUUGGGGGUGGUGGUGGUGGGGAUGUGGUGGGCGAGAUCAGGGGAGGAGGGGGGGAUGAACUGGGCGUCUAGGAGCGGGUGGGGGACCUCGGUUCGGAGGAGGCGGCCGCGCCACCGGGGGCGGGCGACGGGAACUGGGAAGUAGAGCGGAAAGGAAGGGAGGCGGCCUUCUCCUAGGAAGCGAAGAUUGCCUAGCCCUUGGCACGGCAGAUCUGCAGGCUUUGGAAGGGAUUGGGCGAACUCAAGAUCUGUCUCUUCAGGAAAAUUGAUGAGGACAUCCCAACUAAUGAUACAACCACAGCCCCUACAGCACCUACACCUAAAGUACCGGAGAUACAUGGACCAAUUACUAGAGCUCGUGCACAACAACUAAAUUAUCAGGUACUUUCGUUCCUCGGUACUUCAUUUAAUAUUAAUGAGAAUAUGCUGCUGCCUAAGAUGGGUUCUUUUAUGUGUUUUAGGAAUGAAUGACCUAGCUUGCACCUCAAGGAUCAGCGUUGGACAGCAAACCAUGGAGGUGGCAGCAAGGUGGCGGGAGCUAGCUCAAGUGAUGAUUUCAGAACAUUGAAACCGUCAUAACGAGAGAUGAGAAGAAGGCCGCAUCCUCUUCAUCAAUGGGAUUUCGGUCAAGUGGAGGAUUCCCCCUCCAAUGGGUAUCUAUGGGCCAAAGAUGAGGGUUAUAACCUUACUUUAUUGGGCCUAAGGCCAUGUAAUAGGGUCCAGCCAAUUUUUAGAUGUUUUCGUUGUGUUUUAGGAGGAUUCGUAGGCCGUUUCGGAGUCCCUCAAGGGCCUGUCCAAAAACCACCUAGUUCCCCUCCUAUUUAUACCCCAUGAGCGCCCCCAUGGAGCCUUGGGUUUUGAUUAGAUAAAGUUUAGCCUUUGCUACUUUCGUGUAAUCGCGUGUGUUGGUUAGACCACCUGUUUUACCGUCAUCAAGACUCCAACUAUAUUGAAUAUUUAGAUUCGUGAACCUUCAUAUCUCCUAUUCGCAAUUUCAGAUUGCUUUUCAUCUUGUUCUUGCUUGUUCUUCGAUUGCUUGCAGGAAGAAAGACCUUCGUGGUCAGGUUGAUCGUGCCCCCGCGGGAUCAAUAACCUUCUGGAGUUGGUGUAUCGAUCGCUAAGGCGCUGCCUCCUAGGUUGUAGUCGGAUCGUCAACGUCACCUCCUACCAAAUCGAUAAUUAGGUAUCUCAUCGAAAGAUCGGGACACCCUCGAGGCUAUCGCGUGGUAUCAGAGCUUAAGGUUGCUCGGUGAGAUUUUUCCAGUUUAUCCGUAGUUUAGAUCUGUUUUUACCUAUCGUCCAGAAAAAGCCAAAGAAAAAUUAGAAUUAGUUACCUUGUCCUAGAACCAAUCUGAGCCUUGCAAUUUUCACAUUAGUAUUUGCAUUGUUGAAUCUUUGCUGCAUUAAUCGUGUCGAGUUGCUCGAUUAGAUUGGAUCGUUUUUCAGAUUUUUUCUACUAGAUCGAACUUGUUUUUGUCUUUUGAUUUCGUGUGACGCAGGCUUUCCAUCAAACUUCCCGCCACACCACCGAGUCCCUCUUCGAAUCCUACACCGAGUCCCUCGUCGAGUCCUACACCGAGUCCCUCUUCGAAUCCUACACCGAGUCCCUCGUCGAGUCCUACACCGAGUCCCUCUUCGAGUCCUACAUCGAGUCAGCAAGUUAUAGUGUUUCAUAAUAGAUCGAAUUUUGUUUAGAGAUCAAGUUGUUCGGAAAGUUGUGAAAAAAAAAAGAAAGGAAAGAAAAAAAAAGAAAAGAAAGAAAAACAAAACGAAAAAAAAAAGGAAGAGUUCGAGUCAGUUUCGGACCCGAGUCCAAGUAGAAUUAGAGUUUCAGGUGGGUUUGACCCGUGUUCACUAAAACGGCCGUAUCUUUUGCAUACGAAGUCAGAUUUGGACGUUCCAGGACUUUUCGGAAAGCUCUCGACAAGGCGCAUCCUCUAAAAUUAACGGCUCCUUGACCCUCAAAUUCGGCUUCUAAGGUGGACUUUUCGUGCUCCGAAGUUUCUGCACCCGUUUUUCGGCACCGGGGCAGUGCAAUAUAUCUCAGUUUUCUCCACCGUCCGACCUCCGUUUCGAGUGAUCUUGCACUUGUUGGAAAGCUUGUUUUGAUACGCUUCUAACCCAUAUUUUCUCAUAUUUUUCUGAGUUUUCCUUACGACAGCCUUUGCUAUUCUCCUACAGACCGACGUGCAGCUUUCUGGUCUUAACUUCUUUUGCGUUAGUUUCUGGGGAUAAAAAAAACAGAAAAAAAAUAGAAAAAAAUAAGAAGCCAAACAGAAGGCCACAAAAAGAAAAAAAAAAGAGAAAAAAUACUCCCCAGAGAUUUACUUGGUUUACCUUUAAUUUGAUCUUUCCUUUCUACCUUUUUCAGUAUCUAGGCUUAGUUAAUUUCUGUAAUUCGUUCUUAUCGACUCCAGCAGCUAGGACUAGCAUUUUUGAGCAUAUUUUCAACUUUGCAUUGCUGAUUUGAUUAUUCGCUUUUCCUUGCUACUCACAUAAGCCUCCAAGCUCCACAGAUUCUACACCUAGGUUGGUUUGCCUCGAGGCAUCAAUACAUUAAUCUUCGGAGGGCUUGUUCUCGCCGCUGGCCAUCACCUUCCUGUUUGCUGGGUAAGAACGAGUAAGAACUUGAUUAAAAGUUGAGUGGAGUGAUUUUUGAAACCCCACAUCCUAGUAGUGCAUAGGGACUUUUCCUUGUGAUUUUUUUUCUUGUUUUCUCCUAACGAUGGCAGGUUCUGACGAUGAUUUACAAGGCCACUCUCCAGGCACAAAGGGCAUUAUUUCACAUUUUGAUCGCAAGCUUAGGCUUCGUAACGAGGAGCUGGAUGAGGACGUUCGGGUUGCGAAUGAGAGACUUGGAACCUUGGAGAGCGCGCACAUUGAAACAAAUACCAAGCUAACAUGUUUACAGAAUUCUGUUGCUACCAUUAGUACUUCUCUGGCAGAAAUCACGACGCAACUGGCGGCACUUGCUGCAACGACCAUUGCUACACCGGGAGGAAACAAUACACACAACCAGCGGACCGCUAAUAAUGGUACCUUCGCAAGCGAGGUUGAGGAGAACGACGACGACUACUCCGCGGAUACGGAACACGAUGGGGCCGUAAACCAUCACAACGUCCGUGAUCGUCGCCGAACUCGUUUCAACCGCCGAGGUAUGGGACCGACACGACCUCAAAGAGAGGAACAUGACUCGUUGCAUUCUAUUAAACUUAAGGUUCCUCCUUUUGAUGGAAAAUAUGACCCUGAUGCUUACCUUACAAGAAGGGGAGGAUGAUGAGGACAUCCCAAGUAAUGAUACAACCACAGCCCCUACAGCACCUACACCUCAAGUACCGGAGAUACAUGGACCAAUUACUAGAGCUCAUGCACGACAACUAAAUUAUCAGGUACUUUCGUUCCUCGGUACUUCAUUUAAUAUUCAUGAGAAUAUGCUGCUGCCUAAGAUGGGUUCUUUUAUGUGUUUUAGGAAUGAAGGACCUAGCUUGCACCUCAAGGAUCAGCGUUGGACAGCAAACCAUGGAGGUGGCAACAAGGUGGCGGGAGCUAGCUCAAGUGAUGAUUUCAAAACAUUGAAACCGCCAUAACGAGAGAUGAGAAGAAGGCCGCAUCCUCUUCAUCAAUGGGAUUUCGGCAAGUGGAGGAUUCCCCCUCCAAUGGGUAUCUAUGGGCCAAAGAUGAGGGUUAUAACCUUGCUUUAUUGGGCCUAAGGCCAUGUAAUAGGGUCCAGCCAAUUUUUAGAUGUUUUCGUUGUGUUUUAGGAGGAUUUCUAGGCCGUUUCGGAGUCCCUCAAGGACCUGUCCGAAAACCACCUAGUUCCCCUCCUAUUUAUACCCCAUGAGCCCCCCAUGGAGGGGUUUUGAUUAGAUAAAGUUUAGCCUUUGCUACUUUCGUGUAAUCGCUGUGUCGGUUAGACCACCUGUUUUACCGUCAUCAAGACUCCAACUAUAUUGAAUAUUCAGAUUCGUGAACCUUCAUAUCUCCUAUUCGCAAUUUCAGAUUGCUUUUCAUCUUGUUCUUGCUUGUUCUUCGAUUGCUUGCAGGAAGAAAGACCUUCGUGGUCAGGUUGAUCGUGCCCCCGCGGGAUCAAUAACCUUCUGGAGUUGGUGUAUCGAUCGCUAAGGCGCUGCCUCCUAGGUUGUAGUCGGAUCGUCAACGUCACCUCCUACCAAAUCGAUAACUAGGUAUCUCAUCGAAAGAUCGGGACACCCUCGAGGCUAUCAAACAUGAAGAAGGAGAUAGGGAUUGGAUCGGGGUCAGUGGUGAUUGUGGGGAAGGACGGAGCGGGGGCGAAGGAGGCGUGGAGUUGAUCGGGGGUGGGGAGGGAAUCGUAGAUCUCGUGUCUCUGGUUCUUGAUUCGUGGGGAAUCAAGAUCUCGCCAAAGAGACGAACAGCCAUCUUGUAUUUUUUUUUCGCCACUGACUCCCUUGCUGUCCAAGUCAACCGGCACAGGCAGUUCCCUAAGAUAUCCCCCAUUUGCUCCAUCUGCGGCAUGGCCAAGAAGACGGCUUCCACGCCGUCAUGAUCUGCACCAAAGCAAAAGCUCUUCGCGAAGCCGCUAGGGAGGUCUGGAACCUGCCCAUGGAAUCCAGCCUCCGCUAUUCUGGCAAGGAUUGGGUUCUGAUCCUUCUCAGCCAAGUGAACCACGACAAUCGCACCAAGCUCCUCUUCCUCCGGUGGCGUGCCUGGCACCUAAGGAACAACAUCAUCUUUGGGAAAGGUGAUGCCUCUGUCUCUGCUUCUGCUCAGUUCAUUCAGUCCUAUGCUUGCUCUAUGUCUACUGCUGCAGGGAACCCCCCGGAACCGGACCGCAAGGGGAUGAAGACCAUACUCCCCUCCAUUACUACCAAGGAUCCAGUGCCCACAGCUCUCCUGUCCAACUGGACCCCUCCUGCCCUGGGGAAAGCGAAGCUGAAUGUGGACGCUAGCUUCUCUCCCGGCAACGGGUUGGCUGCCUGGGGUGCUGUCCUCUGCGAUGACGCCGGCGCCAUCAUUUUCUCAGCUUGGAACACCGGCCCCCUUGCUCCAAUGCCCAGGAAGCGGAAGCCGUCGCCUGCCUGGAAGGCCUUAAGAUCGCCAUUCACCGCUGCAGCCUCCCCUUGGUGAUCGAAAGUGACUGUUCCCAGGUCAUCUGUGCCCUCCGGUCCGGCUCGAUUAGCAGAUUGGCUAUCCAUGCCACCCUGUGUGACAUCCGGCACCUUAGUUCCUCUGUUCCCGGGAUUUACUUCAGCUACCCCUUACUAACAAUGCAGUGGCCCAUGAACUUGCUAGAUUGGCCGCUAACUCUUUAGGUGGUGGCUUUGUUGUGUCGCCGGGAGGAGUAUGUUUUUGGGCUGUAAUAAUUGAGAUCUAAUCGCUAUUUGCGAUUUCAAUAAUAUUUUGACUUUGGUAUCGACUGUGCUACAUUACGAGGUACUGUCGUAGUCGAUAAGCUAGCAUAGAACUCGAGAACCAGUAUCGGCCAGAUUAUACCACCAGCAAACGUACUAGCUGACGCGAAAUCACACUACACAUGAUUGAAGGUUAUUAGUAUAUGUGAAGUAAAACGUUAUAUUCAUGGGUCAAAUUAAUUAUCUUUGACGGUUCAGGCAACAAACAAACUCUAGGAGUAAGCUGUCAAAAAACAAACUCUAGGAGUACAACUACAUGACUGCACGCAGAAGCAGCAUAGAAGUUGCUUCCGUUUGACACUUUGAUCUUUUGGCCGCACUUUGGAGCCAUCGGAACCGUUAAUUGAUCCCUUCAAUUAAUAAUAAGCCAAUUUUGAUUCCAUGCGACGGAUGGUUGGAGCAGCAGAGCUUUCUCCUGCCCGGCGACUAGCUAGGCAAGAAAAAAUAAAAGCAAAGCCCCUUUUAGCCAAUAAGCUAGGCAAAAAGCUAUUUUCUUCUUUCCCCUUUACUAGCUACCUUCUGGCUGUAAUACAUACUCUCUGUUAUAAAUGACACGAGAGACGCAGGACGCCAUUUUACACGAUCGUCAAAAUGUUCGCAACGGCCAAGAUCAGUAGCCAACCCAUACGUCAGAAGUACCUGUUUGAAGUUUUUCAUGUAUAGAAAAAGAAUAGAAAAAAAAAGAUCAACUCUUAACAAAAAAUGGUACCGAGUGAACUGUCGCGGAUGCUAUGCUUUGAUGCUUUACAAAAGAGUAGGCAACAAACGAUCUCCGAAUAAACAAAUGGACGCUAAUUAAUAGCGUAAGGGCUGAUAUGGGCGUCGUAAGAAGAAAGCAGUAAUUGAGGUAGGACUGUGAGAGAUUUGCGCCUGCAAAUGUUGCGCGGGUGUUUUCUGACCAGCGGGCGAAGGCAGGAACAGGGAUCGGCAUGGAGUACACCAACAUCGCCAGAUUCACUCAACGUAGAGAGCAGAUAUCUUUUUCAGAAAGCAAAAGUAAACUGGCGAGCAAUGCAGCAUGCAUCAGGAGAACACCAGCCGUUCUUUGCUUCUCCCAAGUCCCAAUGGCCUCUCGUAGUUAAUUAUAGUUUCUUAAUUACUCAAUCAUGACCCCCUUUAACCCGCGUCCGUGGAACCAUAGUCAAAGGCAGUAUCAAAGGGUCAAGCACCCAGCUUAGUAUGCAUCCAGCAUUCUUCUUGUUACGUAUAUGUUACACGACUUAAUUAAUAAGUAACACUCACUACAUAUAUAUACACCAAAUUACAUCGGCUGUACCUACUUAUUUGCUUAACUACAAGGCAUUAAUUAAAUUUGAUUUUUUUUUCGUUUUACUAAUUGGUUAAAAAUUGUUUUAUGGCUUUGUUCGACACUUCUUUUAUGAAUAAUAUAAUAUUGGCUUGUAAUCGCUGCAGAGACCGGAGUCUUUUCCCUUCCGAAAAACCAAGAAAAAGGCUCUACACAUUUUUUACCAUUUCCAUCCCUAAAUUCUGGAGAGGCAAAGUCCAACAGAUCGAAUUAACAUGCACACGAAGUAAUUAAGCAAGCUGAGAAUUAAGCUGCUUUUCAACUGUGUUCCUGAAGCCUUGUGAGGCGAUCAUGUAUAUGGAAGCAACCAAGGGACAGCAGUGACGUGCGUGUGUGCAUACGUGCACUAGUAACGGAUCCGCGCGGCUAAGCUGGUACGUGUUUGUUCUGGCUCGUUGCUUCACACGCUUAGCCGGCCAGCUCUUUAGGGCCAUUCUUGCAUGUACGUACGUAUGCACGUAACCGCGUGAUAACUCCUAGUAUUAACGUUACCGUGUGGCUAUCAUUGAUUAAAAUCCGACGGUCAAACACAUCGACUGAUCUCUAACUAAAAAUCAGACGACUUCUCAAUAGCAAACCGUUAACGUUAAUUCUUAUACGUGCUUAAGUAAAUACAUAUGUUUCAAGACGCGUGGCAGAUAACCUCUGAGGAGCUUAUCAGAUAACUAAGCCAGAUCUUAUAGGAGGUUUCAAAAGUUAUGUAAAGAAAUGUCGUGUAUUAGGCCGGGGAUGUGCCCUCUUUCUCGGAAAAAAUAGAUGUCAUUAAUUAACUUGAAACUACGAAACGCGGAAAUUCCGAAAAAAGGAUGAGAUUCACCACACGCAUGCGCAUCUCCUGCUUGAUUACAUGAGUAACCAAUGGCGGAGGCCGAGACGCGGGGGGGGGGGGGGGGGGGGGGGACCAAGAUCUAAAAAUCAUGCCUAGGUCCUUAUUUUUGUGUGUCUAUUUUUGUGUUUGGCCCACCCUAACACUCGUUCUUUCUGAUUUGGACCUUGUUAUAAUAUUUUUCUGCCUCCGCCCUGUGGAUAAUAAUUACUGCUACUUGACAUGAGCCGGUGAUAUCGGUCUAAGUAUCGUCUACGAGUUAUAUUCGAUGUUUCUAAAAAAGACACGAGGUUUGUAUUUGAUUUGCGGGGAAGUUAUAGACUUGCAUAUGGAGUGCACCGUUCAAUUCUACAAAUAAAUCCAUGCAUGCAUUUGGGAAGGGGCAGACAAAGUGCAGUAGCGGUCGUUGGCCACUUUGUGUCAAGCAUGAUGAUUAUCUUUUGCUUAGCUCUUAGGCUGUGAUUGAACAGGAAUAGCUUGUGUGUGCAAUUGCCGUCACACAUACACACACACACAAUAAGGCACGCCUUUUGGCCCUGAGAUUCCUUCCUAGCACUAUAUAAACCCACCCAAGCUCCAGCUCCCUUGAAGCUCUCUCACAAUCAGUUCUCCCAUUGAACCAUCUCCACACAAGGGAGAGAAGAAAUCUCGAAACGUAGCUACUUCCCGUAGCUGCACACAAGACAGCUGUCUCGUUGAUCUUCUCAUCUGAAAUCCGAAGCUAAUUAAGGGGAGAUCUAUCAAUGGCUGGCCUCUCUCUUCAGCACCCCUGGGCCUUUGCCUUUGGCCUCCUAGGUAUUUUGGUGUCUCUCUCGAUAGAUCCUUGUCCGAAUAAUUGAGAUCUUUCCUUUUAAUCUUCUCGUUGCUCUCUUUUUCCCUUUUCCUUUUUUUGCUGCUUUGGCAAAAACAAUAGAUUUUUUUUUGUCAGCAUGCCCCAUGAAGUGAUCAUCCUACCUAUACACGUACAUAGCUAGUUAGUGGGUUUUGCACUAUGGGAUAAUGCAUGCAAUUUUAGGUUGUUUACCGAAGCAAAGAGCUUGCCAAAACAAGAUUUCUCUUGGUGCACCUUAAUGAUCCUUCCUCUUCUGUCCCCUCCUUUAUUCUUUUUAUGUGGAAACUAAGACUGGUCAUAAUGAGGAGUAACAUGAGGUAGUAACCUGCAUAUGUUACUAGUCUAUGUUACUACUUCAAUAGUGGGUAGUAACAUAUUUGUGGUAACAUAAAAGUCUCAUUUACUAGUUUUAUAGACUCAUUAUAUCUUGGAAAGUGUGCUGUGAUGGUAACAUAUCUAGUUACUCCAACACUCUCUUUCUUUAUUAAUAACAUGACACAUCAUCAAAAUUGUUUAAUUGUCACUUUAGUUACCAUCUUUGUUAGUCUCACUAUGACUAGUCUAAAAGAAGGCUAAUUAAUCGUUAUAAGGAGCAUAUUUAAUUCAUUCGUCAUGGGAGCCGAGGAGAUAUACAAACAUGCAUUGUGAAUUGCGAUCGCAAAUGAUCGAAUGAACUAAAGAUGGCGUGUGAAGAAAAAAAAGAGUAGAUAAAGGGCUCCAAUAAUAUGUCGAGCUUUGCCUAUGGUUGUGGAGUGACCUCACCUGACGCACACGGCACACAAGUUACGGGUCCCCCUGGCUAGUCAUUAUUGAAAGACGAUGGACCGGCCGGCCUUUUGUGUAACGUACUGGCUAGCGUGUCUCCCUGUUUCUCGCAGCUGGCUAACUGACUCGCUUGAACUUUGUUUCUCUGCAGGCAACGUCAUCUCCUUCAUGACCUACCUGGCCCCACUGUAAGAAACUACUAGCUAGCCUCUCGAUACAAUUUAAAGGCUGACGUGUCAAUUAAUUUCUCUCGCCAUGGCCUGUUGGUGCCUGACGUGUCAAUUGCAUGAUGCAGGUCGACGUUCUACAGGAUCUACAAGAACAAAUCGACGCAGGGGUUCCAGUCGGUGCCCUACGUGGUGGCGCUCUUCAGCGCCAUGCUAUGGAUCUACUACGCGCUGCUCAAGUCGGACGGCUGCCUCCUCAUCACCAUCAACACCGCCGGGUGCGUGAUUGAGACCAUCUACAUCGUCGUCUACCUCGCCUACGCGCCCAAGCAGGCCAAGCUGUUCACGGCCAAGAUCCUGCUGCUGCUGAACGUGGGCGUCUUCGGCAUGAUCCUCCUCCUCACCCUUCUCCUCUCCGAGGGCGAGAAGCGCGUCGUCAUGCUGGGCUGGGUCUGCGUCGGCUUCUCCGUCAGCGUCUUCGUCGCGCCCCUCAGCGUCAUCCGUCUGGUGGUGCGCACCAGGAGCGUGGAGUUCAUGCCCUUCAACCUCUCCCUCUCCCUCACCCUCAGCGCCGUCGUCUGGUUCCUCUACGGCCUCCUCAUCAAGGACAAAUACGUAGCCGUAAGCUAUAUGCUCACGCCCACUGUUGUAUUUAAUCAGCAACACUUAUUCACUCGCAAAAAAAUCAGCGACAUUUAUUAUGAAUUGACAUUUAUUAUGAAUUGAAGGGAAUAGCUAAUUAAUGUAUGUCAGUCUCAAUUAAACUUGUUUCUUAUGUGUGUGUUUUUUUUCAGCUACCCAACAUUCUCGGGUUCGCCUUCGGGGUCAUCCAGAUGGGGCUGUACGCGCUUUACCGCAACUCGACGCCCAGGCCGGUGACCAAGGAGGUGGACGCGGAGUCCCAUGACGGCGCCGCUCCCAAGGUGCCUGAGCAUGUCGUCAACAUCGGCAAGCUUGGUGCCGUCGAGCUCAAGACCACUGAAGUGUUCAUUCACCCUGCCAUCGAGUCGCCGCCCACAAAGGAGAACGGCGUUGCUCACGGUGCCGAGCAGAGCAGGGAGGGCGGCGUCGUCGUUGAGAAGGUCGACGAGGCAAGCCAGGUGGAGCAAGUCUAAUCAUGGAUGCAUUGACCCAUAUGCAUGCAUCAAACUAAGAAGAGCGGGGCUUGUGAUGUUCCGCUCUGGAUGCAUGUUGCAUUAAUUUGAUGUGUGUUAAUGUGUUGUUUCAUACUGUAGCUCGUUGUAAGAGUUCUUGUUUUAUUCUGGUCGUAUGAAUCAGUGUGUCAAUAGCACUUCGACGAUAUGUGAUAUUAUUGGUCUUCUUAUGAAUUUACCAUUUCUGGCAAAACUUGCAUGUUUUCGAGGCUGCUAUAUAGCGUAGCACGAAAUUGGUUAAGUAAGUGGCAAGGAAUCGUCGCGCGUCCAUGCUUGGCUCGCCUUUUCCGCAUUUCUUUCGGCGCCAAAACUGUAAACUAGUUCGAGCUUUUCGCGAACGCUUGUUGCGGUGUUGCCUAGCUACAACCACCUAUACAGCUACACGUACGGUUGCUGGAGAUUUCUUUCUCUAACUGAAGUACUGAACCCGUCUUUUCGGGGCCUUCGCGAUAUCGCAGCUUCACAACUCUAGCAAAUCUACCACGAAGGUGUGCAUGUAUUUAGAUUCAAAAGAAAAGGUGUGCAUUUAUUUUUUUUAUUUUUUUUGACGAAAAGAGCACAGCGUGCACGUAUUUUAUUAUGGCUUUGCUAUUUUUUGGACGACUAUUUCUUAAUAAAUGAUAACAACCUUUUGAUUCAAUUGUUAAGAUUCGUGCAACAUUAAUGUAGAUCUGAUAGAUAAAAAAAUCUUCAUUGAAUAGCUACGAUUGUCAACUGAGAAAUAACUAUUUCUUGAGCGACUGAGAAAUAGACACUCCCAUUUUAUUAAAACAAGUAAAUUAGUCCAGAUUUGAUGACAUUACUAUUCUUGGCCGUGAGAUGAAAGUGAUAAACAUAAUCUCGCAAGUGGGCCAAAUGUCCCACGGGGUUCAGUUGGAAAAAUUGGUGGUUUGGACCUUUCUCUCGUAGCAACUGGCCCACACAAAGUUUCUUGAACAAGGCAAUAUGGCAACACGGUGGCGUGUAGUGCGCGCAUUUUGAUCGGUUUUAGAUAAGUCUAUGGUCGGGCUAAAGCAACAUCCCAGGUUGGACGGUGCUGUUUACUGCACUCCUUGUUGUUGGGAUUGGACACGUGUAUUGGCUGGUGUUUUGAAGCGCGCUAGUUUCUGAAUCGACUCACUAGCACACAGUUUCAAAAUAUAAUAUUAAGAUAUAAAGGUCAAAGUAAUUUAUUACUCACUAGUAGUCGCCGUUCACCUGCCUCAGGGCAAAACGCGUGCGAGCCUAGUCCUCGCAGGAGGAGUCGAUCUCCUCUUCGAGUCAACAAUCGCGAUCCUGAUCACCAAGGAAGCUACCAUGAGGGCUCUCCCGAGUCAGAUCAUGAAACCUGCGGAGCACCAUGCUUCAGCCGUCGUAUUCGUCGAACCAGGAUGCCGAGAAAUAUCAAGCCACCGGCUGACCUGGACAAAUAUGAUGGCACUUAGGAGUCCAGGACUUGGCUGGAGGACUAUCUCACCGGAAUUCGCUGUCAAGGCGGAACACGAACUACCGCUAUGCAGUGCCUCCAGCUUCAACUCAGGGGCCCAGCCCACACCUGGUUGAAUAGCCUACGCGAUGGCGAAAUCACCUCAUGGGACGAGUUGGUCCAGGACUUCACGCGCAACUUCAAGGCCACAUAUCAACGACCGGUAUCUCUUGAGCAGCUUCGAGCCUGCACUCAGCGCGAGGGCGAGUCCAUCCGCUCAUACAUUCAGCGGUGGACCAACACAAAACAAGCCUCCGAGGAAAACUUUGAUGAAAGCGCCAUCGACGCAUUCAAACGAGGUCUUCGUCGAGUCGAGCUCAAGGAAGAACUGGGUCGCGUCCGACCCGCAACCAUCAACUACCUAAUGGAAAUGGCCAACCGGUGGGCCGAUGGCGAGGACUCGGUCCGCAAUGAGCGCUGUCAGUCCCCGGACAACGGUGGAGACCGCUGUUUUGAACGCAGGAAGAAGCGCAAAGGACGCGCGUUCGAGGAACCAACUUCACUUGACUUCAUCGCAGCCACCUCUCAGGCGGAGAGAGACCGCAGUGGCGAGCCUCGCGGGCACAAUCCGCAGUGGCAACGCAAGGGAGGCUAGAUCUCACUCUCCCAACAGUUGGUGGCUCCUUGCCCAUUUCACGUCUACAAGGGCAAACAAGGCAACAUUAAGCCUAGCCACCCGCUGAUGGAGUGUAGGCGCUUCAAGGAGUUACAGCUCGAGUUCGCGCGAGUGAUAGCCUCGAGGGUGUCCCGAUCUUUCGAUGAGAUACCUAAUUAUCGAUUUGGUAGGAGGUGACGUUGACGAUCCGACUACAACCUAGGAGGCAGCGCCUUAGCGAUCGAUACACCAACUCCAGAAGGUUAUUGAUCCCGCGGGGCACGAUCAACCUGACCACGAAGGUCUUUGUUCCUGCAAGCAAUCGAAGAACAAGCAAGAACAAGAUGAAAAGCAAUCUGAAAUUGCGAAUAGGAGAUAUGAAGGUUCACGAAUCUGAAUACUCAAUAUAGUUGGAGUCUUGAUGACGGUAAAACAGGUGGUCUAACCGACACACGCGAUUACACGAAAGUAGCAAAGGCUAAACUUUAUCUAAUCAAAACCCAAGGCUCCAUGGGGGGGCUCAUGGGGUAUAAAUAGGAGGGGAACUAGGUGGUUUUCGGACAGGCCCUUGAGGGACUCCGAAACGGCCUAGGAAUCCUCCUAAAACACAACGAAAACAUCUAAAAAUUGGCUGGACCCUAUUAUAUGGCCUUAGGCCCAAUAAAACAAGGUUAUAACCCUCAUCUUUGGCCCAUAAAUACCCAUUGGAGGGAGAAUCCUCCACUUGGCCGAAAUCCCAUUGAUGAAGAGGAUGCGGCCUUCUUCUCAUCUCUCGUUAUGGCGGUUUCAAUGUUCUGAAAUCAUCACUUGAGCUAGCUCCCGCCACCUUGCUGCCACCUCCAUGGUUUGCUGUCCAACGCUGAUCCUUGAGGUGCAAGCUAGGUCCUUCAUUCCUAAAACACAUAAAAGAACCCAUCUUAGGCAGCAGCAUAUUCUCACUAAUAUUAAAUGAAGUACCGAGGAACGAAAGUACCUGAUAAUUUAGUUGUCGUGCACGAGCUCUAGUAAUUGGUCCGUGUAUCUCCGGUACUUGAGGUGUAUGUGCUGUAGGGGCUGUGGUUGUAUCAUUAGUUGGGAUGUCCUCAUCAUCGAGCCCAACAACCGACUGCGGACAUGGGUUAUCCCCAGUAUACCAGCAACAGAGUCGUCAUGGCACCGCCGACUCAAGUGCCUGGGACUCUAGCCACUGACGCCCCGCCAGCUCCUCCACUUCAAGCUAACUUUGCCGAAGCCGUAAGCCGAAUGCAACCACCUUCGGAGUCAACACCCGCCGCUGCCGAAACUUAUCCAGCUCCGGCAGGUCACAUAUGCAUGAUCCAGAAGGGCAGACCAACAAAUUGGGUUCAGAAGUUGAUACCCCGACAGGUGCAUAUGGCCGUGGCCACGCCACCCGCCGCACCUCAUUAUCUUGAUUGGUCUGAAACAUAAAUCAGUGUCCUGAGAAGAUCACCAUCCCCGAGUCCCGUGACCUGGACAUGUAGCUCUGGUGCUCGAUGCCCAGAUUGGAGGUUAUAUGAUGAAUAAAGUGUUUAUCGACGGAGGCAGCGGCCUUAAUCUUAUCUAUGCCGACACUCUUCGAGGGAUGAAUCGCUCCAUUACAAAGCUUCCUGCUACGGAUACAACCUUCCACGGCAUCGUCCCAGGCAAAGCAGCUACACGGCUGGGCAAAGUCAGCCUAGACGUGUUGUUCGGCACACCUGACAACUUUCGACGCGAAAGACUCGACUUCAAAGUGGUCGACUGGCCAUCCUAGUACCAUGUGGUAUUGAGUCGAGUCGCGUUGGCCCGCUUCAUGGCGGUCCCGCAUUAUGCUUACCUCAAGCUAAAGAUGCCUGGGCCCAACGGCGUGAUAAUUGUUUCGGGGAACUUCACACGCUCAGAUAGCUGUGACAAGGAGUUUCAUAAAAUCUCCGAGUCAUUUGGCAUGCAUGAAGAGUUUGAGAAACUCAAAGCCUCAACUGAUCUUGAGCAGCUUCCCGUCAUCAAAAAAUUGGCUCAUCAGCCCGAAUUCAACAAGAAUGCAGAUACCAAGGAGGUUCAGAUCCAUCCGACUGAUCCUAGCAAAACUGCAAUCAUCUCAACAAGCCUUUCCCCUGCAAAGGAAAGUGCACUCGUCGAGUUCCUCCGUGAGCGCUGGGAAAUCUUUGCCUGGGUGCCAGCUGACAUGCCAUGAAUUCCCAGGGAACUCGCCGAGCACGCACUUAAUGUCGACGAGAACGCAAAGCUGGUGCGACAACGCAUGCGGCGUUUCUCGGAGCCAAAGCACAAAGCCAUCGGAGAAGAAGUCAACCGACUCCUCGAAGCAAAGUUCACUAGGGAGAUAAAACAAGCGACCUAGGUAGCAAACCCCGUCAGAACACCACAGUCCUGCGUAUGUGCGUCGACUUUACGUCACUUAAUAAGCACUGCCCCAAGGACCACUUCCCUUUGCCGCGGAUCGACCAGAUCGUUGAUUCGACCGUCGGCUGCGAGCGACUAUCCUUCCUGGAUGCCUACUCAGGCUACAACCAGAUUCGACUCAAGGUCGAGGACGAAGAAAAGACUGCAUUUAUCACUCCAUAUGGCGUUUUUUGCUACAUGACAAUGCCUUUCGGGCUAAAAAAUGCAGGCGCCACCUACCAGCGCUGCAUGCAGGCCUUCCUGGAGUCCAGGCUAAGCAACAACGUCCAGGUGUAUAUCGAUGACAUUGUCAUCAAAACCAAGAAAGAGGCAACCCUCCUCGAGGACAUACAGAAACAUUCAACAACCUGGACAAGUAAAGAUCAAACUGAACCCCACCAAGUGCACCUUCGGGGUGCCCGCUGGGCAGCUUCUCGGGUACUUCCUCUCGGCUCGGGGCAUCGAAGCAAACCCGACAAAGAUCAGAGCCAUCCUAACCAUGAAGGAGCCGAACAAAACUCAUGAGCUUCAACAGCUCAACGGUCGACUCGCUGCUCUAAGUCGGUUCAUCGGCAGGCUAGGAGAAAAACCUUUGCCCUUCUACCAUCUUCUGAAAAAGAAGAAGGAGGAUUUCGCGUUGACUCCAGAAGCCAGUGCUGCCUUUGCAGACCUGAAACGUCUGCUCUGCAAGAAGAUGAGCAACUCCUACUAUACAUCGCAGCCACGACUUAGGUGGUCAACACGGUGAUCGUAGUCGAGCGAGCCAAAGAAGGCAAGACCCACGGCGUCCUACGCGCAGUCUACUACAUCAGUGAGGUCCUUUCACCGACGAAGCAGCACUACCCUCAUUACCAGAAGCUUGCGUAUGGUGUCUUCUUGACAGCACGCAAACACAGACACUACUUCCAACAACACUCAGUUGUGGCUGUUAGCGAGCCCCCACUUGCUCAUCUUAAACAAUCCAAAGCUAACAGACCGAGUCGCCGAGUGGGGAAUCGAGCUCUCGGCUCGUAACAUAACUUACGAGCGACAAAAAUCGAUCAAGUUGCAAGUGCUUCCCGACUUCAUCACCGAGUGGACAGAGACCCAGACUCCAGGUCCGCCAGACAUGUCCAGCUCGUGGACGAUGUACUUUGACGGGUCAAAGCGGCACAAAGGAGCCGGCGCAGGCGUCGUCAAGGCGGACGAGGACAAUGCAGCCAAGGCCGCCCAACUCUCAGCACAAGCGAGCCUCCUCCGCAAGGCCAAGCACGCCGUGCAUUUGGCUCGGACCAACCACGGCACGCUGAUUGGGCAAGGGGAGCUGGAGACCAAGAAGCUGCUUGGGAUCGCCCAAUCGCUGCGCGACCUGCUGCCGCGGUUCGAACUGCGGGCCGAGCGGGUGGACAGGACAGACGUUACCACGCUGAUCCCGUUCUUCUUCGACUUGGUGAGGAAGCUCGCGGCGCUUGACGUGUGGAUCUCCAAGUUCUGCAAUGAGGAGAUCGCCAAUUGCGCCCGGGAGGUCGCUGGGACGAUCCUUCCGAGGGUGCACCUCCGGCACCCUGAGUUCCCCUUCGAGACGCUGCUGGACGCUUGGUCGGACAACGAGGACGCCCCCACCCACUGCCAGGCGGUGAGCAAGUUUGUUGACGAGGUGGUCGAGCGGAUGCAGCGGAAGCCGGACCCGAGUCGGUGCCGGAGCCCCCGGUGGAGGGCGCCGGCAACUCGCCGCAGCCUCCAGCGGAAGCCGCCCCAACCAGUCGCCGCAGCCCCCUACCGGGCCUCGCCAUUCCUUAGUGUUGUUUUCCUUUGCUUUAUGUUCCCUGCAAGUGUGGCGCCUGGCGCUGUUUAAACAAUUAAUGUCUUAUUUGUGUAUGCAACUUGUCCAGUGUUUUCAUUAAUUUAGUGCUCUCGUUCUACUUAAUCCUUGUUUCUUGUUCACAGGGUUGCCUCGCGGGGUGGAUCCCUUAGCCUUUGUGUGUUAUGCCUUGUUUGCCGGGGACUCGCGCGCCACGCACUCAACCGGACUAGGGACCCGGGACGGACCCGUAGUGCCGACCUGGGGCCAAGUAGCGGCGACGAGCCACUCCGCUUGCAGGAUAGCUACUCCCAAGCAUGCGCUCACGGGACGGACCCGCCAGCUGCACGAGGAGCGCACUCCCCCCGCAAGCAUCCUUUCAACACCCUAGCCACACGCAGGGCUUGGGCCGCGCUAGCGAGGCAACGUUCAGUUUUAGACAGCUUAUUGUUUAAGUUUAUGCACUUAGCUUUUCGUUUGUUCCGCGCUUGGAAUGCUUGCCGGAGGGGUGCGGCAGGGACGCUAUGGCAAUCCUCGCCUCUGAAUCCGCCUUCUUGUGGGAUGCAGCAGGAACGCUGUGGCGGGGCCGCCAGCGGCGCCAAGCACCGGUGGUGGCGCCACCACAGCGUCUCCGCGGCAACCUACGCCUCGGAGAUACUCUUUGGAGGGGUACGGCAGGAACGCUGUGGCAGGGCCACCGCCAGCGCUGGGCACUGGGGUGACGCCACCACAGCGUCUCCGCGGCAACCCUCGCCUUGGAAUAGCCUGGUGAAGGGGUACGGCAGGAACGCUGGGGCAGGGCCGACGCCGGCGCCGAGCACCCGCGCCGGCGCCGCCAUAGCGUCUCCGCGGCACCCCUCGCCUCGGGGUAGCCUGGUGGAGAGGCGCGACAAGGGCGCGGUGGCAGUGCACCCAUCAGCACAGAGCACUGAUGGCAUGCACCACCACCGCACCUCUGCGGCACCUCUCGCCUUCGCAGCCUCUUCCUCGGCUCCGCUCUGAGCUGCUCCAUGGCCGGCACGCCCUUUUAUAGGCGCGGGGGAAGGGCUUGCCACCACACGCGCCGGGUCACCGCGGCACCCGUGGCGCCACACCCCCUUGAAGUUCGGCCCGGUCUUCGCCACCAUGCAUGCAAGUUACCGCGGCACACGUGGCAGCUCUCCCCUGAAGCAGAGGCCUCGAAGUGCGGCGAGACCCUUGUAGUGCGGUCACUCCACACUACAGGGCGCCACUAAAUGCCACAGCCCGUGGAUGGUGCACGAGCGUUACAGUGCGCUAGAUUCCACCUUUACCCUGCAUGUCAGAUUCUUACCAAGCCCAAGAUGCUGCAAUUUUAUUCCUAAAUUCACGAAAACAUAUAGCAACAUGGAAAGCUCUCCUGCCUCCUAGCCCCCGGGCACAGAAGGGUCGAUGCCAAACUUGAUUGUGAGCACUCUUAUAUUUCAAGACGCAGCGUCUGUGUGAUGCACGUUGCGGCGAGCCCGGCAACUUCACGCCCCGUGCCGGAGUGAUCCGGCAACGGGUUAUCAUUUUCGAGGCUCCGGCAGCCCCCUGCUCACAACCAAGUAUGGAAAGAGACUUCUGUGCACCUAUAGCAGGAGACAGAAGGACGAGAAACACGCAAACAAUCGAGGCAACUUGAAAUUCAGGAAACAACACUUAUCUUCAUUCACAGCAACUAGUGGUUUACAAUCGGGGGUUGUCCGGCUACACUAGUUCGAGAGGCAUGCAUCGGCGGCAUCACCUGUGGGUCGGGCUCCGCCGCUUCAUGGGUAGAACUUGCGCAAGUGCUCAAUGUUCCAGCUAUUUUGCACCGGCAAGCCUUCUUCGGUUUCCAAUCGGAUACCCCCCGGCCUGAUCACCUGCACUACCCAGAAGGGGCCCUCCCAUUUCGGAGCCAGCUUGUUCUCGGCCUUCGUUCCUUGUAUCCGGCGCAGGACAAGGUCUCCGGUCUCGAGCUCCCGGGAACAGACCCGCCUGUCGUAAUAACGGCGGAGUCCCUGCUGGUAGCGCGCAGCUCGUACAGCAGCCCGGCAUCGAAGUUCUUCGAUGAAGUUCAGAUCGUCAACCCUCUGCUCGUGUUGGCUGGAAUUGCCAUACGCGUGUACCCGGGGUGAUCCGUGCUUGAGCUCGAGGGGCAGCACCGCUUCUGCCCCGUAGACAAGGGCGAAAGGAGUCUCGCCCGUUGCCCGACUAGGUGUGGUCCUGAUUGACCACAGCACGGGCUGGAGUUCUUCGACCCAGUGCUUCCCGUGGCCUUUGAGCUUGUCAAAGGUUCGCGUCUUGAGCCCCCGCAGCACUUCUGCGUUGGCUCGCUCCGCCUGCCCGUUACUCCUUGGGUGAGCAACAGAUGCGAAGUGUAUCUUGGUGCCUAUGCCCUCGCAGUAGGCCCGGAACACCGCACUUGUGAAUUGCGUGCCAUUGUAGGUGAUAAUGCCGUUAGGCACACCAAACCGGCACACAAUGCUUUUGAAGAACUUGAUGGCCGCUUGGGCGGUCACCUUCUGCACUGGUUCCACCUCCACCCACUUGAAGAACUUGUCGAUGGCCACGAGCAGGUACUCGUAGCCGCCGACCGCUCUCGCCAGCUUGCCGACGAUAUCCAGCCCGCAGACCGCGAACGGCCAGGAGGACGGAAUGACUUGCAGGGCCUGCACCGGCUGGUUGCUCUUCUUCGCAUGAAACUGGCAUGCCUCACACGCCUUCAUCAGCUGCUCCGCGUCGGCUAGGGCCGUGGGCCAGUAGAAACCAUGUCGAAACGCCUUGCCGGCCAGGGCCCGGGAGGCCACAUGGUGGGAACACGUACCUCGGUGUAUCUCCUCAAGUAGCGCGCGACCCUCGUCCUGGGGCAUGCAGAGGAGCUUGACUCCAUUUGCACGCCUUUGGUAGAGGUUGCCGUCCACCAGGGCGUACAUCUUGGCUUGCCGGGCCACGCGCUCUGCGGCAACGUUGUCUUCCGUGAGGGCUUCUCCCUUCAGGUAGCAGGCGAUAUCCACCGCCCAAGGCGGGGUCUCCCAGCUAGCGCAUGCCGCUGCGUCGGUGUCGCACCCGGGGUACCACCGCUGCACGACGCGUGGGUCGCAUCGCUGAGUUCCUGGGAGGAUCUCACCUCGGGCAGCAACGUGCAGGCUGCCCGGCAAGCUACCAGCCCGGCAGGGCUAGCGGGGCUUCGGGGAAUAAUCCCGCCUGGGCACCUCCCGGGAAGGCACUUGCCGGGAAGAGGUGUUCCCGGGCACAGGUUCCCGCCGUGAGGACGGGGCCGAGCGAGCAGAGCAGCAGCGCCACGUGGGCGCGCGGCAGGCGCCCAGUGUGCAGUCUCGCCAGGGCAAGGAGUGAAGCGCACGACGCAUUUAAUGAGCCGACAGGAGGGGCGUUAUCCGUCUAGUCGGACGAACAGUGGCUGUCCAGUCCUAUUUUUUAGGCCUUAGACCCCUAGCCGUGGGGUUGGCGCUCGUGCAUGCAUGCCAGCGCACCGAGGGAGAGCUGCCCAAGCUCCUUACUCGCCACUUGUAAACCAUGCACCGUGGCACCUGUGGUAUCCCCUUGGUUAUAAAAGGAGGACCCCCGCCAAUGGUCAAAGGGUUCGUUUUUCGUUCAUUCGUUUUCUGGUCGAUUCGCUUCGCUCGUUUGUUGGUUUGCUGAGCCAAUUCAUAGUGCAACACUGGUAGUAGUCCGAAGUAGGAAAGAACACUUAGCCAUAAAGAGGCCACCCCGGGGCUUCCCCCCAGCAACCUGUAAACAGCCGAUUUCAUAGUAAUACAAGCUCAGACAAGAAGGACGUAGGGUUUUACACCGCAAGGUGGUCCGAACCUAGGCAAAAAGUGUGUGCAUGCGUUCUUGGUAGGUUCUUACGCUUCGCAUCGGUCCUGCCGGCGAUCGCCAGAGCGAUCCCCGUAGCCCACUGCCGAACGGAGGCGGAGGCUGCUGCCAUUGUAAACACCUUCGCCAUCAACGUCCGUGACCCCAAGAUGCGCGAGAAGCUGAGCACGCAUCGGAUCCGGACGACGCAGGAUCUGUAUGCCUUGGCGCACAAGUGGGCCAUGGGCGAGGAAGGGCCCAGGAGAAGGCUCGCAGAAGAAGAGUUCCCGCAAGCGCAGCGGGAAGCAAGUCCUCGCCGCGGAGUCGGGGGCAGCUGCGAGGCAUGCGAAGAAGGCCUCGCCCGGUGGUGGGUCUGGCGGCAAGCAUGGUGACGCGCCCCGCUGCCCCAUCCACGCCAACUCCACCCACGACGCGCAGGACUGCCGCAUCCUGCAGGGUAUCAAGCAGCAGCACGAGCAGUGCCACGAGGAGCGCCGAGCAGCCGGCGCCUGCUUCAACUGCGGUGACAUCGGGCACCUCUCCCAAGAUUGCCCGAAUGACCCCAGAGAGGGGCCGAAGCCUACCGGCGGCAACGCCGGCAGCGAGGAAGCCCCGGGGGGACGCAGCCAAGCCCGCGCCGGCAGGGAGCGCCCUCCCCGGGGACAAGACAGGACCCGUGCCGAGGAGCAGCGCGAGUCCGACUGCACUGGCGGCGAUGAGCCGGGCUUCCAGGAGCCCCGCGGCGUUGCCUGCAUCCAUGGGGGAGCUUACGCUCUCUCCUCCCAUGCCGCGGUGAAGCGCCUCACCCGCGAUGUGUGCGCGCUGUUGCCGGAAGCGGAGCCGCAGCAGCCGGUGAGGUGGUCGCACGUGCCGAGCACCUUCAGCGCCGAAGACCACCCAGCGAGGCAGCUGGGUUCAGGGGUCAUACCCUUCGUGGUCUCACCGAUCAUCAGCAACAUGACGGUGACCAAGGUGCUGGUGGACAACGGAGCAGGGCUGAACCUCCUAUCCGCCAGGUUGGUGGAGAAACUCCAGCUGCCGUUGGAGCAGCUGAAACCCACCGACCCUUUCCGGGGAGUGAACCCCGGGAUCGUGUGCCCUUUGGGGGGCAUCACGUUAUCGGUGACCUUCGGGUCCCGGGAAGCGUUUAGGACCGAGCACAUAGUGUUCGACGUGGCGCACACCCCGUUGCCCUACAAUGGGAUCCUUGGUCGGCUGGCGCUGAUCAAGUUCAUGGCGGCAACCCAUUGUGCCUACGGCGUGAUGAAGAUGCCAUCUGUGUACGGCGUCCUCUCCAUCAGGUGCGAUCUCAAGGACGCAGCCUGGUGCGUUGGCGAGGUCGUCAGGGCCGCAGCCGACGCCGGUGACGAAGGCUCGCGGGGCGACAGCCCGGCAAUGAAGAAGGCCCGCACUGCCCCGCAUGAGCUUGCCGGGUGAAGCGCAGGCUCGAGCUCAUGCCCUGGCAAGGGCCGGAAGCUCCGGGAGGAGGCCGCCAAGUUGAAGAAGCUGCCCCUCCAGGCCGGCAACAGGGAAUGCACCGUCAUCGUCGGUGCGAACCUUACUGCCGAAUAGGAAAGCGCCCUCGUCACUUUCCUCCGGGAGAACGCCGACGUGUUCGCUUGGGAGCCGUCGGACCUUCCCGGAGUCCCUAGGGAGGUGAUUGAGCAUCGACUCGCGGUGCGCCCGGACGCCUGCUUCGUCAAGCAGAAGAUCCGCCUUCAAGCGCAGGAGCGGAAGGAUUUCAUGAAGCGAGAAGUGGACAAGCUCAAGGCUGCCGGGGCUAUCAGGGAAGUUCCAUACCCAACUUGGUUAGCUAACCCUGUAGUAGUACCAGAGGCGGGAAAUAAGCUUCGCAUGUGUGUAGAUUUUACUGAUCUUAACCGUGCAUGCCCCAAGGAUCCUUUCCCUGUGCCCCGCAUCGAUCAAAUAGUUGAUUCCACUCCUGGUUGCGACUUGCUGAGCUUUUUGGGUGCUUUUUCCGGCUACCAUCAAAUCAAGAUGGCAGUCGAAGACGAGCAGAAAAAGAAAACAGCGUUCAUCACCCCGGUUGGCUGUUACUGUUACACGUGCAUGCCUUUCGGGUUGAAGAACGCGGGCUCAACAUUCCAACGCGCGCUGCGCGAGUGUUUGGGACCCCAGCUAGGCCGGAACGUGGAGGCCUACGUGGACGAUAUCGUCAUCAAAUCGAAGCGCGGGGACUCGCUGAUUGAUGACCUGCGGGAAACGUUUGAUAACCUUCGCAGGAUCAAACUGAAGUUGAACCCUGAGAAGUGCACCUUCGGUGUAGACUCGGGCCAGCUUCUGGGUUUCUUGGUUUCGCACAGGGGGAUACAAGCCAACCCACGCAAGAUAGAAGCUAUCGAGAAAAUGGAGGCUCCCCGCAAGGUGAAGGAUAUCCAGCGCCUCAACGGCUGCGUCGCCGCACUGGGCCGCUUCAUCUCAAGGUUGGGCGAACGCGCCCUGCCUUUCUUCAAGGUAAUGAAGAAGAAGGGUCCGGUUGACUGGACCCCCGAGGCCGAGGCGGCGUUCCGGGAACUCAAGCAAUACCUCAGGUCGUCGCCCGUCCUCGUCGCCCCCAAGCCGGGCGAGCUGCUGCUACUAUACCUAGCAGCGACUGACCAGGUGGUCAACUCAGUGCUGGUUGCCGAAAGGGAGGAAGACGUUCCGGGGACUGAGGCUGUGAGACAGGGGGCUGAAUCCCUGCGGGGCUGCUAGGAGGGAACCAAGCCACGUGCCCAGUGGAGCCCAAGGAUGGUGACGUUAGAAUUGGCCCACAUGGCAGUGUACUAUGUGCGGCCUAUAAAUAGAACCUUACCCCUCUGUAGGGAAGAGAGAGCAUUUUAGGGUUUCCCCUUUCUUCUUCUUCUUCUUCCUCAAGAAUACAGCUCAAGGAGCACCGUUGUAGAUCUCAGUAUCUCGGCUUAUACAACAAAGCAGGAGUAGGAGUCUUACCUUGACAAGAGGGCUCCGAACCUGGGUAAAUCGGUGUGUUCUCAUGUGAAUUGUGCGCCUUCUUCUUCACGUCCUCGGAGAGAGCAUUCUAGGGUUUCCCCUUUCUUCUUCUUCUUCUUCCUCAAGAAUACAGCUCAAGGAGCGCCAUUGUAGAUCUCGGUAUCUCGGCUUAUACAACAAAGCAGGAGUAGGAGUCUUACCUCGACAAGAGGGCUCCGAACCUGGGUAAAUCGGUGUGUUAUCAUGUGAAUUGUGCGUGUUCUUCUUCACGUCCUCCCUCGUCCGGUUCCUCCAUCGCUCAUCGGCCCCAAGUUAAGCCAUCCUAUGACAUCUGCUGUGACACCACCACGACAGUUGGCGCCCACCGUGGGGCAAGCAGCGGCGCUAGCUGGAGUUUCCAUCCGGACGGGAAGCUUCCUCAUCACCGGAGACCAGAGAUUCGGCUCUCUGGGCUUCAUCGACAACAGCGCGGGCUGCUUCAACGGCGCGCCGCUUCCCUGCGCUGGCCGCUUCAUCAACUUCGGCAUGCACGAGGUUUAUGUGGCUACUAACCGCCUUUGCAGGUACCCAGAGCAGGUGGUGAUGGCUGAAGAUCCACCCGCUGUCUGCACGGUUCGCGGCCGGCAUGCUGACUGCCUCGCUUACCGUGUGGAGGUAAUGGUGACCGCUCACGGUGCUGAUACUGGAAGGGACGCCACAGGAAGUGGCGCAGUCCCAGCCAAGUCCGGCAGAACGGCGAAGCUCCCUUUGGAGAAGCCAGAGAACAUCACUGCUCAGGCCGGCACGUCGGCUUUGCCGCCGAAGCCAACUCAGAUCCAGGCCUCCAUCGAGCAGCUGACUACACCGGUAGCAUCGAACGUUAACCCGGCUCAGCUGCAGGCGGAAUUGGAGUUGGAGAGGCAGAAGCUGCUAAAAGAAGCAGUCGACGUCGCCAACGCCCGACAACAACUCGAGAUCUCGCUUUGUGAGUAUAACAAAGCUCAUGGUCUUAGUUCUACUGCGUUUACUAACCCUAGUAGAGUCAGAGAAGUGCGUAACCGUGGCAAGAACUUGAAUGCCAAGAUGACAAGAGAUGGCAGGGGUGUGCCAGCUGCGUCGGCAAGUUUUGCCUCGGCACUAAAGCCGAAAUACAAUACCCCUGUCAAAAACCUCCAGGCUGCCGAGGCUGCGGCUGAGGAGUUGCCGAAUCUCACGGAAGAGGCACUUCGGCAGUAGCAACUGCGCGUGAAAGAGCUGCUCCAAACAGCUAAUGAGCAAAAUGAGGCAUACAUGAGAAUGCACGGCAGACCCGGUGCAUCACAGGUAAUUCACUCGGCUGCAAAUGCUGGUGGCCGAGUUGACAAACAAGCAUCCUCGCCUAAUGGCAAACGGGACAAAAGUGUCAACUCUGGCCGGGAUAAGCAGCUUGAACGUUAUGAUCCAGCCGGCAAACAGUCAGGAGGGUUGAUGAUAGCCAAAGUGGUCUACGUCCCGACGGUAAUCACCGAGAUCAGCAGGAAUGUUAGUCGUUUGGUCACGGACACCGACCUCGGGGUCCGGCACCCAAUACUGCUGCAAGACAGUAGGGUGUCGGGCGCAACCCCCUGUAUCGAGGUGAAGAUCGCCGGUAUGAUCGUCACGAUGACGGAUACUCAGCCUUGGCUGACGAGGGUUAUAUCAGGCGAGAACGCAAAAACCUCGGUCCGCUCGGAGGCAGAGUCGGCAACAGGCAGGUAUCACCCCUGGAUGGUCGGCAUCAACUUGAUCGAUUCUAUCUGUCCGAGCUCCUGGAAGAGCAAGGUCCUCCGGGACCGCGUUGCUUUGCGAACCGAAUCAUGAGGGAAAGACCAACCCCGGGUUUCCAGCUGCCCAGGGUACGAGAACAUAUGACGGCAGUACUAAGCCGGAAGAUUGCCUGGAAGACUAUGUCAUGGCAGUAAGCGUGGCAGGUGGCAAUCACAGAUGGGCAGUGCGUUACGUUCCCCAGAUGCUUGUAGGACUGGCAAGGAUAUGGCUAAACAACUUGCCGGAGAGCAGCAUCAACUGCUGGAUUGAUUUCGAGAAAGCCUUUGUCAGCAACUUCACCAGCACUUAUAAGAGGCCGAAUCGUCCUCAACAGUUGUCCAUGUGCAAGCAAAGAGACAACGAGACUGACCGGGAUUACCUGACAAGGUCGAACAAUCUCCGCAACUCCUGUGAAGGAAUAGUCAAAUCGCAAGCCAUAGCAUGGUUUGCUCAGGGAUGUCGGCACGGCAGCAUGCUAUGGCAGAGGCUGCAAAGAGAGAUGCCGGCCACUCUAUCUGAAAUGAUCAUGAUCGCCGACAUGUAUGCACUUGGCGAUCUGACUCAGCCAUCGCUGAUGCCGGCGGAACCACAAAGGGAGCAGCCGACACACAAUCCUGCAGGGGCGUUCCGGAGGAACGAUCAUCAAGAUCAUCGCAAAAAGAGAAGGGAUGAUAGGUCGGAUUAUCGGCAUGGGCCAGCCCAUAUCGGCGCAAUUCAGGAUCAACCUGAUGCCGGUUCCAACCAGCGUCAGAAAACAGGAAAUCAACAAUGGGUUAAGAAGGGGGAGCAAAAGAAGCCUUGGCAGGAUAAGUCGAAGUAUACUUUUGAGGUGAUGCUGGAUCAGCCUUGUCGUUUUCACACGACUAACCCCAACAAGCCGGCGAAUCACACAACACGGUAAUGCAGCUAGAUGCAACGGCCGAGAACGGCGAGGCAAGCCGGUUACCCCCACCUCCACCCCUCACAGGCGCAAACGCACAGAUCCAAGGACCCCCUCAGGCAAACAAUGCAGUCAACCAGGUAGAAGGACAAGAAAUCCCAGGGUAUGCCAGAAAAAACGAGUACAAGGAGCCUCACCAGAGCUACAUGAUUUUCAUCACUGAGCCCACUGACAAGCAAAGUCAGCGUAGGCGAGAAAUGGAGGUCAAUGCGGUAAUGCGGCGGUUCCGAAGUUCCUGUAUUGGUCAGAGCAGGAGAUCAAAUGGAACCGGGCAGAUCAUCCUAAGGUUAUGCCCAAUUCCGGUGGGUAUGCCCUGGUGGUUGAUCCGACACUCAUCGGGCCCGACAUUAACGUAAAAUUCACUCGAGUCCUCAUCGACAAUGGGAGCAGCAUAAACAUCCUAUAUCGGGACACGGUGCUUAAGCUCGGCAUUACUGACAACAUGCUGGAGCCAAGCCGGACUACCUUUCAUGGUAUCGUGCCGGGAGUAUCUUGUGCCCCAGUGGGCAAGAUUCAAGUCGAUGUCUUAUUCAGCACUUAGGAGAACUGCUGGACUGAGAACCUAUCGUUCGAGGUGGUGGACCUCAAUAGUCCAUACCAUGCGCUGCUCGGCAGACCGGCACUCGCCAAGUUCAUGGCUACCACCCACAUUUGUUAUCUCAAGAUGAAGAUGCCGGGACCAAAUGGUACCAUAACUAUCACGGGCAACUACAAACGCUCAAUGGAAUGCACGGCGGUCGGGUCUGCUUUAGCCGAGUUGCUGGUCAUCGCUGGUGAGAAGAAGAAAUUACAAGAAGCUGUUGCGAUGGCGCAGGCGGCACAAGUCUGCCGGCAAUGACCAAUCCUCAUGGAAUCGUAGCUUUUCAGGCAGCCAGGGAGACAAAGAAGAUACAGGUCGACAGCGAGUUCCCGGACCGCACCGUCAUCAUUGGUGCCGGCCUAGGGGAGAAAUAGGAAGGUGAGCUCAGCAGCUUCCUCCGUGAAAAUCGGGAUAUCUUCGCAUGGUCAACUCAAGACCUGCCAAGUGUGCCGAGGGAGUUAGCUGAGCACUCACUACAUGUCAGACGAGACGCAAGACCGGUGAAGCAGCCCCUUCGACGCUUCGCUGAUGACAGAAGAAAAGUCAUAUCGGAAGAGGUAUCCCGGCUUCUAGCUGCCGACUUCAUCAUGGAGGUGUUGCAUCCCGACUGGCUGGCAAACCCGGUCAUGGUCGAGAAGAAGAAGGACGACCCAACUGCUGCCAACUACACCAGGCUCAACAAGGCAUGUCCCAAAGAUCCAUUUCCGUUACCUCGGAUCGAUCAAGUGAUUGAUUCAACUGCCCGGUGUGAGUUGUUGUCUUUUGUGGAUGCAUAUUCUAGUUUUCAUCAGAUACUACUGAACCCUAAUAAUCAAAUAAAGACAUCAUUUAUCAGCCCGUUCGGGGCUUAUUGCUAUCGCACUAUGCCGUUUGGUUUGAGAAAUGCAGGAGCUACCUAUCAAAGGUGCAUGCAGAAGUGCUUACAUGAUCAACACGGCAAAAAUGUACAGGUAUAUGUCGACGAUGUCGUCAUAAAAACCAAACAGAGCGCCACGCUCCUGGAUGAUAUCCGCGAAACAUUCGCAAAUCUGCGGAGGCAAAUGAAACUGAACCCAGCCAAGCACACAUUCGGUGUGCCGGCAACAAAGUUGCUCGGUUUCUUGGUAUCAAGCCGAGGAAUAUAAACGAACCAUGUGAAAAUUGCAGCUAUAGAAAGAAUGAAACUGCCAAAGUGCCUCAAAGAUGUGCAGAAAUUCACGGGAUGCCUAGCGUCGCUAAGUCGUUUCGUGAGUCGGCUUAGUGAACCAGCUGAUGAAGAAAGCCGACAAAUUUGUGUGGACCCCACAGGCAGACCAAGCUUUCCAGGAGCUGAAGAAAAUGAUUGCUACGGCACUGAUAUUUGCCUCUCCAAUGGAGAAGGAGCCGAUGUUAUUAUACAUUGCGGCAACCAACCGAGUUGUGAGUGCCGUCAUUGUGGUGGAAAGAGUUGAAGAGGGCAAAUCAGUGCAAAGGCCGGUAUAUUACUUAAGCGAGGUGCUAUCAUCGUCCAAGCAGAACUAUCCCCACUACCAAAAGAUGGCGUAUGGCGUAUAUAUGGCAGCAAAGAAGCUAAAGCAUUACUUUGAGGCACAUCAGAUCCGAGUUAUAUGUGAGGCACCUGUCUCGGAAAUCAUUAGUAACAAAGACGCGAGUGGCCGAGUCGCUGUCGUCGCACGGGGCUCCGACACCGGGGGCGUGCUGGCACCCCCCUUUUAGGUUCGGGGGGCCGUCGGGGAUCGCUCCGGCGAUCGCCGGCGUGGCCAAUGGCAUACGUAACCUGCAAAGAGGUGCACCCAGAAUGCAUGCAAGCUAGGAACAUAUGCACACACGUUUUUACCCAGGUUCGGGCCACCCGGAGGUGUAAAACCCUACGUCCUGCUUGUCUGAACUCGUAUUAUCACAAAACCAAGUGUUUACAGGUUGCCUGGUACGUUCCCGGGUACUCUCUCCCUUUGGCUAAGUGUUCCUUACUAUUCUCUGCUAAUGCUAGAGGCUAACUGUGAGCUGAUCGAACCGUAGAACCUAACCCUUUGACCGUUGGCGGGGGUCCUCCUUUUAUAGCCAAGGGGAUACCACAGGUGCCACGGUGCAUGGUUUACAAGUGGCGAGCAAGGAGCUUGGGCAACUCCUCCUCGGUGUGCUGGCAUGCAUGCAUGAGCGCCAACCCCGCUGCUAGGGGUCUAGGGCCUAAGAGAAUAGGACUAGACAGCCAUUGUUUGCCCGACAAGACGGAUAACACCCCUCCUGUCGGCUCAUUAAAUGCGUCAUGCGGCUCACUCCUCGCCCUGGUGAGACUGCACAAUGUGCGCCCAGCGCGCGUCCACGUGGUGCCGUUGCUCUGCUUGCUCGGCCCUGCCCUCACGACGGGAGCCUGCGCCCAGGAACCCCUCCUCCCGGCAAGUGACUUCUCGGGAGGCGUCCAGGUGGGACUGCGCCGGGGAAUCCCUCCUCCCGGCAAGUGACUUCCCGGGAGGCGUCCAGGCGGGAAUAUUCCCCGAAGCCCCGCUAGCCCUUCAAGGCUGGUAGCUUGCCGGGCUGCUUGUAGUUGCCGCCUGGGAUGAGAUCCUCCCGGGAACUCGGCGACGAGGCCCACGCGUCGUGCAACGGUGGUACCCCGGGUGCCACUGGUGCGACAGUCGCAAAAUGGGCUGUCGAGUUGGCACCCUAUGCGCUGCAGUACGACAGACGGGAUGCCGUGAAAUUUCAGGCUUUGGCGGAUUAUUUGUGGAUUGGGCCGAGAUGGAGUAUGAGCCACCGCCCCCGGAAACUAAUUACUGGAAGAUGCAUUUUGAUGGCUCUAAGAUGAAAAGCGGGCUGGGUGCCGGCAUAGUUGACUUCGCCCAAGCGUGAUCAGCUCAAGUACGUAUUGCAGAUUCACUUUGCAGCAUCCAACAAUGUCGCCGAGUAUGAAGCGCUGGUGCACGGACUGAAAAUGGCAAGGAAAUUGGAGUUCGCCGAAUUCAAUGUUUUGGUGAUUCCGAUCUAGUCGUCCAGCAAACUUCCGGCAACUGAGACGCAUUGGAUGCCAACAUGGCGCUAUACCGGUUCCAUGUCCAGAAGAUCAGUGGCCAUUUUGAAGGAUGUGAAUUUCACCACAUACCUCUGGCGGAAAAUGAAGCAGCCGACACAUUAUCGAAACUCGGUUCAACAUGACAAGCCAUUCCAGCUGGGGUGGCACUAGAGCAUCUACGCAAGCCAUCAACCAUCGCCAGAAUCGGAGUCUAUAUUAAUCCCGGCGAGUUCAGAGGCCGGCGCCACUCCCAUGAACAUUGACGGUGGCAACGGUUCCGGUAACCCGGGGACUGAGUGCCUUAACUCGGCGGAAGCAAUGGCAGUUGAGCCAAUGGAGAUAGACGAGCCGGAUGAGCCGAUCUUCACUACUCGUCCUGUGUCGGCCUGGGCACAACCGAUAAUGUCUUACCUCAAAGAUGUGAGUCUCCCAGAAGAAGAAUUGUCGGCAAGACAAAUCCAGAGAAGAGCAAAGGCGUACACCAUAAUCAAUGGUGAGCUUUACAAGAGGAGCGUUACUAACGUCUUACAGCGGUGCGUCGAGCCGGAAGAAGGGCAGGAGAUACUCCGGGAUAUUCACCAAGAAGAGUGUGGCCAUCAUGCAUCUUCAAGAAUGCUAGUAGGCAAAGCUUUCCGACAUGGUUUUUACUGGCCGAGUGCAUUACAGGAAGCAGAAGACAUAGUCAGGAAGUGCAACGGCUGCCAGAGAUAUGCCAGCAAGAUUCAUAUGCCGGCAUUCGAACUCAAAACAAUUCCAAUCACUUGGCUGUUUGCCGUUUGGUGUUUAGAUAUGGUAGGACCGUUCAAGCAGGCGCGAGGAGGCAUGACGCAUAUCCUGGUCAUGGUUGACAAGUUCACCAAAUGGAUUGAGGUCAAGCCGAUAAAGAAGUGUGACAGCAAAACCACGAUGUCAUUUCUAAAGGAUAUCAUCUUGAGAUCUGGGUACCCGCACAAUAUCAUCAUGGAUAAUGGAACGAACUUCGUGGAGGGACCUUUCGCGCGAUUCUGUGCUGAAAAGAAAGUCCGGUUGGAUGUUACUUCCGUGGCACAUCCUCAGUCCAAUGGGCAAGUUCAAAGGGCGAACGGCAUGGUAUUGGCCGGCAUAAAACCCCGGCUAAUCGGACCAUUGGAGCGUACUCCAGGAUGCUGGCUGGAUGGAACUCCCGGCUAUGUUAUGGAGUCUCAGGACGACUCCGCAUCGCUCUACAGGCUACACGCCAUUCUUCCUCGUAUACGGGGCGGAAGCUGUCCUACCAGCCGACAUUGAGCAUGACUCUCCACAAUUAACCAUGUAUACGGAGGCCGAGAUAAAAGAGGCCCGAGAAAACGAUGUCGACCUGCUCGAAGAAGCACGGGAGUUGGCUCUAUCUCGGUCAGCCAUCUAUCAACAGCACCUAAGGCGUUAUCACAGCCGAAAGGUCAGCCCGCGAGUAUUCCGGGAAGGAGAUCUUGUCCUCCGGCUUGUGCAACGCACAGCCGGCAUGCACAAAUUAUCACCUCCACGGGAAGGACCCUUUAUUGUGAGCAAAGCACUCCACAAUGAUUCCUACUAUCUUAUAGAUGCACAAGAUCCCAAGGCGAACAGGAUGGACUGGUCAGGCGAGAGACCAAGAGGCCAUGGAAUGUAGCGUUGCCCGUCUGUUCUAUACUUGAAAGCUAAGUAUUUGUAUCGUUUUUUCCUUAUGUUGAAUGUUUCAAUUAAGACAAUGAAAUUAUCCGCCGGGUUCUUGAAAGAAACUCGAGGACUUCCAUGUCAUUUAAAUGUUGUCUUACAAUUUUCUUUUGUAUGUCGGCAUGGCUUAAUUGCAUAAUCUUACGUUGAUCUAGUAGUAUGUCGGUAUUGACAAAAUCCCUCUAUCACUUCGCUGCUGUCCGCAACCUGGCUUCAUGGCAAGCUAGAGAUGAGUAUAAAAUAACCGAGCACACGAAAAAUGACUAAGGGAACAAGCAAAGAGGCGAUCCGAGAUACAUAUUAUCUUAACUAGGCUUUUCGUGUUAACUCGUCUAUUGCCGAGCGGAUUCUUCGGGUUACUUUUUUUCGAAAGAGUGGUUUUAUAACUUUGCGAUUCAUACGUCGAAUGCCGGUAAGGCAGACAAAAGAACUGAAGUUGUAAAAUUUCACUAAGACAAAAAAGGCACUCAGGGACUUGGUCGGGAAUUCGAUAAACAAAAAGACUUUAUUAAGAUUAAGAACACAGUACUUGGCAAACAAAGUGUGUCGGUUACAUCUGCACCCAGCAUUCCGGGGAUCUAACUAUUUUGAAGUUUUUUGCGCAAACUACAAAGAUACAGGGGGGUCGUUGUCACCAGAACUCGGCGCAAUGGAGGCCGACUCCACGGCGGCUUCCUCGUCUUCCGCCUCUUCCUCCCCGUCCGUCAUUUCGGCUUCGGCGUCAGAGAUCGGGCCUUCCACAAAUUUAUGCACGUCGGCAUAUUGUAUGAAGGAGUAGGCCCACUCCUUGCACUUGGCCACCAGAUCCGGAUCCGAGAGAUGGGGGGAGCUGGCACGCAUAGUCUGCAGCACGUCGAGGUUAAUGCCGUCGUACCAAGAGAGUACGAACGACAAAGCCUCGUCGGCUCUGACGCGUGCGGCAGACUCCCGCCACUCGUUUAGCCGGGACGGACCCUCGUGCAGCCGCCUUGCCAGGGCCGGGAUCUCCUCCGGCACCUCUUCACCGGGCCACAACGCUUUCAAGGUCCGGAGGGAGGCAUCCAGCAUGUCAACGCCGAAGGACUUGAGAGGCUUAACCCGGCUCGCAAUGCUCACUAGGUAGUCCUCCAAGUCCCACUCGUAUGAUGCCCCUGCUGCCACCACCGGGUCCCUCUUCUUGCGAAGCUUCGCCACGGUCGCCUGAGCAUGCUCGACGGAUAAGGGAAAGAAUUCUGGCAGAGGCAGAGGGAAGCUAGUCAGUCUCAGCAUGUUACCGCUAUCAUUCAAACGAGUAACAGAAUGAAGAGGGUCAGCUUACUUGUCAGCAUGUUAUCGAUCUUGAUGAUCUCACGACCGAGGACCUUGAGCAGGCCGGUCUUCUCGGCAUCUUCUAACUCGGCGGUUGUCGCACAAGUCUCGAGCUCGGCAGCGAGGGCCUUGCCCUUCUUCACCUCAUCUUCCAGGCGGAUUUUUUCAUCAGCCUGGGAAGCGAGGGCCGAGGUGAGUUGGUUCACCUCGGUCUUGUGCGCCUCGGCCUGCGCUGCGAUUUGUGCCUGCAGCCGGGAAAUUUCUUCCCGGUGCUGCUCGGCCAGCCGAGUUUUCUCGUCUGUUCAAUCUGACGGAUGUUACAGAAGCCGACAUAUAAUAUGAAUGGAACUCGGGUCGAGGAUGGGGCGUCACCUUGCACCUCGGAGACGCGCUUCAGCAGCUCCUCCACUUGGGCGUUAUCUCCGGCUGCGAACAAGAAGAAAUAUCAGUCUAGGCCGACUACGCAUACUCGGACAGAGAUCUUAUCUUUGCAGAAUACACUUACUCUGGCUCUCGCGCUCAGCCUUCAGGGCCUCGUGCGACGCCGCCAGCUUCUUGUAUUUGCCCAACAGCCCCUUAAAGACUGCAGUGCGCUUGUUCAUGCAGAGCUGCAAGAUAAUGAUGCACAAGUGAGUUCGCAACAACAGGCAGUUAACGAGGAAUAAGUGUUUGAAGCUUCUAAGCUUCAGGCCGACUAUUCUAAACCCGACCGGAAUCUCGGGGAAUAAGUGUUUGAUCAGGCCGACUAUUCUAAACUCGACCUGAAUCUCGGGGAUAAGUGUUUGAAGCUUCUAAGCUUUAGGUCGACUAUUCUAAACUCGACCGGAAUCUCGGGGAAUAAGUGUUUGAAGCUUCUAAGCUUCAGGCCGACUAUUCUAAACUCGGCCUGCAUCUCGGGGAAUAGAUGUUUGAAAUUCUAUGAGAUAAGCUUUAGGCCAACUAAUCCUUACUCGCCCUAAACCUCGGGGACUAGCAGUAUGGAUACUAUACUGGAAUACUGGAAUUGAGAGUUAAAUUUCUUAAGAAUUUCGGCGUACCUCAGUAGCUCGGCUCGUUUCGAACAAGGUCACCCGGGCUUGGUACAUCUGAGCCGCCACCGACUCCGGAGUCGUUGCCGGUGGUGGCCCCACUAAGGGGCUCUGCCGCGCCGACUGCACGGAGCUGGAGGUCACUUCGUAGUGAUCAGCGUUGUUCCAGUCCAUGACGGACUGGCCCAGCGAUCCCCAGCUUUGCCCGCUGGAUGUCCGGAGUGGAAUCUCCUGUUGCUGGCCGGAGCGACGCGGGGCAGCAGAUCCCGGAACCGUUGAUCCUGCAGCAACAGCAGGGCCUUUAGCCUUCGCGGCUUGGGCAGCAGCAGCCUGGGCGCCCUCUUUCGGCUGCGACGAAGAUGGCGGAGGAGUCAGAGUCGGCUGCGGAUCUUGGGGGUCCUGCGGACCCGUCGCCGGCUCUUGCGGCGUUUCGGAGGCCGGCGGCUCCGCUGGUGUCUCGACUGCGGCCGAGGAAGGGGCUUCCUCGGGGGCAGCCUCGGGGGCCGAGACCUCGGCCGCAGGGAUCUUGGACUGGCCGACGACGGUGGCGUCAACACCUGGACCGACAUCCCGGGCCGGGGAUGUCGGAUCUGCGGCAGUCUCCGUCCCGUCCACAGCCGGGUCAGAGGCCUCGGCGCGGGAAGGAUGACCCGCCGGAAUCUCAGACGCGAUGCACGUCUGAGACUGGGUGGCCUCCAAUGCCUCCCUGCAGAAGUAAAUAUUAACUACUUACGGGCUCAACAACAAAAGAAGAGUGCCAGCUUAAGUAGUUGAGCUGAGCUAGGCCUUACCCGACGACCAGGGGCUUGGGCUUGGGGCCACGAGCCGCUGCCCUCUUUUGCUUUACGUUCUGCGGAAGCUCCAUCUCGACGGCGCGCUUCUUCUUUAUGACGGCGCGUUUCUCCCGAGUCGGCACUUCCGCAGUGGGCUCGCCCGAGUCAGCUGCAUCCGAGAAAGAAUGAACAAAAUCACCUCAUUGACAGAUAUUGAGAAAUCACAGAAGAAUGUCGGAGAUUCUUACAUUUGACGCGGCGAGGUCCGGCAUGCGGAAUGGGCAUGAAGUCCUCCGAGUCGGGAUCUUCCGCGUCGGCAAACUUGCACAGGGGUGCGAAGCGCUUGUCGGGGGAACCCCCGUCUUCCUUGCACUGAAUAACGAACUCUUGUACAAAGGAGUCGAGUUGAACCGAAAUAGAUACGUAUUCGCAUGACAUUUGUUAGUGUUCUGGUGGAUGCAAUUUCUUCCUGUGGCACGACCCACCGACUUCUGCCUUUCCGCGGGAUUUGAUUGGCGAUCUUCGUGAUUCCUGUAUAAAAUGGAAGAAGGAGAAUGAAAUGUUCAAGUCUGCUACUGUCAGAUCUGAUGCUUUGUACCAUGAGUUGCAACAGAAACUUGCAAAUGAGGAGAAGAAGAAUGCUGCAUUAGAAGACCAGGGGAAGACAAUGAGGAAUCAGCUGGAAACCCAAAAAAAUUGCAUUGGCUUACUUCUAUUCCUGUUAGCUUCUGUUCUUUGGGGUGUUUUGAGUGUAGAACUAGUGGUCUAGGUUAGGAUCUGUGUCUAAAAUGUAAGCACAACUACUGUAAUGAGAUGUUCUGUAAUGUUGACAUAUUUGAAUCUAGAUGUUUGCAUUACAGAAAGAUGGAUUUGUAUGUGUAUGCAGCUGGCAACAAUAACUUAUGAGCUAACAUAACAAAUCUAUUUCACCACACAAAACACAUCGUUUCAGAGCAAGCUAACAGAACACACCCAGGUCACUUCCAGCACACAAAGCACAUGGUUUCAGAGCAAGCUAACAAAACACACCCAGGUCACUUCCACCACACAAAGCACAUGGUUUCAGACCAAUCUAACAACACACACUAAGUUCACUUCCAGCACACAAAACAGAUUCACUCACCAUUAACUGUGCAAUCCUGAUGUGAAAUUUUGUCCACAGGCCACAUUUGUGUCUUGAUACAACUAUCUCAAACGGUUCCGGUUUUCAAACUAUUUGCUAUUUUUUGAAUUUCAAAUUCACUCAAUUUUGAUUAAUUUUGACUAAAUUAGGACCAAUCUUUGCAAGAUUCAUCCCAAAAUUUAUAUAUAGUACUUGUGGGUACAUUUUAGAUGUUGUCACCAAAUUUCAGAUUUUCUUGACUUCAAAUCCUAUACAUCGAGCAUUCCAAAUUCACUCAAAUUUGAUCAAUUUUGAAGAAAUGAUGACCGGUCUUGGCAAGAUUCAGCCCUUAAUUGGUGUAUGUACACAUCUAGGGAUCCCUUAAUUAAGGUGUGUACACAUCAUUUGCGUGCAUGCAUGCAGGUAGUUAAAGGGGAUCCCGGUGUUAAAUGGUCCAACACAGUGACACACCAACAACUAAGGCAUGAACAUUAUUCCUUUCAGAUUCAUGCAUGUAGAGAUGAAUGAAUAUUCUUAUUCAUUAAUAAAACAAGUUCACGCACACGUCGGCCAAGUUAACUAGUACAAAGAGCAGUUUUCACACAAUAAGUGGGGUUGACAGGUGGGCCCUUCUUUGGUUGACAGGUGGGCCCAGGCUGUACUUCCCAUCUCCCUUCCCUUUUUAUCGAGCAUAUCCCCAUCCCAUUCCCCAACUGACCACACAUCCCCCUGCCUCCUCUUCUUCUAACCUAGCCGCCCUGCGACGCCGCCCGUUCAUCUCACCCGCCAGUGGUCGCCAUGGAAGGGAACAAGCUGGCAGAUGCAGAGCUCAUCGAAAGAGAGGUAAGCUCAUGGCCUUCUUCUCCCCUUUGCCUUUUUAAUCGAUCCAUUCAUUCUAAUCUAUCCCCUUUUUUAAUCGAUCCCCUUUCUUAACGGAUUCGUGGUCCAAAUCUAGGUGCACGACCGAAACCUCGUUCGGAUUGGUGGUCCUGUCCGGGCAAACAUCCAAGAGGUACGAAUCCACGUGCUUCCCUUUCCUUUCUGUCUCACGUGCUUCCCUUCUACGAUGCCCGACCACGUGAAUCCCACCUCGUGUCCAUCCGCUUUUGGGAUCCCUCAUCUUUUAGUUCCACUUUUAGAAAGCCGACCACAUGAAUGCUCGAUCUAGUUCUUAUGCAGUCGAUUUAAAGUUCGAGCACUUAAUCAAUUUAGAGUAGAUCUAAGGGAUCCCUAAUUUUGAUUUUUUGUCGCACUUAGGAUGAGAAAGGCUGCCCAUCUGGACGGUUUGUAACCCACUGGAGUACACAUCCUUGACCGAGCGUGCCAAAUCCAAGGUGUGGAUCGAGGCCAUCAGGCGCCAGCAAGUAAUAGUUUCCCUAUUUUGCUCGAGUUUCGUUUUAAUUGUUAAGGGAAUGUGAACGAAGCAUGAAAACCUGUUCCAUUCAUCAUUGUUCACAGAUCAAUCCUGGCCAGCACAAGCUUUGGAGCUUCGUGAGCCCAUUCUUCUUCGUCCAGCUUGGACCGGAGGCGCAAGCGAUGGUCUAGAAGCUUUUCACUAGCCGCCUAGCCAGGCGCCAAGGCAGGUUCGAUAUUGUAACGGACCGGUUUUUGAAAAAAAAAAUUAGAAACUUUUUCAUAAAAAGAGGACUAAAAAAUUUCAAUGAAUUUAUGAAAGCUUAAUUUGAAAUUUCCUAAAAGUUUUGGUUUCAAAUCGAAGUAACAACAACUACAAAUUAAAUUUAAGUCUUACUUGCUAUUUUGGUUUGCUGGUACUUUAUUUCGAUUCGGCGUAUUAAAAUAUGCAAUUUGGAAUUUCUGAGCUCGUUUGCAUUCUAUUUGGAGGUUUACGAAGUUUCAGUCUUUUUUUUGGAAAAGAGUUUUUCCUGCUCUCUGGGUCGCAGCCCAUCUUCUUCUCCUUUUUCUCUCUUUUCUUUGCCUAAGCUGCACCUUCCCUUAGCCCAGCUAGUCUUCCUAUUCUUUUCUUUCUCUCCUCACGCUUGGGCCAGCAGCUAGCCCAUCAUCCAGGCAACAGCCCAAGCCUGCUCCUGUCUUGCACGCACGCCUGCUCGACUCCCUGAUUCUUUCUUCUUUCACGAGCACCAGCAGCAGCUCCAGAAACGCACGCACCUGUGCACGCCGCCACCUUGAUUUUCCCCUUCGAUUCUCUUGCUCCCUGUCGUUUAUCUGAAAACCGAAAUGGCCAAAUUAAUCUACAUCACCUGGUGAACUGAUUCAGCUUUCAACCAUCAGUUUCCUGUCUUCAAUUCCCCAGUGAUACGGACGCCCCGAGUGCCGGUUUUUGGCAUACGUUUCCUGAUCUCCCACCACAGCCCACAAAACAUAAUUCCUAUCGCGUCAUAUUGAGGCUCUUCGUCUCCUCCUUCGUUUCCUUUCCCAGAGUUUCAUCCAAGAACCAUUGUAGAGCCCGUGCUAUUAUCAUCUACCCCGCCGGCCGCCGUCACCAUUCUUGAUGGUGUUACCACGAGGUAGCUUUGUUUUGAAUUUUCCUUUGAUCUGUAAACUCAAGUAAUCCCCUCCUAUCGGUGUGGUAAGGUUAUGCAUCAAACCUGAACCGUUGGCUGCGUCGUCCCUGAGCUCGCAGCCCACAACACUGUCACGGACGCCGCCGGCUGUUCCCGCUGAACCGGAGCCCCGCAGGCUGCAAUCUCGCGCCAGGAGCAGAGCCUCAACGCAGCAGAGUCACCGCCCUAACCCGCAGCCCGGCAGAACAACCACGUGGGACGGAUUUCAUUCAUCUUUGUCAACUUCGGUCGUCGCGUUCAUGGCACGAUUUCUUCCCCUUCGGUGAGUCCUGUCCAAAUUCCUUUUACACGUCGACUCAUCUAUAUCGGUUCUAAGCAUGACGUCCUGUUCAAUUAUUUGUUUUGGCCAGGUGUUCUCAAAUCCAUGCCGAUCCCGACCGACACGGUCAUGCCAUACACAUCCUAUACCUAGUUGCUGUAAAAUUCAUUCGUGUCACUCAAUUAUAUUCAUCUCCAGUAGACUAGAACAGGAGACGGAUCCUCCAUCCGAUGACCGGAGCUCCGACAACUUCAAUGCCAUCUUGUUUAUGACCAAUAUUGUCAUGCUCUUCCAUGUUCAGUCCAUAAUCUGAGCUCAACCCCAACUUAAGAAAGUUUCCCUUUGACCUUAGUGACCCGCCGGUGGAAUCGGAUUCGCAAUCCGAUGGGUAGAAUUUAAACUAUAUAUAAACCGAUGCUAUUCGGGUCAAAUUCGUAUAUAAUUUGAAUUGGCUUUAGUAUUUUUUUGUGCAUGUCCUGUUUUUGUAGUUCAUAUACAUGCAUAGGAGUUGUAUGUCAAGUUUGUAGAAUUUUCUGAUCACUUGGCUAGCUAUUUAUUAGAUUUGUUUAGUAGCAUGUAUUGCUUGUUUAUUCUGUAUUCAUGGCUAUGCAUGCUUGCCUUGAGUUAUUUUUAUGAUACUUGUUUGUGACAUACAUUGUGUGUGCUGCGUGUAUGGUUAUAACGCACACGGUGUAUGUAGGAUUUGAAGUUUGUUUCAUGCUUUAUUAAGUUGUGACAUGAUGGUGUGUAAGCAAUUUCCCUCGUCAAGGAGUUGGGAGCUAUAUCACCCCGCAAGGUCUAUGACUGCGAUCGCUUUGGGUUGACGCUCUGCUUGACUUGUGGAAAUAGUGAGCUAUAUCACCCCGCACGGUCCAUGACUGUGAUCGCUUUGGGUUGACGCUCCAAGCUCUCCAAGACCACAUCACCCUGCACAGUUCUUGCACUGUGAUCGCUUUGGGUUGAAGUCUUGGCUUAUCAUCAAUCACUUCUUAAUACUUGUAUGAGUCAAAUUCCAGGUCCGACAUGUAUGUUAGCAUGUGUUUUGCUUGAUGUUAUUGAUGGAUCACAUGUUUGGAUUCUCUUUGGUUUAGGUCAUGCUUAUAUGAUUAGUAUAUAACUUGUAGCAUUACUUUAUGCAUGUGGUGGUAGUAAGAUUGUUAGCUACAUUAAUCAUGCCUAAUUGUUCUUACUUUGCCAUGUCUAUUAUCUUGUAUGCUUGCAAUACUAUAGUAUUUUGCUAUUGAGUGCUCAUUGCUCUAUAACUAGAAUCUUAGUUUUUCAUGAAUGUUCUCGUAGAACUUUGGUAUUGUUCUAAUGACAUUCUUAGUUGAUGUACAUUUGCCUUGUUUGGAUGCAUCAUUUAGGUUGUAUUGUUAUUUUGUUCAUGUAUGUUGUUAGCUAGAUUUACAUAUAUGCUUUAGUUGUCUUUAGUUCUUUAAUCUAGUAGCUUUGCCAUGUCGUAUCAGCCAUGUCUUUCUUUUGUUUGUGUUAUAUGAUGAUUAGAGUAUGAUGCCUUGUUUGCUAGAGUGGGAUGAAUUGUUUAUAAUGCACUUGUAGUACAAUAUGCUUGUAUUGACAUGCCUUUGUUCCUAGUGUGUGCGCCAGGCAUAGCGUAUGCUAGCUAGUUUCCUUGUUUUUGUUUAAUGUUCAGUUUAUGCGAAGCGUGUCUUGUCUGCUCUCUGUCCAUUGGUUUACCACUAGCAUGUAUGUAAGAGUUGCUAGAUGCUUAGUUUACUAUUCUUGUAUGAUAUAUGCUUCCUAGGAUGUUGAUAUUACUAGUUUACUAUGGUAUGCCAUCCAUUGUCAACCUCUUGCUUGCUAGUGAUACAUGUUAGUAGUUGAUUAUUCUUGUAUAUGUUACCUAGUGAUGAUCUUUACUUGUUCAGUAACAUGUCAUGUGACUUAGUGCAUAUUUGGUGUAUAUGUGCAUGUGAUGGCAUGAUAGCUAUUGUUGCUAGCAUUAUUACGCAUCUUUCUUAGAUAACAUGAUGUCCGUGUCACGUUCGUUUCAUGCUUAUAUAUCGGGUUGUCUUUACAUGCUCAUGCUUAUACAUGUUGUUUCAUAUGCACUACAUAUUAUGCUAUGCUUGUAUGCUUCUUAUUCAUAUGCUUUUGUCAUUCUAAGCUUUUCGUAGUUAUAUUGUUAUUAGAUUCUAUUGUCCUUUUAUCUCUAAGGUACGUUCUAAUUAUCUCAAUGCAUAUGUGUUCCAUCAUCCUGUGGCGCAUUGCAUAUAGCUAAGGUGCAUCUAUUAUGUGUUAUCAUGCUCAAGCCACUCAUAUAGAUCAUAAGAUUGUGUAUUAGUGUAGAAUCGUGCUUGGCAUACUUGAAUAGUCUUCUUUCAGUUGGUGUUUACUUGGUAGCUGCUUGCCAGUUGUCCAUUAUUGUCUUUAGAGAAUAUGGUUGUUUUCAUCUAGAACUAUAAUUCCUUGUCUAGCUUUAUCUUGCAUAGAGAUUUAUCUUAGCUUUUGACAUAUCCUUAUGGUUGCAUGCUAGAUACAUUAUAUUUCUUGCUUGUAUGAUCACUAGUAUGAUAGGAGUUGUUUGAUGCUUGCAAACUAGCAUGAUAAGAUGUAUUGUUUUGUGACUGUUUACAUUUAUGCUUGAGCGAUAUGGUUAGUAGCAGUGUGACUAUAUGGUGUAGUAUAUAUUUAUUACUUCAUAAAGGUUAUGACCAAUCAAGCUAUGUCCCUCAUUCUGGGUAUAUAGUUUACUUUGUUAGAAUCAAUCUCAUUGUUCCAUCUUAUCAAAGUUGUUCCUAUCCUUUCCAAGUUUCCAAACCUAUUCUUAGCCGCCUUGUCUAUUCACUCUCCUAUUUGCAUUUCAUUUGGUUUUAUUGUAUUUGUAUUUAAUAUUUUGUUUGUUCUUGUUACCACUAUGACGAAUAGAGAGUGACGAGGUGGAACUAGGACAAGAAUCAGAAGCUGAAGAAGAAGAAUUCAUCAACGGAGGCAUGCCCCACCCCCCCUCUCUUUGAUCAUAUUUAUCCUAUGUUUUCAAAUGGGCAUUAGUUAGUUAUUUUAUUGUUUUACAAACAUGCAUGCUAUUUUAUUCCUGUAGCUAGUGUGUCGAUUGACACUUUGCCAUUAUCUGCUUGUUGCCAUUCCUUUGAUACCUGGAGUAGUUUUAUAUGUAAUCUUGUUGAGUAGAAAUGCUUAGCCAUGCUCAUAUUAUUCACUAGGAAAUCUCUCCAAGGAUUCUAAGUGAUCUUUGGAUCGAUGAUACCAUUGCUGAAAGUUGUUGAGCUUGCCGAGCUGGGCGUAGUCCCUCUUCUUGAAAUCUCCUUCUACUCUCUCUACCUACUCCAAGUGAAACUUACCAUACAACUGGUGCGGGCGGCAGCUGGAUCAUUGGUUGAAGGAGCAAUUGCUAGCUUGUGUGGGAGCAAUUCGCCACCCGUAGCGGAUGAGGCCUAAAAUGGCUUGGUUUAGUAUGGAGUUCAUGCUUAAUGUGGUCAUAGCUGUACCGCUCAUGGGGUGUCGCCUAAGAUAGGGAACCCUCGGCAUAAAAGGGGGGCCUGGACUGCGAAUCGCCAGACGAUGUCCUUCCGUGUUGAAACCUAGUGGGCGUGUCACAUUGAGUAUGUUCUUUUGAAAGACCUUGUCACGACUCGCUGUCGGUACACAUUUGUGUGCGUAUUCACCAGAGGCCGCUGGUUAGGCACUGGGCGAGAUCGUGUCAUGUGGAUACAGCGUACGACCUCUGCAGAGUAUAAAACUAUUCGAAUAGCCGUGUCCACAGUCAUGGACGACACAUGAAUCUUUCUUGACAUACGGGACCUGUCUUCUUUCCCUUCCUUCCUCCCUCUCAGACUUCUUGCUGGAACUGAGGAUUUGGGUGAGUGGUCGAGGACCCUCACGUUGUUGGAUAAUGCUUUGGAGAUAAACUUGUUUUUAUCAAAACCGCCUUCAUCAAAAGUAUGGUAGUAUUUCAAAUAAAACUGUUUUUAUGCAAAAGAACCAUAUAGCUUUCGUUUGAAGCUAACAUAUAGUUAUCAGCGUUCCUAAAGGGGGCACGCUGAGUACGUAAUGUACUCAUUGCACUGCUUUUGUUGUUGUUGUACACAGUUCCUGAAGAUAAGGAUGCCGAUUAUGAAUACUAGGAGGAUCUAAGGAGUGAGGUCAUGAGGACUACAUCAACUACCUGUGGCUGAGAUGGAGUCGCUACGCAUUUUAGUUUCCGUUGUUUUCUGAUUAUAACAAUGUCAUGAGACAUUACACUUUGUAAGCCAUUGGGUAUAUUAAUAAUAAAUCUUUGUUUUAUCUUAAGUGUUGUGCAAUGUUAGUCAUUUCGCCUGUGUUCAUCAACUUGAUCCUGGACUGAUGAAACUUAGCAAAGGGUCUGAAAGUUAAUUCCGGGUUCCCACAGAUAUUGCGGGCAGCUGGAAGAUGAUCACCCUUGAUGAAGUUGAUCAGGUCAAGAAGCUUCAACACGAACCGACGGUACCAACUAGUCCAUUUGCGUUUUCUUUUUUCGUGCAUUUUGUAUCUACUGUACCAUUUUGAUCCCUUGUACAUAUGGUGUUGAUGGUUGUGACAGGACGAUGAGCCUGCCCAUAUGCGGGAUGUUGAUUACAACGAUCUAGAAUCCAUCAAGGAGAUAGCUGAGGAAAUCUUCGACCUGCUCAUCCUGGGAAUCUGGGUGCCGAUUGAGGAUGGCAUCUACAGCUGCACAUUUUGUAACAGAGUCAUCAACACUACUUUCAUCAACGUCUUCAACCACUGCAAGUUUUUACCAGCCGGGGGAUCCACAUGCUGAGUCAAAGAGGGCAAGGCACCUGGGGCUCAGGUGGUACUUGAGCGCCCAUCCAUCGACCCCACUACCAUUCUGAGAUGUCCUUGCGUUGGGAUGUAGCCUGGAAGUACUAGUACUAUUGUUUUUUGUAUGUUGGGAUGUAAGCCUGGAAGUACUAUGGUGGGAUUCCCUUCCCUGAACUACAUGCCUGCCUGUCUUUAUGUUCGAUGUAGACAAGUACUAGUGCUAUUUUCUUUCUGUCUCAAUGCUCACUUUUGUCUUGUUCACUUGUGCAUCCAUGUGUUCAUUUUUCACUGCCAAAAAGUACCAGCCUGAGUACUAAUUUCACUGCCAAAAAGUUUAGGGGAUGGGAAUCAUUGACAUUACAACUAGGGACCCCAAGGGAAUGGAGUGCAAUAUACUUAACAUUACAAGUUAAGUUCACCUAGAUCCAAACAUCUUUGUUCACAGUUCAAAUUCAAAUUUAAAUAAAAAUCGCAAUUAAAAAACAAUCAGUCGAGAUGAUGGACAAGAUAUCAUUCAACUUAGGUAAGUAACUUGCAACGCACCAUUACACAUGGCACAAGAUAUCAUUCAAACAAACUUGACAUAGUUCGAACAGAUCACGACAUUUCAACUAAUCUAUAAAUUUUAUAAAGCUUAAAUCCACUAACUGCAGUAAAUUUUGCAACUGCACAUGCAAGCCGUCCACGUGAGCGUCUCAUAAUUCCAUUUUCUAGUCCCUCCCGCGUCAACCUGCCGGCAGCUUCUGAUUAGUCUGACCGCUCAAGCUGCGCUCUGCAGCUGCUGAGCUCAAUCCCCUCAGCCCCGGCCGCCGCCGACCCCGCCGCCCCCGGGCUCAGCCCCGACUGCCGCGUCCCCGGCGCCCACUGCUCCGCCCCGACCGCUGCAUCCCCGGCCCGACGCUGCGGGCUGCAACCGCCUAGCUCAGUCCCCGCCGCCCCGGGACUCAGCCCCGGCCGCCGCCGACCGCCGUCCCCGUAUCAGCCCCGACCGCCGCGUCCCCGCCGCCCACUGGCUCCGCCCCCGAACGCCGCGUCCCCUGUCGUCGCGCUGCCCACUAGCUCCGUCCCGACCGCCGCGUCUCCGGCCGCCGCCGGCCGCCGUCCCCGCCGCCCCCGGGCUCAUACCUGACCACCGCAUCCCCGCCGCCCACGGGCUCGGGCUCAGCCCCAGCUGCCGCCGAGCGUCGUCCCCGCCGCCGAGCACCGUCUGCGAAGAUACACAUUUUUUUUUCUGAUUUCUUUUUUCUGAAACUCGAAGGUACCCAAUCUUGCGCAAUUGUCCCGGUUGGUGUUGACACGUAACAAAUGUUCUCAAUUUUCUGCUUUGUGAUUUUUGCUUUGUGAUUUGCGGUCAAAUUCAGCCGUCGCUCCACCUCCGCCCUCGCUCUGUAACCGCUGCUUUCAUUCCCCUUUCAUUUGCAGCAGAAACGGCAGCCACUACACCUGAAUUUGCAGGGACUUCGGGUCGGUAUUAAUGGCGGCCAUGGGGCGUGCUCUAUUUAGUCCCUUCCACGCGGUUCUUCCUCACCCCGGCGUCUUGCUGGAUUCCAGGAGCCAUUCCAAGGUUUGGGACUUCCCAUCUUAGGUUUCUAUCCAGAUUGUGUGCUCGUGGGAUGUUGAAUUGGUUAUUUUUGUCAGGGAUUUGCAGGCCGCUUUCUCAGAUUUAUUUGUGUUUCUGAAGUUCGAGCGCAGCAGCAGCAAGCGAAAUUAUGUCGGAUUUUUGUGUGAAUUGAUUUCAUCUAUAUUAGCGAACUCUCUCUUGACGGUAUGUACUCCAGAUCUUUUUUUUGUGUUAUUCUUUUGUCUUAUAAAAUUUGGAUUCAUAUAAAGUUGAAUGCUUAUGUUCAUGCCAAAAAGACAACUGGAUUGCAGUUGAGUCAAAUAAAUAUUAUAGGAUAUCAAAGAGAAGUACUUAUGUAAGAUGAAUUACAUGUUGGUGUUCCUCUGAGUUGGUUCUUCCAUAGGAAAAACCUGGAAAUGUAGUGUCCCAUUUUUCAUGAACUCAAUGUCGACGGAUGGAUGAUCAAACUUUGGGGUUGUGGCAUGAGAAGAUAUGUUUUUGAAAGUUAGAUACACCGGUGGCGAUUUAGUGUCCCUUAUCUCUUGAAUUGCUUCAGUAAAUUUCUUCUGAGCUUGCCUCUCUGAAUUAAUUGACAUCCUGCAGGGAAAAUAUUAGGGAGAAAGUGCAUUGAGAUGAGUAUUAAAAAAGAAAUUAAGGUUUUCAUAUAUACAUACCUGCUGUUUUCAUGUGGAUGCUCCCUAUGCAGCUGAACAAAGAACACUGGAUGUGUAGCAUAAUGGAAUAAGUUUACUUUCAUAUCUCACGUUUUAUAGCUGCAUCAAAAGUGUUAGAGAUUCAAUGAAAAAGAUGUUACAUGCCCUAAAAACUGUCCUGGAACCCCCCCCACCUCUUUACUCAGCCAUUAUAAUGAAGAAUGAAACUGAUUUGACAUCAGCCAUUUAAUUUUCCAUCGUAAUUCUGUUAUAAAGUGAGCCUUAAUUUCAUCUGACCGAGCUGUAGAUUGGUUUAUUAUAAUUAUGAAACCAAAUAUGCAGUGGAUAGAUAAUGCAUUGUAGCUGUCGGUCUUUAGUUUGGACAGUAAAUAAAUUGUAAAACUCUGUUUAAAAACAAUCGAUCAUGUCCCUGCCAGUAUGGACAGUGGGGAAAGUUCUUCCCGUCUUCCACCGCAACGUGGGCUUCCACGAGGUCGAUGUGGCCGUCGUCGGCGCACGACAUCGCCUGAUCCAGUGCCUACUCCAACUCGGGCUGCUGCUGCUGGAUCUCGCUGUAGGCGCAGGCUAUCAAAUGCAUCUGGGGCUUCUUCUUCGUCUAUUGAACAAAAUAUGAACACACCAAGCUCAUCUAUGGCACAAAAUGUUUUUGUUCAGCUACCAGAGCCUUCUGUUUCUGUCACAAGCCCAACCCACCAUCAUCGACGUAGGUUUGAUAUUCCUAGCCUUCUGAAAAAAGAACACCUUCAGGAACAAUUUUUACACCUUUAUAUCUUGGAGGCCCUCAGCAUAAUUGUGUGCAUUGCCAUUCCUUCUUCUGGUACGAUGAGAGACAGAAAUACAUCAAACCCAUCCUAUAAUUUAUGUUGCAAAGGAGGUAGAAUCAAGCUUCCGCCUUAUGCCCCACCUCCACAGCCCCUUAUGGAUUUGUUGACUUCACAGACCAGUUCAACUUCAAGACACUUUUUUGAGCAUAUUCAGCAAUACAAUGCCAUGUUUGCUAUGACUUCAAUGGGGGCUAAGGUUAUUGAGUCUAUAAAUGAUGGACAUGGGCCAUAUGUUUUCAAGAUUAGCGGACAAGUUUGUCAUCGUAUCGGUACACUGCGUCCAUGUGACGGUCAUCCACCCGAAUAUUGCCAGCUUUAUAUAUAUGAUACGGAAAAUGAGAUCACCAACAGGAUAAACGUUGCUUCUUCUAGCCAGGGCUCUUUUCAUGCUAAUCAAGGGAUAGUUGCCUCUCUCAUAAGAAUGCUUGACAUAAAUAACCCUAUUGUCCAGCUUUUCAGAAGUGCCCGUGAAAGGUUAGAUGGAUAUACAUCCUCCGACCACUACCGUAUUAGGAUAUUUGGUGAUGUCGAUGCUCAUGGUGAUAUAUUUAGUGCUCCGGUUGCAUCCGAGGUUGUGGGGUUGAUUGUGAGUGACGUUGGAGCAACUGACAUUGGUAGUGACCUUAUAGUGGAAGAUCGUUCAGCAGGCCUUCAACAAAUAAAUGGGAAACACCGUAAAUUUAUGUCCAUGCAGUAUCCUCUCUUAUUUCCAUAUAGAGAAGAUGGUUAUCAUGAAUCAUUAGUAUAUCAGCAAACCCCUGGAUCUGAAAAUCUACGUCGCAAGAAAGCAACAAUGCUAGAGUACUAUUGUUAUAGGUUCCAUGAUAGGACUGAGGACUUCAACACUCCAUUGAAAGGCAAGCGAUUGACACAAAGUUAUGAAGUUGAUGCUUAUUGUUGUGUUGAGGGGGAUCGGAUAGGGCAUUACAGAAAACCAAGUUUCCAGCGAAAAUAUAGAUCAGCACCUUAUAACUCUUUGGCUAAUUCUGUAUCAAGUGGCGUUACUUCUGGGUCUUCAGCCGGGCAAUGGGUUAUUUUGCCCUCUUCUUUCACUGGAGGUCCUCGCUAUCUUUAUCAAAACUAUCAAGACUGUAUUGCUAUCUGUAGAAAAUAUGGCUGCCCAGAUUUAUUUAUCACAUUCACGUCAAACCCUGCUUGGCCGGAGAUUGCAGAAGCGUUGGCAUCUUUCCCUGGGCAACAACCUUCUGAUAGACCUGACAUUGUAGACCGGGUUUUCAAAAUGAAAUUGAAUCAUUUAAUGGAUGACAUAAAAAAAAAGAAAUUUUUUGGUCCCAUAAAUGCAGGUAUUGUUUCGGUUCAUGUCCAUACAUGUUACUCGAUUUAUUAUGAUAUCACUGACAUAUAAAAAUGGUCAUUUAAUUUUUUUUCAGUUGUGUACACAAUCGAAUUUCAAAAACGUGGUCUCCCACAUGUUCAUAUUAUAUUAUGGUUGGCCAGCGAAGAACCUCUAGAUGCCGAGAAAAUUGAUUUGUACAUCUCUGCUCAGUUGCCAGGCCCAACAACUGAUCCAAUUGGAUAUGAAGCAAUUUCUUCUUUUAUGAUUCAUGGUCCAUGUGGCCCUCUGAAAUCCAACGCAUCUUGCAUGUCUGAGGGAAAAUGCUCAAAAAAUUUCCCUAACGAGUUUUGUGAAAAAACCAGUAUAGACAGCAAGGGUUUUGCUCAGUAUGCUCGGCCUAACAAUUGGAUGGUCGUAAAUAGAAAUGGAAUAAACAUUGACAACAGAUUUAUUGUUUCUCAUAAUGUGGAUUUGGUUGUUAAAUAUCAGGCUCAUAUAAAUGUAGAAAGGGUCAACCAUGAUGGUAUGCACAAGUAUCUUUUCAAAUAUGUCACAAAAGGGUUUGACUGUUCCAGAGUUGGAUUUUAUAGAAGCAUUGGCCAAAAUAUCAAUGAAAUCAAUAACUAUCUUGAGUGUCGUUAUGUCACCCCACAUGAGGUAGCAUGGCGCAUAUUUCAGUAUGAUAUUCAUCAUACUGACCCAUCAGUCGAGCGCCUUCCUGUCCAUCUGCCAUUAGAAAAUAAUGUGGUCUAUGUAGAAGAUGAUAACCUUGAAGAAGUAAUUUCAAAUCCAGAGAACCUGAAAACUAAACUCACUGCCUGGCUAGAGGCCAAUAGACGAUCCUCAGCUACUCAGCAGCACACUUAUAUUGAGUUUCCUGAGCACUGGACUUGGCAUUCCAACAAACAUACAAAAUAUUGGGAUGUGCGUAAAGGUUCCCAAAGAAAAAUUGGCCGUGUAGCUAAUGUCAGCCCUGCACAAGGAGAGCUUUUUUACCUUCGCAUGUUGCUCUAUGUUGUCAAGGGUUCAAAGUCCUUUUCUGAAAUCCGCACUAUAGGGAACCACGAAUGCCCAACCUACCGUGCAGCCUGCGAAUCUUUACGCCUUCUUGGGGAUGAUCAAGAAUGGUCCCGUGCUCUCACAGAUGCAGCGCAAUGGGCUACUGUUCCUCAGCUACUACAACUUUUUGUCACAAUGCUUCUAUUCUGUGAGGUUACAAAUCCAAAGAGGCUUUUCGAUGAACAUGUCUCAUCCAUGAGCGAAGACAGUACAUGUAAAAUAAAUUGGAACCCUCUGCUGAGAGCCAAUUCAUCUCCAUAAAUUGUUCUCUCUUUUCUCCUCUUUGAAUUGGAUAAAUUGCUUAGAGAUGCUGGGUAUUCUCUGUCACAUUUCAAUUUACCACUACCAGAUGAUAUUGGCAGUUCUUCCACGGAAAAUAGGUUGUUGUUAGAUGAAAUAAGCUAUGAUGCUACUCAUCUGUCUACAUCAGUAUCGGAGGAUAUUCCUAGACUUAAUAGCAGUCAGAAAAGUGUCUUUGAUGCUAUUUCUACAUCUGCCCUAAAUACAUCAGGCCAAACAUUCUUUGUGUAUGGGUACGGAGGAACUGGGAAAACCUUUUUAUGGACAACAUUGCUCAACUUUGUAAGAAGCCAAGGGAAAAUAGCUUUGGCGGUUGCAUCCUCUGGAAUUGCAUCGCUCUUACUUCCAGGUGGUAGAACACCCCAUUCGCGCUUUAAAAUUCCGUUGGAAAUCCAUCAAAAUUCUAUGUGCAAUGUUAAGAAAAAUACAAACUUGGCUGAACUUAUCCAGAAGACAUCGCUAAUUAUAUGGGAUGAAGUGCCUGUUAAUCACAGAUAUUGUUUUGAGGCACUUGACCGCACACUUAGAGAUAUGCUGUCAGAUAUUAGACCAGACUCACAGAACAAACAAUUUGGUGGCAUAACUGCUGUCCUUAGUGGAGAUUUUCGGCAAACUCUUCCAGUUAUCCCAAAUGCAAAAAAGGGUCAUAUUUUGAAGGCUUGCAUUGUUAAUUCUUAUACAUGGCAUGAGUGUACAGUUCUCCACUUGACCGAAAAUAUGAGGCUUGCUUCACGAUCUCUCUCACCCUCCGAUAGAGAGAACCUCAGGAUAUUUGCUGAAUGGCUGUUAAGAGCAGGGGAUGGUACAGAACCUUACAUUGCAAUUGAAAAUGAGCCUGAAAAUGCAUUCAUACCGAUCCCACAAUCUCUACUCCUCCCAUCCCAUUGUAGAAAUCUCGAUGGCUUGAUUUCCUUUGUAUAUAACUCUAGACAUCAACAAGAAAAUGCAGCUUCGUACUAUUGUGACCGUGCCAUUUUAGCUCCCACAAAUGAGGUUGUUUCCCAGAUAAAUACCAGAAUGAUUUCUGAACUUGAAGCAAAUGAGAUGUCAUAUUACAGUGCAGACACUAUUGAUGAUGCUUCUUCCAACCAUUCAACUUUAGAAGCAUUGUAUCCCCCUGAAUUUCUGAAUACAAUUUCAAUGAACGGGCUUCCGGAUCAUGUCUUGCAUCUGAAAAUAGGAGUGCCCAUAAUGAUUUUGCGUAACCUUGACGCCUCCCGUGGUCUUUGUAAUGGAACUAGGCUCAUAGUUACACAGCUUACUAAACGUAUAAUUGAAGGAGAAAUAAUUACUGGAAAGGCUAAAGGUACGAGGGUUUAUAUCCCACGCAUUGUCACCACGUCUACUCAAUCUAGAUGGCCCUUCAAACUGAAACGCAGGCAGUUCCCUGUACGGCUUUCAUAUGCCAUGACAAUAAAUAAAAGUCAAGGGCAAACUCUCAAUAGAGUCUGUGUUUAUUUACCAACCCCAGUUUUCUCUCAUGGACAAUUAUAUGUCGCUUUCUCACGGGUAACAUCCCCCAAUGGCUUGCGUGUGCUUAUUGAAAAUAGUCCUUCAUCACAUGCCAACUGCACUCAUAAUGUAGUGUACCAUGAUGUCUUCAGUCAAAUAAAUAGACAACCACAUUAAAUCAGAAAGGUAUCUUGGGCACUUAUCUUUGUUUUCAUUACCUUCAAAGCAUUUAACUUUCAUUUUACUUUUAUGUUGUUCUAUCAAUAUUACAUGCUUGAAUUGUGUAGACAAAAUGAUAUAACGAUGUGUUCUUCCAGAUAUACAUCAGCCAUGGGAUCUCCUACAAAGUUUGGAGACAUUACUGUAGGACAACAAAAUUGUAAAGUUUUCGGCCGGCUCAUACGGCUAUGGGAUGCAAAAAAUAAAUACGCCAAGACUACUGAUUCUUUGCUCAGCAUUGAUGGAGUACUUCUUGCAGAAGAUGUAAGUAGCAUCAAUCCAAUUUUUAGUUUAGCAUAUUCUGAGCUUGAUUUCCUGAGUUCCUGCUGCCUCUGUUUUGCCUUCUUCAAAUAAAUUAACACAUUUUGAACCCCAAUUAGUAAAAACUAUUAUAAUUUUAUUUUUGCAUAAGUUAGGGAAGUGAUUUUUAUAGAUGACAUGCUAGCGACUAUAACCAGAUCUCAUACAACCAGAAACAACAACAGUUCACCAAGUUUAAUCAGAGUCCAACUAUCCGCCUGUUGAACAGCCCCCAGCCAUGUCGUUUAUUAUCCUGCUUCAUUCCAUGUAAUAAUUUAUAAUCUCGCACUAAAACAGCUUAUAUUGGCAGUGCGUGCAUUUCAAAAUGGCGCACAAACGAUUUGUUCAUCAAAUCUUUUUUAAGGAAAACCUCGAAAGGGCAGGGAGCUCCUGUAGUUUACUGAAGAAGAACAGAGCUCCUUUCUGUACUCUGUAGUGGGAAAAAUUUCAUUCCUAGAAGUUCAGAUGAGUUCAUAUUCUUACAGGGUCACAACCAGUAUUAUGGUCAAAUUGGAUCACGAGUUUCCGUAAUUCCUGAAGUGCUAAUACCAGGAAUGAUGGCCUAAUGCUUUGUCAUCAUAUUUGAAUCUGGUGUUCUAUAAUUUGUCACGGUAUACAGUUAGUAGGCUACUGCCGCUGACGAAUGCGAUUCCCAAUCCUGAUACGUGUUGGCAUGAUUGUUCAAUGAUUUCUAUUUUCUGGCUUUGCCAUAUGCUUUUCUGUAUGAGCAGCGACAAUUUAGCUCUUCUCCUUCUAAUUUAGCUCAAUAUAUAUAUCCCAGAAAGCACACUGGUUUGCUUUUGUUGUCGAUAUUUCCCAGAAGUGCUUUUGGAUCAUCGAAUCUUAUUUCAGAGAGGGCUAUUGUAACGAAAUAGAUGAUCUAAUUGUUAGUUUGCUGACUAUAUCUCUGCACUGCAUGAUUUGGUUUUAUUCUUUCCUUUUUGUAAUUCGAGCACCUGCAUAUUUUUGCAAUCUUCCAGUGCCUGCACCUGCAAUUGCAUACCACCCGGGCUGCAUUUUAACUGAAACACCAGUGAUGGCAAUGAUUAGACGAUGAUCUUUUUUCGUAUGUUAACUGAAAACACCCAUUUUAUGUAUUUAUGUCGAAGUGUUUUGGAUCUGAUGUUGCUAGAUGUUUAAUUCUGAGCCGGAUUAGUGAGUGGUUUCGUCAGAUCUGUUUGCUGGAACUUCAGAGAUGCGCAGUGUUGGGAUAUUGUCGGUUUGAGGGGUCAAAUGAUGUCAGAUUGAGCUGAAAUUUUUACAGCGUGUUGAGGACUCAUAGAACUACAUAUCUGCCAAGUUUCAUGCAUUUUGGUCCAGCCGUUUAAGAAUAGUAAUCUGAUAACCGAAGGGGACAGAAACUGCAUUCUUUGUUUAGCUGAAUUUCAGUUAUAUCCUUUUGCUCCUGUCGAGAGUGUUGGCAUGAUUGUUCAAGUGUGGACCUGACACAGCAAAUCACUCAAACUCUGCCUCAUUUGGCCUGCACAUAAUCUGAACACCUGUACUCACCUAUCAAAUAGUGGGAUUAUUGGGUCUUGGGCAAGAUUUACCUAGCAUAUUUGCUCAUUCCAUCUGAUCAUGUCCACCUGUCCAGUACUGGUAACUUUCUGAAAUUUCUUGCAUCUUUGAGGCAUAGAAUCAGAACCUAGGGUUUAGGGAGUGAUGUUGUACAGCUAUUUUCCAGGUUCCCGUUUACUCCACGAUUCAUUGCUUGGCAUACCUUUCAUUAUUUCCCUCUUAAAUGUUCAUAUCCUGUGCACGUCAAUUGAUUCAUUCGGCCGAGGUGGAUGGACGUAUUUAUCACGGAGUAAUAAUCUCUCCCUGCAACCGCGCAACAAUCAUGAACAUAUUGGAAUUACAAUCAUGAACGUGUUCCCAAUCUUUCUCCAUUCAUUUCAGAAGAUCUGUGUGCCAUCUGCCAUAAGCUAUAGCUUAUAAAUCCAAGUACAUGUGCAUCAAACAAAUGCAUGUAGAUGUACUUACUCACUAAAUUUUGUAAUUCCUGUCCUUUUUCCAUUUAAAGUGUUAGCCUUGCAUUGCUUUCUCUUUAACCAAUGUCACUAUUGCAGGGUGCUAUGGUACAGAUAACCAUACCCAAAAAGGUUGAAAAACAAUUUUGUCCACUGCUCUCUCUGGGUUCUGUCUACAUGUUGACAGAUGUUAGUGAUGUUCAUGCUACAUACAAGAAGUUCAUUUACCACCACCAAAGCUACAUGCUUCAGUUUAAAACAAGCUCGAAGGUCCAUCUAAUGCAGUCGCGAGGAGCGAGUAUUCCUCGAUUUGCCUUUGAUUUCUCCCAGUUUGAUCAGCUUCCGUCAAAAGACAAUCAAUCCAAACCCCUUCUAGGUAUUGCUUAACAAAUUUCGUGAUGAUACAUCUUUUCCCAACCAACAAUCCAAUUUCUACAUGUUUUUUUCAAACAGAUUUGAUUGGAGUCAUUAGCUACGUUGACCCAUACGACUGCGCUAGCCCAACGUCUCAGUACAAGCUCAGGAAGAUACAUAUCCGUAACCAAGAGUAAGUCUUUUUUCCCAUGUAUUUUUCACUUCUGUUUAUCUAAAUGCACUAUUUUCUCUUUGUAGUGAACAAACACAGGAAAUAAACCUUUGGGGCGAGGAUGGUGAAACAUUUGACGAAAGCGCAGUCCUCAGCAAAUCAGAUGGGAAGAUUGUUGUUUGUGUUUUUGCUGGCCUGACCAUUGGAAAGUAUUUAGGUAGGUUCUUAGGAAAUUACGAUUUCUAUUGCAUUAUGACUUUAUUGAUUAACCCGAAGCAUCUCAUGGAAUUUAUUACUAUACAGAUAAACUUGAGGCCUCUUCAAGUUCAGCUACCAAAAUAUACAUUGACAUGGAAAUACCAAAAGUUGAACAGUAUAAAAAAAGGUUCAUCAAUACUUUUAUAACAAAUGGUUCACAUUCUUUUCCAUUAACUAACAUGCAAUCAUGCAUAUUUCUACUUUCAAGUUAUCAAUGGGAAGUUCCGGUUUUGUGCCAACAACAGCCAUAAAUUACCCAUGUGACUCCCUUACAAGCAGCAGGCAAACUCUACAAGCUGGAAGAAAUAUCUACGCUGCCAAUUUCAUCUUUCGAGGUGCCUUCUCCUUUUAAUAGUUCUAUAUAUAUAUAUACAUAACUUCUAAUAUAUAUUCCUCAUUGUAAAAUGUUUCAUCUUUGCCUUAUAUUAGACUUUUCUAAAUUUGAUCUGCAUUACACCAAGGGAGGUGCUUCAUUCAGUUGCAUUGCGAUGGUAUAAGCUUUGCUGCCAUCCAAUAAAAGGUAUUACAAAGUCUGCAAAAGUUGUGGUGAAGGGUACAACAACAAUUCGGACACACCCAGAUGCUCAUGUCCUCUUUCAAACCCCAAACCAAUGUAUCACCUCACUUACUAACCUAUUUAUUACAUCAUUAUUCUGUUUAUGGAAUUCCUAUCCACCUAUUGCCCAUCGUAUUAUUCUUAUAUAGGUACAAGCUUUCUCUCAAGGUCAUGGAUGACACAGCAAGCAUGGAGACAAUUGCUUUCAGUUUUGUAGCUGAGGAUUUACUUGAGCAAACUGCUAUGCAAGCCUCCCAAAACAUGAAGAUAGAUGCAUCAGAUCAUGCAGUAGCUCUUGAAAAAGCUAUUGGGAAGAAAAGGCUUUUCUCAAUAGGAAUGAAUCCUAAAUAUUUUUCUAGAUUCUCGAUCAAUCAUGUCCUGAAAAAGAGUUACAAGAUUCAUGAUGAUACCAGCCAGGUAAAUGUAUAAGACCAUCAAAUAUUACUCUCUAUAUAAUUAAUUCCGUCUUAUCACAUAAUCCCUAACUCUAAUGAUGGUAUUUUAAUUCUCCUAGAACUCUGUACAGGAGAACAUCACAGCCACUUCUGAAGAGCUCUACAAUUUAUCCAUCUAAACUUAUGCAGCCUCCUGUUUCUACACUUGUUUGUUUUCCUGCAAUUGCAGAUUUAGUACACCACCAACAGUUCUUCCAAGGGAAAAUACAUCCGAACAAACUGCAGACUCUGCUGUUGAUGACCUACUUAGGUACAUAUUACCUACACAUUGUGCUUCUGAAAUUAUUCAUGCUUCUCUUUAUAUACUUACUUUUUUUCCCGCACUUUCAAAUGCAAUGUUAGUACACCAGCCGCAGCUCCUCCCAAACAGAGAGAAGACAAGUCAAAAACAAAGAGACAACUUGAUUUUGACAACGACAAUGACGUGAACAGACUCAACAAACCAAGGUAGCUAUUCUUUUCAUAAAAAGUUCUUAGCAGCUGUUAUUACGUCCAGAUGACACUCUUUUGUCUUGAUGUAUAGCUAAUGUCGUCGGUUUGUCAUAAGAAUGUGUUGUGUGUUGUCAUGUAUUGAGUUCUGACUGAACUAUUCCUUCUCUCCGCUGUUCUUUUGGAUCUGUAACCAUAGUUAGCUGGUAAUGUAAUUAGAUUGUUUAUUUAUGGAACUGAUUUUCGCCACUUCAUCUCUGCUUUAUAUAAUUCAGUGUCCUGGAUUUGAUGAUGACUUUCUCAUGUUCCUGAUACAGAACUGAAGAAAAGGUAUCUUCAGAGGACAGCAAGUGAUGCCGGGUUUACAGGAGCAUCAAUACUGCGCAAUGAUCCUUUCGUGGGCACUGACGCACAUCGUUAAUAAACUUUGUUAGCUUUAUGCUGUAACGUGGUUACUUUGGAUAUGUUUUAACACAAUGCCCAUGGCUGUUUAGCCAAAUUAUGAAGUGUUUUAGCACAAUGCUUUUAUUAUGUAGUUGUUUGAAUAUGUUUUAACACAAUGCCAAUAGUUGUUUGAGUAAUAAAAUGUUAUCCAAAUUCUGAAGUGUUUUAGCACAAUGCUUUUAUUCUGUAAUUGUUUGAGUAUUACAAUAUUCAUCACAUUCUUACACUGCAUCACAUUCUUACACUACUCAUGGGUAGAUGGAUUGUUCUUUAAUAUUCGCAGCAACGUGUGGAGUAACCACUAGUUAUUAUAACAUGGUGCAUUCGAUCUGCACUAGUUCUUGAAAAUCUUCUUCGCCCUCCGCUUGAGCAUCACACGAAAUUUCUCGGCCAUAGCAUGAAGCUGUCAUUUCACAAGAUCAUAAGUUAGCAUAUAUAUAUAUAUAUACACACACCGAAAUGGUUAUCUUCGGGUAGCAUAGGAACCCCACCUCGUUAAUAUACUGCAUUUGAUCAAAUGCAAUUUAAGUACUUACUAUAGAUACAAAUUUGUUUCACUUAAGUACAUUCAUGCAACUUUUGAAAAGAUAAAUCUAUUCAUUCAACUUGUUAAUAUUAGUAAAUGCAUGUUUAUGAAAAUAAACCAAGUUAGAUAAUAAAAAGUACAUCUACAGGUGAAACAACGGAAGUAGUACAACUACUACUGAAACUUUUUUUUGCGAGAAAAAGGGAUUUCAUUGAUUGAAGAGUAACCUUCUCGCCUGGCUGGACGUCCUCCUCCGCCAAGUCGGCUUUGUCGACGUGACGAGUCACAACUCUAGUGCGCGGAGAGACCCGGCGGCUCGCAGGGUUGGGCGACGCCGUCUUCUUGGUCGUAGGAACGGCCGACGUCCACGAUGUGGCACCAUGGCAUGACGCCGUCUUCGUCACGGGGCUACGGGAGAACCUCCCGAGCGCAUCCCAGGGCUGCCGGCGGGAGAUAUGCUCCUUCUUUCCCGCCAUUGGGUUCGUUGGAGGGGAGAGGGGUUUUGGAUGGGACGUAGGAGAGGUUUGGAUAUAAAUGGAGAAACCCAGCGAAAUCGGUGGAGAAAUCGUUGGGCAAACAAACAUACACCUUAAUUAGAUAACCCGGGUGGGCAUCUUUUUAAUUUUUUUUGUAUGAAAAUAACCCAUAAAUUGAUUUUAGGUCUGAGUAAUUUUGAAUAUGUUGUAAUUAUACAUAAUCCGAGCAGUUUGGACAAAUUUUGCACCCUCCAUUGAUUCCGUUCGAGAUUGGAGGGAGAGGGUGGGCGAGAUGAGCGUAGCAGAGGAUUUGGGCGAUGAACUUGGCAGUGAGAAAAAGAAGGGGAGCAAGGGAGAGAAAUUUUGUUUGCUUCCUCUCUCACUUACACUCAUUUUGUUUAUGACUACAUUUGUGCUACAUGUGGGACCAAGAGGUAGAGAAAGUACAAUAUGCAUGAUGAUGUAAAAGCAAGAACAAAUAUAGAUUCAUGCCAUCUAGCUAGCUAGUGCAAUAUAGAUUAAAGUGCAACCACACGAACCAUGGUCAAAAGCAUCACUGAUCCAUAUUUUCCAUACAGAUAAUAAACAACUGACAACAACAAUAAUUAACAAAAUAUUAUUAACUAAACAUGCAACAUUCAGUUCUAAGCAUGCAUCAAUUCAAACUUAAAAAGGUUCACAGUGUACCCAUCCACACACACUUAAACAUGUUCACAUAGUGCAUCAUCAUAGGAAGCAUACCGAUCCAUACAUAGUAUGAACCAAUAUGCAUACAUCACCGGACAGCAAAAUAACCCUUAGAAAACAUCAGUUCACUAAUAUCUGGAACUUCUAAUUAAACAACUAGUUAUUAUCAGGCCCCUUAUUAGCUGCCUCCUUGCGUUUCUUCUGCAGCCUGCGCCUCAGAACCAACCGAAGUUCUUUCGCCAUUCGAUGAAUCUGUCAUUUCCGAAUGGCAGAACUGAGCACAUAGUUCAUCCUUUUGUUUUAAUUAACUGUUAAACACUCAUUCAGAAAAUGGCACUAGUAGCAUAUUUAUUAAUCACCUUGUAGCCUGGCAGAGUGUCUGGUUCUGGUUACUCGUCGCUCUCCUCGGUCCAUUGUAGUAGAACGCGCAUUUUCUCGAAGUGAACUCUUGCUCCUUCUAGAUUUGAAAUAUAUAUAACACAAGUAUUUCUUAACCAAAUAUUGUCAUAAAUAUUACAAGUUCUUUGCCAACUAUUUUUUACAAGUACACAAAAUAUGUUUAAUCACUCUACAUUAAGUAAACAUGAGACAUUCAUCAAUAAAUCAAUUGCAUAUAUACAUUCAUCAAUAAAUCAAUUGCAUAGUAUAUACUAUAAAGUGUAAACUACAGUAUAUACAUAUUGACCUCUAUAUUCUGCCAAUAUAUUAUGCAGGGAAAAUAAGAAAACUAAUUAAGAACAAGAAUCUAACUACAGUAUAUACAAUCAUCAAUAAAUCAAUUGCUUAGAAAUUAAUUGCAUACAAAAUACAUCUAGCUAAUUCACACGCACUAUUUGAGAAUCAAUCCAUUGCAGAGAUAUUACAACUGGAUUAAUACACCGUAUAAUUGCAAAUUAAUUUCUUAGAUAUUACAACUAGCUUGCACUAUAAAUUAAAUCUAGGUAGAUUAACAUCUGGCUAAACAACAUAAGUACUACUAGUAUAAUAGAAAAAAAAACAAAUCGGAAGCACGGUAGAAUAACAAUAGUACUUGAACUGAAAAACAAAACCCUAGUUCAGUAUCUGACCAACCUGGUCGGGAAGCGAGGAGGAGUUGUCGGUGACAUUUUCGUCCUCGUCGCCAUCCGCCAUGCCGGCGAGGGCCCCGGCCCGCGUCUGCCUUGCAGGCCCAGGGGACAGCAGUCGGCUUGGGCCAGCGGAGGAGGAUGGGCCAGGGCCACGGGUCGGAUCGCGGGACAAAGGCGUGGAGGCCGCAAUGAGGGGCGACGCCGACCAGCUCGCAGCAACGGGUGUUGCUCUCUUGCUCCGAGUGAUGCGGCCACUUCUGCUUCUUCGUCGCCGGGCUACGGGAGAACCUCCCUCGCGCAUCACGCGCCUGCCGCCGGGAGAUGUGGUCCUUCCCCCCGGCCAUCGCACGCCUGUCGCCGGGGAAGAGGAUGGGGAAUGGAGAUGGGACGUGGGAGGGAGGGAUUUGGAAACGGGCCGGGGAAUCCGUGCGGAAGGUGGGAGGUGACGAGAAAGAGGUGCCGAUUUGGGUCUUCAUAGGGAAGGAAACCGUAGAAUCCGUAGAAUAUUACCUGACUGGGGGCCUUGUUGGUUACUGCCUUGUGGGGCCCACGUCUGGAGGGUCCACGCACUAGUGAAACACAGUCGCAAGGCACAAGUAAAAAACGAUCUGGAAUGAGAAUCUGAGGAGACUGGGAUCAAUUGUUCGAUUGUUUUCUUUGACCCGUACGGAUGUAGUCUUUUCUUGGAUGACUAUAUAUGUGAUGUGGGUUUAAGCUCUACUUUGGAUGACUCCUAUAUAUGUGAUUUCUCACAACACAUGCAAGUAUGCAUAUAUGCCACAUCAUCAUAACUAUUGGAUUUCUCUCAACAUGUAAGCAUGCCACAUUAUACAACGGGCAAAGUUGAUGCAUAUAGGAGCGUAGUUGAUUCUUGGAGCACGCAACAACUAUUUGAUUCAUAGGAUUUUGUUUGCACCAAAGUUUGUUUGAUUGGACCAAAUAGAAUUUCUUCCAAGAGGUUGGAGUGGAUGUAAAUUUUUCCCUAUAGAAUAUUGUACAAAUGAAUCCAUUGUAAAAUUUUCGAUAUGAUUUAAUUUACGAAUCAAACGAGCAACAUAGGAAAAAAGUGCUAAGGAUUUCAAGCCUCCCAAAUUCCUAAGAAAAUCCUUUGAAUCAAAGAAAGCCUCAACAUGCAUGCAAGCAUGCAACAUCAUCAGAACUACAUAUAUUGGAUUUGUCUCAACAUCCAAGCAUGCCACAUCAUCAUCACAACUAUUGGAUUUCUCUCAACAUGCAAGCAUGCCACAUUAUCAAACGGGCAAAGUGGAUUCUUGGAGCAUGCGACAAUUAUUUGAUUCAUAGGAUUUUGUUUGCACCAAAGUUUGUUUGAUUGGACCAAAUAGGAUUUCUUCGAAGAGGUGUGAGUGGAUGUAAAUUUUCCCCUAUAGAAUAUUGUACAAACAAAUCCUUUGUAAAAUUUCCGAUAUGAUUUAAUCUUACGAAUCAAACAAGAAACAUAGGAAAAAUUUCUAAGGCUUUGAAGCCUCCCAAAUUCCUAAGAAAAUCAUUUGAAUCAAAGGAAGCCACAACAUGCAUGCAAGCAUGCCACGUCAUCACAACUAUAUAUAUUGGAUUUGUCUCAACAUCCAAGCAUGCCACAUCAUCAUCACAACUAUUGGAUUUCUCUCAACAUGCAAGCAUGCCACAUUAUCAAACGAGCAAAGUUGAUUCAUAGGAGCAAACUUGAUUCUUGGAGCAUGCAACAACCAUUUGAUUCAUAGGAUUUUGUUUGCACCAAAGUUUGUUUGAUUAAUUGGACCAAAUAUGAUUUAUUCCAAGAGGUUGGAGUGGAUGUAAAUUUUCCUAUAGAAUAAUGUAGAAAUGAAUCCUUUGUAAAUUUUCCGAUAUGAUUUAAUCUUUCGAAUCAAACGAGCAACAUAGGAAAAAUUUCUAAGGAUUUCAAGCCUCCAAAAUUACUAAGAUAUUCUCGAAACUGCAUAGUCACCUUGCAACAUCGUCAACAUUCAAAUUUCUCAAAAUUUGAGACAUGGACGUGGCUGAGUAUAUUUAAUCGAGAGAGCUGGUAAAAUAUGAAGCAAUAAACACAAAAUAACAGCUCCCUACAUCCGUCGAUCGGAUCUCGAUCUAACACGAUGAGAUCACAUCUAGGUCGAUCACGAUGAGAUCAGAUCAGAUCGAACACGAACAGACGUGUCCAUAUUUUUUUUAAUAACGUGCGUGCUUAUGGGCCGGUCGUGCCAUUGCCCAUCGUCGCGGCCCAACAAGACCGGAUACCACAAGAAACAACCAGAGGUGGGAUGUUUAGUCUCACCUCGGCAGUUUACAAACUACGUGACCUGUAUAAAUACUUUCCUCCGCAGCACAUAUCGAUAUCUUCUAAACGCACAUGCAACUGACUCCUCCCUUUGCCCUAUGCGGGCCCGUUCAACAUGGGCCGACUUGGUAGUAGGCGGUGAUGAAGCCCAGUCGCCCGUUUCGAUAUAGAUCUGUCGCUUGACUCGGUGUAAAACCGUUGACCCCAACUUGGUCCCCGUUGAUUGAAAUCUGGGUGGGCAACUUUUUAUUUUUAAUGGAAAUAAAUAAUCACUGUAAAUUGAAUUCAGGUGAGUAAUUUUUGAACAUGUUGUUAUUAUUGAUUUCAUGAAACUGUAUCUGGCACGCUUGGACCUACUUGUCGAACACAUUGUACCAAUCGAUCGUACAUAUAUGGCCGGUCACCCUAGCUACCCGACACAGAACUCGAUCUCCGACAUUGUCGACCCACAUCUCUACCACUUCUCUCACUUAACCAACUGCGACCGAUAUGAAGCACCCAUUGUCACCAAGGCCCCAAAUGUAGCACGCAUUGUCACAUUUCACCAACAUGUAGCAUCCAUGGACAAAUGUCGUGUGGCCCCAUGGACCCACAUCUCCUCGUCAUACCUAGGCCCCACAUGUAGAACGCAUUGUUACGUUUCACCCACAUGUAGCAUCCAUGGACAAAUCUCGUGUGGCCCCAUGGACCCACAUCUCCUCGUCAUAGGAUUUUGUUUGCACCAAAGUUUGUUUGAUUGGACCAAAUAGGAUUUCUUCCAAGAGGUUGGAGUGGAUGUAAAUUUUCCCUUAAUAUUGUACAAAUGAAUCCUUUGUAAAAUUUCCGAUAUGAUUUAAUCUUACGAAUCAAACGAGCAACAUAGGAAAAUUUUCGAAGGAUUUCAAGCCUCCCAAAUUCCUAAGAAAAUCCUUUGAAUCAAAGGAAGCCACAACAUGCAUGCAAGCAUGCCACGUCAUCACAACUAUAUAUAUUGGAUUUCUCUCAACAUCCAAGCAUGCCCCAUCAUCAUCACAACUAUUAGAUUUCUCUCAACAUGCAACUGUAAUGAUUUGGGUCUCCUCAAUAUAUUGGAUUUCACCUUGUACACACAUGUUGCAUCUACGGUCUCUGUGGCUGUACAUGGUGUUGUAGCAUGCAUGCAUGGUCACCUCUUACACCAUCAACUGACCAUUAUGAACACCUUCAACCCAAAUGUAGCACACGGUCGCCUACUCGUCUUGGACCCAAAUAUAGCACCUAGCUAGCCUUGAAACAUAUGUCACGUGCAUUUAGCUUUUGCAUUUGUGUUGUCCCCAAAGGUACGUGUGUUUAUUCCAUUCAAAGCGAGUCACAUAAAUCAAUUUCAUCUUCACCAAGUUGUGAAAAAAUGCACUACUACUUACUUAGAAUGCAUAUUUCAAAUUUCUCCUCCCAAAAGUUCAAAUUUCUCUCUCAAAUUUCUGUUCACCCGCUUUGCCUGGCGUUUUGCUACAUUUAAAUGUAAAUUUUCGAGCACCAGUUUUUGCCGCCACGUACGUUUUACCUUGUAAAUUUUCGCCCACAAGAUUUUGCCGCCACAUACUUUUUUCCAUGUUAAAUUUCGCCCACCAGGUUUUGCCGCCAGGUUGUUUCCAUUUAAAUGACCCAUAACCACCCUCAAUCAACUCGUUUGGCCCAACACUUUCCCCGAAUAACACGCGCAGAUGGAGAAGAGAUAAUCAUGAGAGAGGGCGAGGCCUCGAUCGGUUCCUGUCCUCUCUCCCCUGGUUCCUUCGUCCGGUGCCAAGGAUUCUAUCCAUGGCGACUUCCUCUGAUAGCAGAAAUGCCGAUCGCAGCUCCGUACGGCGUUCAUAUCGUAUCGCCUCGAUCGAGGAGGACUAUGACCCGACGGAACCAGGAUGCAUCAGGUGUUCAUCCCCCGCUUCGACUGUUUUUCCAUAUAUAUUGAAUUUAUCCGUCAGAUGUGGUUAAUUAUCUUUUCGAUUUUCCCAUCCAUGCAUGCCAUAAUCACGUAGAUCGUCCAUGCCAGAUUCAUGUUCACCACCAUCUCCUGUUUCAAUAGAUCGAAUAUUUAGGAGACCCAAAUCAUUACAGUGAAGAACAUGCGCCAUUGUGUCUGUUUCAUGAGGCAUCAAUCAUAUCCUGAAUCUUGAUAAUGAAAGAAUAAACUACCAGUGUAGUACAAUUAUAUACGAAUAUAUGGCUCUAUUCAUACCUGUUUUUAUGAUAAUAUAUGUGCACAUGUGUACAGAGCCCAAAGGACAGGUGAGAUGUGGACUCUAAUCUUCCAGUGCAAGAUACCAGGAAGAACUGAAGACGACUUCAUCACAGCCACAGUUGACUAAAGUAACCUUGUCAUCAAUAAUAAGUUUUAAAGAGCAGCUUGGUUUUACUGGGCGGGAUUACGUGUAUUACAAGAAGAGAUCAGGUCUGGAUGUAGCAAGUCUUCAAGUGAUUGAUCUUCGCAAACAUGCACUACAAAUGGUUGAGGACCUGGCUGUGGAGAACGAAGUCAGGCUCGUCCUGUCAAAAGAAGAAGAACAGCAGAAGAAUGUCAAUAUUACACCUGUCAAGCGACCGUUGGAGAAGGAGCCCGAAGAGGAUGACGAUGAUGAUGUUGGAUCAUAUGAUGCACUUGAUGCCUACAAAGAUUGGCUACAAGAGAAUAUGAAAGAGUCACUAUCACGUAAUAAUUAAUGAGAUCAGAACUUGGAUCAUAUAUGUUACUUGUAUUACACUAACGGCCUGAACCCAUGACUGUAUCUAUCUUUACUGACAUUUUCAUGUACUUCACAGAUCUACGCGAUAUCUACGGGGAAGAAACAAUCGCAACAUACACUGAAUGGUUAAAGAAACAAGGAGAACCGGAUGCAAUUAGUAAUUAUUUUCCCUCUGAACUUCUUAUUUUUGAUUAAAUUUUUGAAUGUAUUAAAUGCAAGACAUUUUUAUUUUUUGCAGCGGCUUAUGAGAAUUUUUUUUAGUAAAUAUAACGAUAUACCAGCAGAGGACGACAACCAAGAGACCAUUGAGAGCAAAGGUAGCAGCACAACGCCACCGAACCAAUGGCCAAGCCAUGCUAGAUACAACAAGGACAAAAAAGGUUUUAAAAGUUUCCUCAUGCAUUCUAUGCUGCUUUAAAUUAUAUAGUGCUAUUGUUAUUGUUCAACAAAAUAAUCUGUAAUGCAAUGUUUCAUUCUUUGAUUCGAUGAAGCGUUCAAGAAGCGUGGUCGUGGCACUUUGAAAGGCCUCGUUGCAACACGCAAGAGAUUGAUGCAGCGCACUCACAAGCUUAAGGUUGAAUGCUCGAAAAAAUUGGGUGGUCCAUGUGGAGAAAAUGCACGCACAUUUGUGGAUGAAGUGAUUAUUACCUUUACCAGGUUACACACCCCACUAAUUGGAAUUCAACACCGGAAGGAUGUGCCUAGAUUGGUGAGGCUAACAAUCGUCAGAGCUAUACUGGUAUGUUUUUCCAUUUAAGUGUUAGGUAGAAGUUGUCCAAUCUCUGCACACUCUUAAUAUGUGUUUCUUUCAACAGGAUGGAUGGGGUAUUGCCAACAAUAAUUAAACAAAGGACAUGAUAUUAAAGAUUGCAAAAGAGCGAUAUAAAGGAUGGCGAUCUUCUUUGAGUGCCUUGUACAGGGCGUACGAAGACUACAAUGCCAGAAUGUGUCAUAAGCUAGAAGAUUUGGACAUUGUGGAGUGGCACUAUUUGAUCAAGUACUUUUGAUCUAAAAAAUUCAAGGUCAUGAACUACUUCAUUAAUUUAACAAUAGAAACAUUGUACAAUUUCUCAUUGAUUGUUCACUUGUUGCAGAAGGUUAGCAGCCAGAACUCCUCUAAUUGAAAAAAAAGGAAGUGCAAACAUGUGUCGGGUUCGAAACCUUUCUCUCAAUGCAGCUGGGAACAAGUAAACAUCCGUUUCAAUUGUCUCAACUUCUAAUAUAUUCCACUCCACAAUGAUAUAUUAGUGACAUUUAAUAUUGCCAUCUUAGAGAGAUGAAAAUGAUGUUAAGCCAGAUACUUUGGUACUUUGGAAGGCUAAUCGUUACAAGCACCAAAAAUGGUCAGACGAAGUGGCUGAAGCAGUUUACGUGAUUAUUAUUAUUAAUUUGAUCAUCUUAUUUCUUUCACCGGUUAUUCUAAGUGGGGAACGUGCCCACCGUGUCUUCUGCGGCGGCGCGCGUUGAGAUCGAUGCGCAGGCGAUUGUAUGGCCCAGCAGGCGUUGAGAGAAUUCCGGAUCUGCUUUUAGCCUACAACCCCACACCAACCUCAAAUUAAUCCUCAUUUUCCCGUGAGCUUCUCUCUCCUCUGUCUUGAAAUCGACGGCGAGCUGGGCAACGCGGGUCAAGGGCCGGUGGGCGUGGGCUGGGGCUGCGGGGAGGCGGCGCGGCAGGGGCCGCGAGCGGCGGUGGCGCGACGCCGCGCGGAGGCGGCGCGACCGCGCGAGACCGUGGGGGGCAGCGCAGGGGACAGCGGGCUGUGGGGAGGCGCCGCGCGGAGGCUGCGCUGGGGCUGCGGGGAGGCGGCGUGGCAGGGGCCGCGAGCGGCGGCGGCGCGCCCGCGCGAGACGGUGGGGGCGGCGCAGGGGACCGCGGGCGGUGGGGCGGCGCCGCGCCGAGGCUGCCUGAGGUGGCGCACGGCAAAGGCGGGGGAGGCGCGCGGGGGCUGCGCGCGGCAGAGGCGGAGGAGGCACGCGGAGGCUGCGCGCGGCAGAGGCGGGCGAGGUGCAUCGAGGCAGAGCGCGACGCGAUUCCGGCGUGCUUCUCCGCUCCCGCUCUUCCUCCUUCUACUGCGUCAUUCCCGCCGGUGAGUCUCCUAUUUCUUCGCCGGCCCCCAAUUUCUGCGAGCUCUCUGGUUGAAUUUUGGCAAAUCAGUGCUAUGUGCUCUACGAUUUGUUGGUUGUUUCCUGCGAUUUCCUGGACAUGCACAGCGUAUGGUGGGGCUGCACCGCUGCGACAUCUUGUGAGUUUGGCGGUACUUCAGGUAAUUUGGCGGGGUGCAGCAGCAUGUGGGUUUUGCGAUGGUUGACAUGCACAGCACCUUGUUCAUGCACAGCGAUUUGGGCUAGGGUUUGACAUUUGCAGGCGUACUGGAUAGUGUGUUUGACGUUGUGCUUGGCUGUGGGUGGGGUGGGGUGUGCUGUGUGCUUGGUGACAUGGGGAUUGAUCUCAGCUUGUGGGUUUAUACUAGGUUUGAUGCAAUUCACCCGCUGCUAAAAUAGUCGAUGUCUAUUUUCUUUUUCAUGAGACGAGCUCCUGGUCAUGGUAAGUUUUGGUUUAGCCAGCUACUUUUGUACAUUAAUUUAGGUGUUUUGAAAUACCUGGUAGUCGUCAACACAGACCCUGAUAAUUUUAAUAGGAAUUUCUGUACCGAACAGCCUAGUAGUUGUUACCAUACAACCUUGUAAAGAACCUAGUACCUAUUUGGAAAAAGCAUGGUAGCUAAUUAUAAAGAACAUGAUAGCUAUUUUCAAAGAACUUGGCAACUAUUUUUGUAAAGAACAUAGUUAAUUGGAAAGAACAUGGCAAUUGUUUGUAAAGGACCUGGCAAUUAUUUGUAAAGAAUCUGUUAGGUGUUUAAAAUGAACCUGGCAAUUGUUUGCGGAGAAUCUUGUAGGUGAUUGGAAAGAGCCUGGUAGCGCUGAUUGGAACCUAGUAGCUAUAGGGGGAAAAUUGAUAAUGUACAUAUAGGAAACCAGGACAGUUCAUUGUCAAGAUCAUAGCAGUUGUUAUAGUGUUUUGUAUAGACCCUGGCAACUGUUUUUAUAAAACCUGGCAACUGUUUGUAAAGAACCUGGUAGUUGUUUUUUGUAAAGAACAUGUGAAUUUGUUUUUUGGAAAGAACCUGGCAACCUGGCAAUUGUCUGUAGAAAACGUGGCAAUUGUUUGCAGAAAACGUGGCAAUUGUUUGUAGAAAACCUGGCAAUUUGAUUUCUAAAUAGCCUGGCAAUUUAUUUUCUAAAUAACCUGGCUACUGUUUGUAAAUAACGUGGCAACUAUUUGUAUAAAACUUGGCAACUGUUUGUAAAGAACCUGGUAGUUGUUUUUGAAAAGAACCUGUCAAUUUGUUUUUUUUAAGAACCUGGCAACUGUUUAUAAAGAACCUGGUAAUUGUUUGCAGAAAACAUGGCAAUUGUUUGUAGAAAACCUGGCAAUUUGGGGUGCGUUUGGUUCCGUCUCCUAGCAAGGCUAUUGCUGAGCUAGUCUAGCUGCUCAACUCGCAUUGGUUAAGGUCGUUUGUAGCUCUGCGUUUGGUUUGACUUGAUUGCCCGUGUGAGCUCCUAGGGAGAUCGUGGGUUGCGCAAUAUUCAGUAGAGGUUUUUGUUCGCACAAAGACAUCUUGCCAUCGAGGGAGAACCAAUUUGGUUCUCCCUUACGAGCAAGGUUUUUCUGGCCCGCACCGGCUAACUCUUCGUCAAAAGCUAGAAAUUAUUUUGGACACCAAACACCAAACCUGGCUUAGAAAGGCUAUAACUGUUUUUGCUCUGGAACCAAACUGACCCUUGGUUUCUAAAUAACCUGGCAACUGUUUGGGCAAUUGUUUGUAGAAACCUGGCAAUCUGAUUUUAAAUAAUUUGGCAAUUUGUUUUCUAAAGAACCUACAAUUUGUCUGUAAGAAUCUGGCAAUUGUUUGUACAGUUCAUUUCUUUUCGUUUUCUUUUAUUGUCAUUAAUAGUGAGAUAUAUAUGCUUUCAUAUGCGUUUCUCAACGUGAAUGGCCGUUGAUCAGUUUUGUUGCCAAGGAAGUGAUGUUCCUAACUUGUUGGGUCAAGAAAAGCUGCUAGGCAUCGAUGGCCAGUAAAUGUCUAUGGGAGAAGGUAACCGGUGAUCUAGAUCAACAACCUCGACAAUAUACAUAUGGCGGAGGUGAUGGAGAUGAAUAAGAUUCUCGAGGCAAUAAAGAGUUCAAAGAAAUGGGUUUCGUUUGCCCCCAUAAAAUGUUCAUUUGCAAAUUUGUAUAUUUGGCUUCAUGAUGCCUGAGAAAGUGGUGCUGCAAUUUUUAGCUGUGAAGGCUAAAUUUUUGAUGGGUUUGGAAGAUGCUGUUUUAUUGGUUUUGCUAGAGGAAGUGAUGGUGCUGUCUAUACACAUGUGUGCCUGUGUGAAUGUAUGAGUCUACUUUUGUUGUUGGGAAAAAAUGGACCUGUUUGAAAAAUAAAUUUAUGAGAAAGCUGUGUAUGCAAGGACGAGUUUAAAAUGCUUAAGGGGAUUCCCGUUGCUGUGCUGUUGCUUACGCGCAAGUCCGCACGGCAAGCUGUAGCCUGGUUGGCACGCCGCUGCUUAGCACUAGGUGGGGCACGCCGCUGCGUAGUACUGUCCUUCUUUCACUGCACAAGUUUUGUCUCCUGUCUCGACAUGACCUGCAUGGUCUCACACACUCUUCUUUCCCCAAGAUUGAUGCAUUGAAGAGGUUGGGAAGGGAAGAAUCGCCGGAACUGUUGGGGGGACAAACAGAAUUUUCCAAAGUUACAAUUGCUGAGGAAGAACUUGCUUUGCAGGCUGCAUACAGGGAUACAACAGGGCUCAAACAAAACAAGUUAGUUGGAGGUGGAUACCUAUCGAAGAAUCCGACGAAAAGCCAACAGCUUCAAGAAAAACUGGAACGACAAGCAUGCGAGGUUGAUAGAUUAAAAGAACAGCUUGCAAAGCAAGCUGCUGAUAGGGAAGCAGCGAAGGAAGAACUAAAAAAAUCCCUUAGAGAAGAACUGAUGAAAGAGUUUCAUGAUAUGUUCAAAAAAGACAGUAUUGUCAUUUCUUCGGAAGUUAAUCAACUUUGAAUAAUUUCUCAUCCUUCAUCUCAUUUGAACAGAAGAUAAUUUGUGCAAGGCGUGCUAUUUUUGUUAUGUUCAUAAGAAAAAACUAAUUGGGAGAUUAGGAUAGUGAGCAUGUACAAUUUGUUCGUUCUGAUUAUAUGACUUCUGCUCACUUACCUGUCCUUUUACAAACAUGCAUGUAGACUCCCUACAACCAAAAAUGAAACAGAAUGUGCACCUACGGCCAAUGAGGUAUACAUGAUGCCACAACAGUUGCAGCUAGGGCCACUGAGGAUGUGAAUAAUGAAACAGCACCGCAGCGCCACACAGAAGAAACAUUGGGACAGGUAAUGAAGUUGAACAAUGUUUGCAAUCAUCUUGGAGUUAAUCAUUUAAAUAUAGCUAACAUCGUUCCAACUACUUUAGAAUGCCAUAUCAGCCAAGAAGCAGUAAUACCUGCCCCCCUUUUUUUUAAUGCAUAGACUGCCACGGCAACCAACAUUGCAGCAGCUGCAGCCCAACCUGCAGCAGAACUUCUAGUAGAUCCUGCAGCAAAACUUUCAAAAGAACCAGUAGCAAAACUUUCAGAAGAACCUCUAGCAAAACCUGCAGCAGAACCCGAAGCCCAACCAGCAGCAAAACCUGCAGCCAAUGUUGCACCAACAGCGCAGAUUAAAGAUACAUUGUCACAGGUACUGAAAUUGACGAAUGCUUUAUGCAUUUCAGUAUAGCUAACACUGCUCCAAAAACUUUAUAAUGCCAGGUGCAGAAAACAAGUACUCCCAAGCUACAAAAAUAAAAUAGGCCACCAUUGUGCAAUGGUAAAUUUCCCAAAGGUAAAAAACCUCAGCAGCCCAAUAAUGAUGGUGGUAAUGUGCCACUGUCAUACAUUACUUUCCAUGAGCUAGUAAAUGGUGCUAAAACACGAGCAGCAAGCAAGUUGAAAGAUCAGGUAAGAAGUGGAACAGUGCUUUCAUAAUGCCAAUCGAACUUUGCAUUGCCAUUCUAAUUUUAUUUGUAGUUGAUUAAUGGCAAGACAAAUUAUAUCUCGAAAAUUUCUCUCUUCGGCAGGACAACCAAGCUGGACUGGGGCUAUAAGACUGAAGAUUGCUCAAGCCCCUGAAGGAUGCCAUGUUUUUUUUUCUUGAGGAUCUGCCACAUAAUUUUUAGUUUCAUAGUUUCUGUUAUAGAUUAUCUGAAGUAGAAUCGAGGAUAUAUACAAUGUUUUUUAGUAUAUGACCGUGAUCGUUAUUUGAAUGGGAAUGUGUAAUAGUGAAUGAAUGAUUUAUUUGAUUCAUAAUAUAUAUGUUUUUGCAUGAUUUUCUGAUGAUCUAUAAAUCUGUCGCAUUAACCAAUACAAAUACUAUACAAUCAACCACACGAUGAAAUAUAUCUGGUUGGCAUAACCCCUACCAUUUACCUACGUCUCCGAACUUUGGUUGCGAUAACAAGUUGCGAUGAAAUAUAUUGCGUUGCGAUAACCUCUACCCUGUAUCUACCUCUCAAAUGUUUGGUUGCCAUAUCCUCUCGCGAUGAAAUAUAUUGGGUUGCUAAACCCCUCGCCUAUAGCUACGUCGCCAACUUUGGUUGCCAUUGCCUCUCGUGAUGAAACAUAUUGGGUUGCUAAACACCUCGCCUAUACCUACGUCUCCAAUUUGGUUGCCAUAUCCUCUCGCAAUGAAAUAUAUUGGGUUGCUAAACCCCUCGCCUAUAACUACGUCUCCAAAUUUUGUUGCCAUAUCCUCUCGCGAUGAAACAUAUUGGGUUGCUAAACACCUCGCCUAUCCCUACAUCUCCACUUUGGUUGCCAUAUCCUCUCGCGAUGAAAUAUAUUGGGUUGCUAAACCCCUCGCCUAUAGCUACGUCUCCACAUUUGGUUGCCAUAGCCUCUCGCGAUGAAAUACAUUGGGUUGCUAAACACAAUACCUAUAGCUACGUCUCCAAACUUUGGUUGCGAUAACAAGUCGCGAUGAAAUAUAUUGGGUUGCGAUAACCCCUACAUUUUAGCUACAUCUCAAAUGUUUGGUUGCCAUAUCCUCUCGCGAUGAAAUAUAUCGGGUUGCUAAACCCCUCGCCUAUAGCUACGUCUUCAACUUUGGUUGCCAUAUCCUCUCGCGAUGAAAUAUAUUGGGUUGCUGAACACCUCGCCUAUACCUACGUCUCCAACUUUGGUUGCCAUAUCCCCUCGCGAUGAAGUACAUUUGGUUGCGAGAUCCCCUCGCUAUAGCUACGUCUCCUCGCUAGUUGCCUUAUCCUCUUGCGAUGAAACAUAUUUGGUUGCAAGAUCACCUUGGUAUAGCCAUGUCUCCACACUGGUUGCCAUAUCCUCUCGCGACGAAAUACAUUUGUUGCGAGCUCCCUUCGCUGUAGCUAUGGCUCCACACUAGUUGCCUUAUCCUAUCGCGAGGACAUAUAGUUGGUUGCGAAAAUCUUACCCUUUUGCAACACCAUCGUUAUUUUAGCCACCAAGAUAUAUUGAAGCGAUAUAACACACUUGCUACAACACUUUGAGUUGAAAGAAUGUAUUCUCGCAACUAGCUACAUUGAUGCAAUAAUGACUAUAACCACGCCAAAUACUCAUAUGCAACGCCCAUAAUAGUAGCUUGUACGCCCUAUUGCGUCGUCACGUUGAUUGCAAAAGCUUAAGGUUGUGGCAACGUUUAAAACAAACUGUAUCUAAAAUCUCUAGCUACGGCACCUUUACCAUCGCCUACCAACACUUGCGUUUUGCUGCAAUAUCUAAAUAUGGCAACGAAAAGUGACAUUUUGCAACUAUUUUGCCCCGUGGCCUCACGUGGGUUCGUUAGUAGUGGCCUGGACAUGCUGCUCUAGUACUCGAAGCCCAGAUCGGUGGGUACAUGAUGAACAAAGUAUUUGUCGACGGCGGAAGUGGUCUCGAUCUUAUUUAUACUGACACCCUCCGCGGGAUGAACCAUUCCAUGACAAAGCUUCCUGCAAUGGACAUAACCUUCCAUGGCAUCAUCACGGGCAAAGCAGCCACGCCGCUGGGAAGAAUCAGCCUGGACGUGGUAUUCGGCUCAUCCGACAAUUUUCGGCGUGAAAGACUCGACUUCGAAGUAGUCGACUGGCCUUCACAAUACCACGUGGUAUUGAGCUGAGUCGCGCUGGCUCGCUUCAUGGCGGUCCUGCAUUAUGCUUAUCUCAAGCUCAAAAUGCUAGGGCCCAACGGCAUGAUCACCAUUUCAUGAAACUUCACGCGAUCGGACAUCUGCGACAAAAAAUUCCAUAUAAUUUCUGAGUCCUUCGGUAUGCAUGAAGAGUUCUAGGAGCUCAAAGCUUCAACCGGCCUAGAGCAAACACCAAUCUCCAAGAAGCCGGCUUCUCAGCCCGAGUUCAACAAGAAAGCGGACACCAAGGAGGUUCAGGUCCAUCCAACUGACUCUAGCAAGACUGCUGUAAUAUCUACAAGCCUUCCUCCUGCACAGGAAAGCGCGCUCGUCGAGUUCCUCCGUGAGCGCUGGGAAAUCUUUGCCUGGGUGCUAGCUGACAUGCCAGGAAUUCCCAGGGAAUUAGCCGAGCACGCACUUAAAGUGGACGAGAACACAAAGCCGGUGCGACAACCCAUGCGGCGUUUCUCAGAGCCAAAGCGCGAAGCCAUCGGGGAGAAAGUUAAACGACUCCUCGAAGCUAAAUUCAUUAGGGAGAUAAAACAAGCGACCUGGGUAGCAAAGCCCAUCCUUGUCCCCAAGAAGAAUACCAUAGUACUGCGUAUGUGCGUCGACUUCACGUCGCUUAACAAGCACAGCCCAAAGGAUCACUUCCCUUUGCCACGGAUGGACCAUAUCGUCAACUCGACCGCCGGCUGCGAUCGACUGUCCUUCUUGGACGCCUAUUCAGGCUACAACUAGAUUCGACUCAAGCUCGAAGACGAGGAAAAGACAGCAUCUGUCACUCCAUACGGAGUUUUCUGUUACACAACAAUGCCCUUCGGGCUCAAAAACGCAGGUGCCACCUAUCAGCGCUGCAUCCAGGCAUGCCUCGAGCCUCAGCUAGGGAACCACGUCCAAGUCUAUAUCGAUGAUAUCGUCAUAAAAACGAAGAAAGAAGCAACGCUUCUUGACGACAUCCGGGAGACAUUCGACAACCUUGACAAGUACAAAAUCAAGUUGAACGCAACCAAGUGCACCUUCAGGGUACCCGCCGGGCAACUCCUUGGAUACUUUCUGUCGGCUCGAGGCAUCGAGGCAAACCCGACAAAAAUCAGAGCCAUCCUAACCAUGAAUGAGCCGACUAAAAUUCAUGAGCUCCAGCAGCUCACGGGUCGACUCGCGGCCCUAAGCCGAUUCAUCGGUAGGCUAGGCGAGAAAGCCUUGCCCUUCUACCAUCUUUUGAAAAAGAAGAAGGACGACUUCGCGUGGACACCGGAGGCCAGUGCUGCUUUCGCAGACUUGAAGCGCCUAUUAUCAACCUCGUCGAUUCUCGUCGCUCCACACGAAGAUGAGCAGCUCCUAUUGUACAUCGCAGCCACCACUCAGGUGGUCAGCACAGCGAUCGUAGUUGAGCGAGCCAAAGAUGGCAAGACCCACGGUGUUCAGCGCCUAGUCUAUUACAUCAGUGAGGUCGUUUCGCCUACAAAGCAACGCUAUCCCCACUAUUAAAAGCUUGCGUAUGGAGUUUUUCUAACAGGACGCAAGCUAAGACAUUAUUUCUAACAACACACAGUUGUGGUUGUCAGCGAGGCUCCUCUCGCCAACAUUUUGAAGAACUCAGAAGCGACUGGAAGAGUCACCGAGUGGGGAAUCGAGCUCUUGGCUCGCAACAUAACCUACGAGCGACGGAAGUCGAUCAAAUCACAAGUGCUCCCCGACUUCAUCGCCGAGUGGACAGAGGCUCAGACUCCGGGCCCGCCCGACAUGUCAAGCUCAUGGACGAUGUACUUUGACGGGUCGAAGCGACAUGAAGGGGCAGGCGCGGUUGUCAUGCUUAUUUCACCCAAAGGUGAUAGACUCCGCUACGUGCUUCAGAUGCAUUUUCACAACCCUUCAAACAAUGAAGUCGAGUACGAGGCCCUCUUGCAUGGCAUGCGUAUGGUCAAAGCUUGCGGGCCACAAGUCUCAUGAUAUACGACGACUCUUACCUCGUCGUUCAGCACAUGAUGAAGUCGUGUGAUGCCAUCUCCGACUCCAUGAUUGCUUAUCGCGAUCUCUACAACGUACUGGAAGGCCAGUUUGAGGGAUGCGAGGUGCAUCACAUUGGCCGAAACAGCAAUGACGAGGCGGACAGUCUGGCCAACAUCGGCUCGACUCGUUCCCCAAUCCCGUCCGGAGUAUUCCUAGAGAUCAUCCACCAGAGAUCCAUCAAAGAAAAGAAUACUUCGAGUCCCAAGAAGUCAAUACCGAUCGACGGUGAGCAAAAACCUCUCGACCCUGACUCACCGGACGACCCUGCAGUCGCAACGGUGAAGAAGAACCCGAUGAGGAGCUCAUGGUCGAGCCGACGUGGAUGCAAACCUUUCUUGCGUACAUGAUACGCCAAGAGCUACCUACAGAUGUCGCAGAAGCACGUUGAAUCGCUAGGCGGUCUAAAGCUUUUACCGUCAUUGAAGGCGAGCUCUACAAACGAAGCGUCUCCGGCGUCCUGCAGCGGUGCAUUCCACUUGAGGAAGGACUGGAGAUUUUGAUCGACAUAAAUCAAGGCACAUGCGGUCACCAUGCGAGCAGCCGUGCUAUCACGGCAAAGGCAUUUCGAGCUGGAUUCUAUUGGCCGACAGCGAUGCAAGACGCUGCCGACAUUGUCACCCGAUGCGUGGCCUGCCAUAUGUUCGCAACUAAGCCGCAUGCUUCGGCUUCAGAACUCAAAACAAUACCAUUGGCUUGGCCUUUCGCUCAAUGGGGACUCGACAUGGUCGGGCCACUUCAACGAUCAAAAGAAGGGGGUCAUACCUUUCUGCUUGUCGCCAUCAACAAGUUCACCAAACGCCAUGGGAACGACUGCCGUGGCAUUCAUUCGCUCCAUCGUAUUCCGCUUCGGAGUCCCUCACAGCAUUAUCACCGACAACGGGUCAAACUUCCUUUCUAACGAGUUCCAUGACUUUUGCAAAAAGAUGGGAAUCCACCUCAACUACGCAGCAGUUGCGCAUCCACAGACUAACGGGCAGGUCGAAAAGGCGAGCGGCCUGCUCACAGUCGGCAUCAAAAAACGGCUCAUGACUCCCCUGCAUCGCGCAGCCUGGCAUGGGUCGAAGAACUGCCCUCUGUACUCUGGAGCCUGCGGACAACUCCAAAUGGCUGUACCAAGUUCACACUGUUCUUCAUGGUGUACGGUGCUGAAGCAGUGCUACCAGCCGACGUCCGGUUCAACGCUCCUCGAGUCACAGCGCACUCUUGACCGGAGGUUGACAUGCCAAUGGAAGACACACUCGAUGCAGUCAACGAAUCUCACGACGUUGCGCUCGCACGAGCGGCCGUUUAUCAACAGAGCGUGCGUAACUACCACAGCCGUCGGUUGCGCACCCGCGCUCCUUCGUCGAAGGUGACCUCGUACUACGACUCAAGCAAAAGGGUCGUCACAAGCUCCAAUCGCCUUGGGAGGGACCCUACGUGGUCACCAAGGUGAUUCCAGGAGGCGCUUACUACCUCAAAGACAUGAAGAGUGGCGUCACAUACAACAGGCCUUGGAACGUCGCACAAUUGCGACGAUUCUACGCUUAAAAUCUUUUCCAGCGUUUUCUUCCCCUGUUUUCUCCUACAACUUUUAUUAGCAUCCCUAGGUCACAAUGUUUUAGUUUCACUCAUGUACUCUGGUACUCAAUAAAGCUUUCAAUAUUCUCUACACAGAGAUCUCUUAUUUGCUUUUUGGGCUCGCCACCUACUCGGGGGGCUUUGCCCAAGCUUGCUAUAACAACUUAUCGCAUGCCAAACGACGCAAAGCCCAAUUUGCAGCUCUCGUCCAUUCAAAAGGAUGGACCCAAGGAAUACUUGUCUUGGACGCACCCGACACUCGGGGGCUGCGUCCAAUCGACUCUAAUACUUGUCUUGGACGCACCCGACAAUCGGGGGCUGCGUCCAAUCGACUCUAAUAUUUGUCUUGGACGCACCCGACACCCGGACGCUGCGUCCAGUUAGCAAGUAAAUAAAGUAAUACUCAUGCAACUAAAGCUCACUUGGGUCCUUGCCCGACUACUCGUAGUCGACCCCGGACCCGGGGGCUACUCCCACCGGGAGACCAGCGCACCCGGUAGAUGUUACUCGCGUUCCUACACUUUUCAGAUUCAAGGGAGGAUAAAGGAUCUCAGCAGCACUCCCAUCGGGAGUCUCCAAGUUCAAAUUCACAUUCAGACACAAUUAUAAUUAUACAAAAAGCUUCUACAAAAACGGCCCUCGGUCGAGAUACAAUCCUCCAGUACAUAACUUGAGUCCGGUCACCACUGCAAACAGUCGUCAUCAGACUCAGGGGCUCCCAUCGGGAGCGCUCGUCGUGCACCCGGUAGAAUCUAUUCUACUACUAUUUUGGACUCUGUUGUCGAUGCUGUCGAGCUAUAAGGUCUUCUUCCUGCCAGUAACGCCAGCCGAUGAUCCUCGCCGCCUGCUCGUAAACAGCAUUGAAAUGAGGUCGCAGGUCGAUUUCAUCGCCAGGGUCACCAGGAAUGUAACAUCCUAGAAUUUUCCCAUUUUGGAAUGUUAAGGAAAAUAAUUAUUUUAAAUAAAAUAUUGGCUUUGGAGAUAUUUUGGUUGUGAAAUUCGAAAAGAUUUUGAUUUAGGACUUAUUUAAAAUUUUCCACACCAUGUUUGUAUAUUCAAUAGAAGAGUGGAUUAAUAUGACUAUCCAAAUUAUACAAUUAUGGUUGGCACAUUAAUGUAAGUUCAAAAUAUUCUAUUUGGACCCAUAUGAAUCUUAUGUUUUUCUCCGGUUAUUCUUUGCAUCUUAAUAAAUCAUAUUUUCCUAUUUUUGUUUUUUUUGAAAAAUUUAUUAACAUCCCAAGUUUCCAAUUUGGAUGCCAUGACCAUUUGAGAGCAUCGUUGGAAUAUUUGAAUCGAUUAGAAAUGCUUUCCAACAUUUAUUUAAAUGUUAAAGAGAGUGAAUAAUAUGACUUUCCUGAUUAUAAGUUUGGAAAGAUAUUCAUUGAUUCACCUAUGUUUUUCUCGAUUUCUAUCUUGUCUUGUUCAUUUUGUUUUCGAGAAGAAGUUAUCAAAUAUUUGAGAAGAGGGUAAUAUGACAUCCUCACGCACAAAUGCUUUUCCAACAUAUAAUCAAUAAUUAAGAGUGGGAAUAAUGUGACUUUCCCAAGAAGUAUAGUUGGAAACAUUUGUUAUGGUUUCAAAGUGUGUGAUUUGAUGUUAUAAAUCUAUUUGAGAAUUUUAUCGAACCAUAGAAAUAUGAUUAAAAUGCAUCCACGAUACUCGUACUUGGCAGCAGGGUUCAGUUUGGUCACUAUAUUCAAGAAAGUGCAAAAUAUGAUUCCUAUACUUGGCAGACGGGUCCACAUACGGUCACCGCGUACGUUUGCGCUUGUAUUCUCGACACGUGGCAUGUAAAUCUUCCACUUUCCCCCUUUUUUUCUAUGCGACCCCCCCUCAAGUCCCCAUCCUGACGCGCGGUGAAUCUUUUGCAUUUGCCCCCUUGUGUCCCUUCAUUACCCACGACUAACCCCACGUCGGAUUCGUCCAGAAAGAGCAAGACAGAGAGACAGGCGAGAAGGGCGGGGAUCGUGGAGGCGGCGGCGAUCAUCUGGGGUUUCCGAUCUGUACGUCAUCUGCGAUUGCGGUUGCGCUCGUGGUCAACGGUGCUGUUGGUGCGGUGGUGAUUGGGCUCGUUCGAGGGCCAUGGCCCCUUUACGUCGGCUAGAAGGAAACCCUCCUCCUGUGUACGGUAAGUUCUUGAACCAUGUUUCAAUGCUGUGGCUCUUGUACGUGAUGGAUGGUUGAUUGUGGUCAUGUACGUGAUGUAUCGGUGGUUAGGGUUAGGUGGAAUCAACUUUUUACAGAUUUAGGGUCAUUUUAGGUGGAAUCAGGAAGGUUUUGGUGGAUGGUUUUCUCGAAAUUUUACGGUGAAAUAGACAUCGAUUUGAGGGUAACCUGUACAGCGCUAGGUUCAUUUUGCAGAAAUUUCUAGGGUUUAUGCUUUAGAUUGAAGUAUGUUGUUUUCAUUAUGUGCAGAGGAUUGGGACCGUAGGUUCUUAUUCAGUCUGUGCAUUAAUCAUGGAGGGUUCUUCGUUGGUAGUGGUACAAAUCGUAGCUAUGUGGAUGGUCGGAAAAUUUGGUAUGAUUUUAUAGAUGGGGAGAAGUGGAGCCUUGCAGAUGUUGAGACCAUUGUGGAAGAGAUUGGUUAUGAGAUGGCAGGAAGAGUCAAGGCUUAUUGGCUAGUACCUGGAAAAGAAGCGAACAAUCUGAAUGGUUUGGUUCAGAUUAGUAGUGCUGCAGUGACAGGUAACAUGAGUGGCAUGGUCAUGUGCAGACACGAGUUUCAUCACAUAUAUCUUGACCAUGACAUGAGGCUCGGCAGUGACAUGGAUGUAUCAUGUUGCAGAUUUGCCAAAGGUUUUCAGUCCAAAGAAGACCACAUACUUGGAGAACAGAUCAGAAGCACUGCCAGCAUUUUACAAAGUUGCAAACCCAGUGAUCAUUCAGUCUAAUUCUGAAUCUAGUGACAGUGAGUCUGGAGGAGAGGAAGAUUUCAUAGACAGUGAUUAUGAGAUAAGUGAUGGGGAUGAUGAUCUUGGUGAGGAUGUCAUAGAUGAAGAUGAAGCUUCUGACAAGGGUAAAGGGAAGGCUGUGCAGCAAGAGUUGAGUGACAAUGAGUAUGAUGCCGAAGAUGAUAUGCCUGAUGAAGGUGACCACCUGCGGGCACCUGGUUCAGAUGAUGAGGGAGCCGUCUACAACUUCAAAAGUUUCAAUGAAGAGGAUACGCAUAAUCCAGUUUUCAGUGUUGGAUAGAUCUUUGAGUCUCCUGAAAUCCUUAGAACAACUAUAAGAGAAUACAGCUGCAAGAUGAGGGUUGAUAUAAAACUUCCAAUCAAUGAUACACAGAGGAUAUCUGCAAGUUGUGAUGAUGGUUGCCCUUGGAGGAUGUGGGCCUCAUAUGACAGUAGAACUAAGUGCAUGGUCGUCAAGAGAUACAAUGGUGAACACAAUUGCAACAAGAAGGGGAAGGUUAGAGCUUUCACCUCCAAGUUUCUAGCAAGGAAGUACAUUGAGCAUUUCAGGGCUGAUGAGAACAUGAAUCUGAAGAACUUUGCAAGGACUUUCCAAAGGGAGUGGAACAUGUGUCCAUCUAGAAGUAAAUUGGGUAGGGAAAGGAGAUUGGCAUUGAAGACCAUCUAUGGAGAUGAGAUUGGGCAGUACAAUCUGUUGUGGGAUUAUGCAAAUGAGCUUAGAAGAUCCAACCCUGGAAGCACAUUCUUUCUGUCACUUGACCAGAAUGGCAGGUUCAGUCAGUGUUACUUCAGCUUUGAUGCUUGCAAAAGAGGCUUUCUAGCUGGACGUAGGCCUGUCAUUUUGUCUAGAUGGAUGCCUCCUGAAGACUAAGUUUGGAGGUGUGUUGCUAACUGCAGUGGGUAUGGACCCAAAUGAUUGCAUAUUUCCAAUAGCAUUUGCAGUUGUGGAGGUAGAAGAUACCAAACCUGGAAAUGGUUUUUGGAGACCCUAAAGCAAGAUCUAGGCAUUGGCAGUAAUACUGAACCAUGGACGUUGAUGUCUGACAAACAAAAAGUAAUAAAUUAUUCUCACUUUAUUGUGUUAUCUCUUUUGACAAUAAAUCAAUAAUCUAUACACUUAUGUUGCUUUACCUUCUAUGCUGCAGGAUCUAAUCAUUGCAGUGACAGAGCUGUUCCCUCAUGCAGAACAUAGGUUUUUGUGUGAGGCACAUGUGGCAAAAUUUCAAUGGAACUUUUAAAGGAGAUGUGUUGAAGAACCAGCUAUGGAAGAUAGCUAGAAGCACUACAGUUAUGAGGUGGGAAGAGAACAUGGAGGAUAUGAAGCAGAUAAACAUGGAUGCACAUGCUUGGUUAGAUGACCUGCAACCCAACACUUGGAUAAGGGCUUUUCAAUCUGAAUAACAACUGUGAGGUCUUUAACAAGUAAGUACUGUAAUUGAAUUCAUUUUGUGAUAUUAUCCAACUUAGUCAUAGGUAUAUCAUUUAGUAAUCUAAUUGUUUGCUACCAUGUGCAUGUCUCAUAGGUAUAUCCUAGAAGCCAGAGAACUGCCUAUCCUAACUAUGAUAGAGAGGAUCAAGUACUGAUGGAAAGGUUCUAUAAUAAGAAAAAGGAAGCACAAAACUGGUCUGGAUCCAUUUGCCCCAAAAUAAGGAAAAGGUUGGCAAAGAACAUAGAGUGGGCCAACACUUGUUAUGUUGCAGAAGCUGGUGAGGGGGUGUUUGAUGUAGCAGAUAGGGGCACCAAUUAUAUAGUUGAGCUAUUUGUGAAGAGUUGCAGCUGUAGGAGGUGGAACCUGACAGGGAUACCAUGUUCUCAUGCCAUAGCUUGCAUGAGACAUGAAAGAAUUGCGCCUAAGUCUCAAGUUCACAGUUGUUAUUCAAUAGAGACUUUCUGCAAAGCAUAUGGCCAGAUCAUUAUGCCAUGCAAGGACAGAAAAGAAUGGCAGAAGAUGAAUGGAUGCCCAAUUUUGCCACCCCUUUAUUUGAAGAAAGUUGGGAGGCCUGCUAGAAACAGAAUGAAAACACCACAUGAGAUUGCUGCACAAGGAGGUGGCAACAGAAUGACAAGGCAUGGUGUGGUCAUUCACUGCAGUCACUGUGGAGAUCCAAACCAUAACAGGAAAGGACGUGCAAGGUUCAAAGCUGGACUACCACCUACAGUAGCCCCACAAAGGCAUGGUACCAGGCAGAGGAAAAGAAGGGCUGCACCUAGUGCUGCAAACCAAGAAGAUAGUGGGCAACCUGAGCAUGAAGAUGGUGGGCAACCUGAGGUGCAUUAUGUUGAUUCAUCUGAGCAUGAUGAGCCUGUCAUUACACAACUAAAUCAACAGGUAACUACAAACUUGUGUGUUUCUCUGUUUUCAUACACUUACGAACAGCUGGUCAGCUUUGUGACUCCUUUGUCUAUGUUACUUACUUGUAAUAGGCACAAGUUGGGCCACAGAACAUGCAAUCAGAGUGGCCACAAAGUUCUUCUCAGCACACUGAACAUACCAUGUUGAAUGUAAUGAUGGCAGAUGUAAGCUUAUACAAUGCUAUGAUUCAUUUAAUGCUAAGAGCUACUCAAUUCUGCUAUACUCAAUUUGUGAACAUACCAUGCACAUUAAACUGUUACAUCCCUUGGUAUUGCAGAGACCUAUGCCCAAGGUUGUCAAUUUUGUACCAAGAUCCCUUCCAGACAGCUCUUUUAUCUUAGCUGCUAGGGAUGAACUUACACCUGUUGGUAAUGCACUCAAUUUAGGAAGCACAUCAAUUAGUACACAUCACUUGCAGCAGAAGGUUCAGGCUAUGAAGUAUGCCAAAAGCAAAGUGUUUGCUGUACGAAGAGAAGAAACACUUGAAGCCAAGUAUGAGUCACAUCACAAGCAAGUUGCAGCAGUGCUUGCAAAGAGGAAGGAAGCAGCAGAAAAGAAGGCAGCUGAUGCUCUAACUGCAAAAAAGGAGGCACAAGCAAAGAAGUUGGCAGUAGCAGAAGCAAAGAAGAGGGAGGCGCAAGCAAAGAAGGCAGCCCUGUUGGAGGCAAAGAAGCUGGCUGCAGCUGAGAAGAGUCAAGCAGCUGACGCACAAGGAAGAUAGCAGCUGAACAGAAGGAGGCUGGAAUGAAGCAAAGGCAAGAAGCUGCAGUUGCCAAAAGAGCAGGCAUUGCAAUGGCAAGAGAAGAUGCACAAGCAAAGAAGAAAACCAAGAAGGACUCUAUGUUUGACAUUUUCAGAUGAACUUGGUUAUUGGAGCUAUGAGCUUGGUUAUCCAUACUCUGCACUUUUUUUUACAUACUUUGCACUUUACUUGGAGUACUCUUUAACUUGUGUGGUGAACUUGGUUAUUUUGGAGUUGUGAACUGUGAACCAUGUUGCAUUUUGGAGCUACGAACUAGGUUAUUCUGUCAGCUAAGUUGUAAGCACAGUGUCGAAAGCUUUUUACUAAAUUUUUGUUGAAGACUAAUUCUGGGUUGCUGUGUUUCAUAUAUUUCUGUUUUUCAUGCGGCAAGGUUUUGCAUUUCAGUCAUCCUGGAGCUAGUCUUGCGUCAACUUUCUGCCAUAUUUGACCAUUUGAUCAUAGAACAAUUGAGCACCAGGCCACCAUGCUUGAUAGAGCUAGCAGCGCUGCUACUGGCGGCGGCGGAAGACAUGGCAAAGCAACGACGGCGGCGGUGGAGACUGGGAAAGGGCGACGGCUACGAGGCCAGCGUUAAGUAUUCGUAGGAGAAAUUGAUGACCUUCACCAGCAAUUGAUCUCUGGUUUUCAAAGAAAAUGAGAGAAAUGAGAAAGGGGGGGUGGGGGGAGAAAGAUUUACAUUGGCGGGUGGACCAGUCAACUCCAUACCGUAUGCCACGUGUCGAGAAUACGCCCAAACGUACGCGGUGACCGUAUGUGGACCAGUCUGUCAAGUAUAGGAAUCGUAUUUUGCACUUUCUUGAAUACAGUGACCAAACUGAACCCUGCUGCCAAGUACAAGUACGGUGGAUGCAUUUACUCUAGAAAUAUUAUGAGAUUUUAUUUGGAGUUUAUUCAAACUUAUUUUAAUACAAAACUACUUAUAAAUAGUUUUAAUACAAAACUAUUUAUAAACUAUGUUUUCUAAGCCUACAACACUUAUUUUGAUUUACUUCAAUUAUUUAGAGUUCAUAUGGUAUUUAUAAAAGCAUAUUUGAAUUUCUGCGUUUUGUUUGAUUUCAAAAGGGCCAUAAACCCAAAAGCCACCCUCUUCAGUCACGGAGUCGCUAGCCUGUUCCGACGACUCCGAGGACUCGUCAGCCAACUCUUCCUCCCCAGCAGGAGGAGGUUGACUCAAGGGAUCUUCGAGUCCGUACAACCAGCAAACUAGUCAGUAGCUUACAAAUACAAGCUCAAAACAGCAGAAAUGUAAAUUACCUCUUCCCUCGGCCUGUCAGGGCCAUAAGGGACUACUGGUGAGUCGAUCUUGCACGGAGUCGCGUCGGUCAGGGUCGUCAACCUUCGCACCUGCGACUCCAAUUCGUUCAAAGAUAGUUCUUUCGCGUUCACCCGAGUGGUAUCCCCGGGUCCUUCGAAUGACCACAUUGGGUGAACGUGAGCCUGUAGCGGCUGGAUCCUCAUCCUGAGGAACUGAGCUAUCAGGUGAACACCUGUCAGCCCCUGUGCCACAAGGGAGUGCAUCCUAGCCAUCAGGGAGGUCGCCUCAGACCUCUCUGCAGGCAUCAGUUCAUGGCUCCAUGCCGCCGUCUUCUUUGUCUUCUUCUUGAUUGAGAAGGCAGGAAUACUCGGAUCGGCACCCAAGGCGUCAGCUUGGACAUAGAACCACUUCGACCUCCAGCUUUGCACAGAUUCGCGCUGCUGGAGGGAGAAGUAUUUGGCGUCGGGCCUCACCUGGAAGUUGACGCUCCCAACGGCGUCCGCCUUUUCGCCUUUGAUCAUAAAGAUCCGCUUCCAGAGCCCCCAAUGUGGGCUCACCCUCAAGAAGCAUUCGCACAGCGUGAUGAAGCACGCAACGUGCAAAUAGGAGUUUGGGGGCAGAUCGUGAAGCUGCAGCCCAUAGGCUAACAGCAUAGCACGGAAAAAGGCAUGAAGGGGAAAAGAAAUCCCCACGGCACAUAGUCGAGGAAGACAACCCGCUCACCUAGCAACGGUUGCGGGUACUCCUUUGCCGGGAAGCGAACCUUGUCAGGGCCUCCCGGCAACAAUCCCUCAUCCUAGAGUUCCAGGAUCUUGACGCGAUGGUCAGCCACGCCGGGCCAAGGGACGACUCCCUUGCCAGCAUCUGCUUUGCCGGCAUCGGUCUUCGAACCCGCAGCCUUGGUCUUGCCCAUCUUUGGAUGGUGUGAGAUUCUUGGUCGCUGAAGAAUCUUGCGAAAAGUUUUUUGCUAUGGAGGCAGAGAGCUCGAGCGCUUGAACCAGGUUUGCAAGGAAGAAGAGAGGUAAAAGGCAUUCCCUUUCCACCCUCCUCUUUAUAUAGGCUGAAUCCGGGCGAAGAAUCUGGGCCCCAAGAUCCUUAUCUUGGCCACGUGUCCCACAUCGAUCGGGAUGUGAAGCGGUGAAAACAGAAACGGACACCCAUGUUUCGGGCGCAAGAAUCGAUGAAAUCAUUAUGCCUUAUUUACUGCGCGAAGUGUGAUCGUUUUCCCACUGACGCACGCCAACAGUGUGCCUAACUGUCAGGCUAGAUUGUGUACCCGGUCACAUCGGUUGACCCAACGGCUCUUCACCUCCAUAUCAUGACUUAAAAGCUAUCUUUCAAGUAGGGUGGUGGAGUUUACCAUAAGAAUGUUGAGACUCGUUGUUUAUAUUUGUUAAAGACUUCAUACAAUCAGCUAUUGUCUGCUCUUUACUUACAAUAGUAAAAACAGGGUAAUGAUCCUGACACAAAACAGUCGAUUUCAUAUAGUCGACUCAAUUAAGUCGCACCAGCUGUGUCACCUCGGUUGUUAUUCUCAUUCGCACAACAGUAAGCCUCUUGGAUUUCGUCCAAAGAGCCUGGAGCCGCACCAGCUGCGCUGCUCUAGUAAACCCAUUCUCAUUGCAUGAAGAUAAGCCUCAUGGAUCAUUCCAUCGAGCCUGAAAUCGUACCAGCUGCGUAUUUCAGCAAACCCAUGCUCAUUGCAUGAAGAUAAGACCCGAAAGUUCUCUUUCGGGCCUGAAAUCGUACCAGCUAUGUUAUUCCAGCCUAGUCCAUACUCAUUGUAUGAAGGUAAGUCCUAAAAUCUAGGCCUGGAUAUGCAUCGACCGCAUCCUUCCUGUAAUAAUUCUCACUUAACGGUCGCUCCCUACAACCAUGUUCAUUACAUGAAGAUAAGCGUAGGCUUCCUAUAGGACCUGGAAACGUACCAGCUGCGUAUCUCCAGAACAUACAAUCUUGACAAACCGAGUCGAGUACUUAAAAACUGGAAUUCGACUCUAUAAGACCCCAGCAGGCUAAGUCAAAAUUCGCCAGUCGCCAGGUUCGAGCCCGGGGACUCGAAUGCUGAUGAAAGCUAGUGUUGUAUUCGCCCUAGAGUGAUUAACUGGACUCGACUUCUCGAGUAUCUGGGCACAUUAAGCAUGUAUCCCUAUCACCCCUACUCAUCGCAUUGAUCCGCUAUCAAUAUCAUAUUGUGAAACUGUUACUUAACAGUCAAACACUGAAGCAUCAGCUCAGACAUUCUCUGAGUCGAAAUACUUCUCAUUCGAACAAGUCGAUAAAAUUCCAAGUUUGCAGUACUGUGCAACUGGCUCAACAGCUAAAUGAGUUCAUUCUUUACGGGAAAAGUCCCUAGUCAAGUCUUCGACUCAACCAGGCACUUGGGGGCUACUGAUGUGGUUAUGACUAACCACGUACUCGACUCGAGCAUACCCGGUUGUCAUACCAGUGGCCCGCGGGGUCCCACUGAUACGGGACGCGUGGGUCGCCAGUAACGAAGCCCCGUCAGGAAGGCCACCCGGGAAGCGAUGAGUCCGGAGAGCCAGCCUCGAAGAAACGGCUCUUGGUGGGGGAGAAGCUAAGGGCCGAGUACAAGAAGCCCAAGGAACCCCGGUCCCGGGAAGCUGAAGAAAUGCCUCCCGGCAACCAGCCGAGUGCGCUAGCCGGGAAGGUGCACCCUAGCAACCCGCGCUCGGGCAUGCAGGUGGGACCCGCAGAACAGUGAAGACAGGACAAGAUGGCGGGCGCAGUGCAUUUAAUGCACCGACAUGAGUUUUAUCUGCAGGAAUAGGCUUGCAGAGCAAGGCUAGGGCGACUACCCGACGAACCAUCUUUUCUACCGUAUACAGUAGACAGGGCGCUGCAUGGCGUCCAACGCGGAUCAACCAAAGUGUAUCUCGUGUGGCCGUGACACGCGUCUGGGAAACGUGUCACGCUGCAUGCUUAGGCACCUGUGGUAUCCCCUUGUCUAUAAAAGGAGGACCAAUGCCACCGGUCAAAGGGUUCCAACCCCAGUUAUGAGAACAUAGCAUCGCGCUCACCCAAGUAGGCAACCCAGGAACUCCCCGGGUGAUCUGUACGCACUCAAUCUUGUGAAUUCAACUCAAAGCAGGACGUAGGGUAUUACACCUCCGGGUGGCCCAAACUUGGGUAAACUCUCGUGUGUACACUUUGUGUCUAUCGCCACGCCGGCGAUCACCGGAGCGAUCACCUCGCCUUCCACCGAACCAAAAAGGGGGUGCUUGGCAUCCCCGGUGCCGGAGACCGUGCUCCGACAUCUGGUGCGCCAGGUAGGGGGGCGUGCAGAGAGCUUCGGGUGACCGCUGGCGUCAUCGUCAUCAACAUCGGCUCCUCUGUCUACGACGUCUUCGACAUUUAACUCGCCAUGCCACCCAAGAAGGCAGACGAACCCCGAGUCGACUUGCGCGACACUCUCGCCAUGCGCACUCGAUGCCAUGACGCUGCACGCGCGUCACAUGCACAAGGGGACCCCACCUACCCCUCCUCGGCCGUCGGCGGAAAACUUGACUAGGGGGCCUACGGCUCCCAGUGCUGCAGCCAGUCGUGCGAGCGGCCACAAAGCCGCACGCGCCGGCCAGCGAGUCCACUCGCGGCCCGAAGACGCGCAGCGACAGCUGUGCCACGAGCACAGCGCGUCGCGUGCGACGCCGACGGAGUCUUGCCCCACACACCCGAGGGCACCAGGUGACAGGGCGGAGGGCAGCCGAUCGGAGAAUCGGCAGCCUCCCGCCAAGACCUCGGCAGAAGCCAUUAUAGCCGCACGUGUCAUGGUGCGCUACGGGCCACCGCAAGGCACGCCGGCGCAUGAAGCGUGGAGAGAAGAGUUGGACGCGCUCCUCGCACUCGCCGCCUAGCAGCCGCAAGGCGAGGGCGCCCCGGUUGGUUCAGGCCGGGCGCAGAACCUGGGACGCGGAGACGCACCCCGUGCCUCAGGGCACGGACAACACCCUCGCCCGCCGGGAGAGCAAGGAGGCAAAGAUCCCGUGGGGUCCUCGGACUCGUCACCGACCGUUAUAGCCGCGCGAGGCGUCCUGAACGCCCGCCAACAGGAAGACCUCCGCCUGCGCUUGGAGCGCCGGCAUCGGCGUGAAGCAGAACGCCCGCGCCCAGAGGAGCAGGAAGAUGCUCCCAUGGGUGGCGAGGACGGCUGUGCCGCGUUCACUCGCGAGCUGCGGGUGACAUGGCCCCGCAAGUUCCAAGCGCCGGCGCUCGGGGCGUACGACGGGACCGUGAACCCCAAGGAUUUUCUCCUGACCUACACGUUGGACAUGCACGCCAUUGGCACCGACGACAAGGUCAGGGCCAACUAGUUCCCGAUGGACCUCAAAGGAUCAGCGAGGAUUUGAUUGUUCAACCUGCCCGCCGGGUCCAUAGCCUCCUGGGCUGACCUCGCAAGCAGUUCGUGAACACGUUCCAGGGAGGCUACAAGCGCCCGGGAACCAUGGCGGAACUACACAAGGUCGUGCAGAAACCGGGGGAGACGUUGCGGGACUUCAUCAACAGGUUCUCCAACCUCUCCUACUCCAUCCCUGAGGCGGAAGCGGCUGCCAUCAUCAACACGUACGCCAUCAACAUUCGAGACCCGAAGAUGCGUGAGAAGCUCAACACGCACCGGAUACGGACCACAAGGGAUCUCUACGCUCUCGCGCACAAGUGCGCGAUAGCCGAGGAAGGGCGCUUGGUGCCCGAGCUUGCCGCCAAAGCAGCGGCAAACCCACCGGAGGGCUCUGGGAAGAAGAGCUCCCGGAAACGCGGCGGGAAGCAAGUGCUUGCCGCGGAACCGGAGGCUCCAGAGGCCCACCAAGAAGGCGGCGUCGGCGGGAGCAUCGUGUAGCAAGACGGCAGCGUGACGCCAACGCCACCCAAGCGCUGCCCCAUCCACACCAACGCCACCCACGACGCGCAAGACUGCCGCACUCUCCUGACCAUCAAGGAGAAGCGCCCGUAGCGCCCCGAGGAGCGCUGCGCUGCCGGGGCUUGCUUCAACUGCGGGGACAUCGGGCACCUCUCCCGGGACUGCGCGAACAACCCCCACGGUGGAGCAGGCCGGGCGCAGCCGGCGGCGACAAAGCAGAACCUGCGGGGGGUCGCGGUCAAGCGCGCGGCAGCAAGGACCAACCUCCCUAGGGACGCGACAUGCCUCGCGCCGAGUAGGGCGAGGAUGACUACAGUGACGACGCCGACGAGCCCGGCUUCUAGGAGCCUCGCGACGUCUCCUGCAUCCAUGGGGGAGCGUAUGCUCUCACGUCUCACGCUGCCGUGAAGCGGCUCACGCGUGAGGUCUGCGCCCUCCUCCCCAGCGUGGAGGCACAGCAGCCGUUGAGGUGGUCGAUGUGCCGAUCACCUUCAACUCGGACGAUCACCCGAUCCGUCCCUUAGGUUCAAGGGUGCUCCCCCUCGUGGUGUCGCCGAUCAUAAACAAUGUGACGGUGACCAAAGUUCUGGGGGACAGCGGGGCAAGCCUCAACCUGCUGUCCGCCAAGCUGGUGGAGAAACUUCAGCUGCCCCUGGAGCAGAUGAAGCCCACCGACCCGUUCCGGGGGAUCAACCCCGGAGUGGUGCAACCAUGGGGGGAAUCACGCUCUCGAUGACCUUCGAUUCCCGCGAAGCAUUUCGGACUGAGCACAUCGUUUUCGAGGUGGCUCACACCCCAUUGCCAUACAACGGGAUCAUUGGUCGGCCAACGCUGAUCAAGUUCAUGGCAGCAACCCAUUGUGCCUAUGGCGUGAUGACGAUGCCGUCAACAUACGGCGUACUCUCCAUCAAGUGCGACCUGAAGGACGUUGUUUGGUGCGUGGGCGAGGUCGUGAAGACCUCCGCAGUGGCAGAUCCCGGCGACUAUGACGUUCCCGGGAGAAAGGAUCCACUUGCGGGUGAACAACCCACACAGAAGAAGGCGUGAGCCGCUCCUGGGCAGGAUGCCGGGGGCAGCUCCAGCUCCAACCUGCGCGUAAACAAGGGCAAGAAGCUGAAGGAGGAGGGCACCAAGGUCAAGAAGGUGCCCCUGCAUGCCGGCAACAAAGCACGCACUGUCUCCAUCGGUGCGAGCAAAUAGCAAAGCGCCCUCAUCGCCUUCCUCCUGGAGAACUCUGACGUGUUCGCUUGGGAGCCGUCAGAUCUUCUCGGAGUCCCUAGGGAGGUGAUCGAGCAUCGAUUGGCGGUGCGGCCAGACGCGUGGCCCCUUCAAGCAGAAGGUUCGCCGGCAAGCACAAGAACGCAAGGACUUCAUCCAGCAGGAAGUGAAGAAGCUCAAGAACGCCGGGGCGAUCAGGGAAGUGUUGUACUGUACUUGCUUAGCAAACCCUAUUGUAGUCCCUAAAGCUGGAAAUAAGUUGCGCAUGUGUGUAGAUUUUAGUGAUCUUAACCGUGCAUGUCCUAAGGAUCCCUUCCCUAUACCCCGAAUCGAUCAAAUAGUAGAUUCUACAGCAGGUUGUGAGUCUUUGUGCUUUCUAGAUGCAUUCUCCGGCUACCAUCAGAUUUCGACGAGGAGAAAACAACGUUUAUCACCCCGGUUGGCUGCUACUGUUACACGUGCAUGCCUUUCAGGUUGAAGAACGCGGGCUCAACAUUCCAGCGCGCCCUGCGCGAUUAUCUGGGGCCCCAGCUAGGCCGGAACAUCGAGAUCUACAUGGACGAUAUCGUCGUCAAGCCACGGCGUAGGGACUCGCUCGUCGGCGACCUGCAGGAGACGUUUGACAACCUCCGCAGGAUCAAGCUCAAGCUUAACCCUGAGAAGUGCACAUUCGAUGUGGGCUCGGGGCACUUGCUGGGCUUCUUGGUCUCUCACAGGGGAAUCGAAGCCAAUCCACAGAAGAUCGAAGCGAUCGAGCAGAUGGAGGCACCUCGCAAGGUUAGAGACGUCCGGCGCCUCAACGGGUUCGUGGCGUCACUUGGGCAUUUCAUCUCAAGACUGGGCGAGUGAGCCCUGCCUUUCUUCAAGGUUAUGAAGAAGAAGGGUCCAAUCAAUUGGACUCCCGAGGCGGAAGCGGCGUUCCAGGACUUGAAGAGGUACCUGAAGUCGCCGCCCGUCCUCGUCGCCCCCAAGACGGGCGAGCCGUUGCUGCUGUACCUGACAACGACGGAUCAGGUAGUGAGCUCCGUGCUCGUUGCCGAAAGAGAAGAGCAAGUCCCGGGGGCUGAGAAGGAAGGGCCGGGGGCUACCGGUGAGGCGAAGGAACCCCCCGGCUACCCCCUCUGGCCCUAGAUCCCGGGGACAGUCCGCGCAGGCUACCCACCGCAAGCGGCUAGUGCAGCAUCCCGUGUACUUCGUUAACACGGUGCUGCGUGAUGACCGGGUACGGUACCCGCAGGUCCAGAAGCUUCUGCUUGGGAUCCUGCUUGCUUCAAGGAAGUUGCGCCAUUACUUUCAGGCGCACAGCAUCACGGUGGUGUUGGGGCUUUGCUUAGAGAGGGCCCUCACCAACCGUAAAGCCACCGGGAGGGUGGCCAAGUGGAGGAUGGAGCUGGCGGAGUUCGGGCUACGUUUCGCAAACACCAAGAGCAUCAAGAGCACCGCACUCGCUGACUUCGUCGCAGAGUGGACGUCGACGGGCAUAGAGGACGAAGAGCCGGAAGCGAGCCUUCCGGGCACAUUGGACGAAGGGUACUGGGUCAUGUACUUCAACGGUGCCUUCUGCUUGCAGGGCACCGGUGUCGGAGUGGUGAUCGAGUCGCCCACUGAGACCAGCUCAAGUUCGUGAUACAGCUCGACUUCGCCAACUCCACCAACAACACAACAGAGUACGAAGGGCUGCUUGCCGGGCUGCACGCGGCGAUUGCCCUCGACAUCAAGUGCUUGGCUGUUCGCGGGGACUCCCAACUCGUGAUCAACCAGGUAAAUAAGGACUACGACUGCCCCCAGAUGGCAGCGUACGUGGAGGAAGUGCAAAAUUGGAGUCCAAGUUCAAAGGACUUCGGUUUGAGCACGUGAAACGCAAGGACAACUUUGUUGCGGAUGAACUGUCCAAAUGGGCAGCGGAACGCAGCAAGGUGCCUCCUGGGGUGUUCGUGCAGAGGCAGUCGAAGCCCUCUGUCGACCCCAAGACAGUUGCCGGGGAAGCCCCUCCGGCAACUCAAACGACCUUGCAGUUGUGGGGGACCAUGCCGCCAAGUUGGUGGCAUACACUAGCCGGGAGCCACCCACCCUGGGGGACGGAUAUUAUUCGCUACCUCAAGGACGGGACCCUCCCGGAGGAAGACAUUGCCGCGGAGCGAGUAGCCCGGCAAGCUAAGAUGUAUGCCCUGGUGGACGGAGAACUCUACCGGAGGCGUUCUAACGGAGUCAUACUCCUCUGCGUGCCCCAGGAGGAAGGGCGUGCGUUGCUGGAAGAUAUACAUUGAGGCACAUGCUCACACCAUGUGGCCUCCAGGGCACUAGCUAGGAAAGCGUUCCGGCAUGGCUUCUCCUGGCCGAUAGCAUAGCCGAUGCCGAACAAUUAGUCAAGACCUGUGAAGCAUGCCAAUUUCACGCCAAGAAGAGCAACCAACCAGCACAAGCCCUGCAAAUCAUCCCGUCCUCAUGGCCGUUCGCGGUCUGGGGGCUGGACAUCGUCUGCAAGUUGCCAAGAACAGUUGGCGGCUACGAGUACCUGCUUGUGGCCAUCGACAAGUUCUCGAAGUGGAUUGAGGUGGAGCCUGUCCGAGCCGUCACGGCGUAGGCAGCCAUCAAGUUUUUCAAGGGCAUUGUGUGCCGGUUUGGUGUGCCUAACGGCAUCAUCACCGACAACGGCACGCAAUUCACUAGUGCGGUGUUCCAAGCUUACAGCGAGGACAUGGGCACUAAGAUUCACUUUGCCUCUGUUGCUCAUCCGAGGAGCAAUGGGCAAGUUGAGCGAGCCAACGCAGGAGUGCUGCGGGGGCUCAAGACGAGAACCUUUGACAAGCUCCAGGGCCACGGGAAACACUGGGUUGAAGAACUCCAGCCCGUGCUGUGGUCACUGCGGACCACACCGAGUCGGGCGACGGGUCAAACUCCGUUUCCCUCGUCUACGGGGCAGAAGCUGUGCUGCCCCUCGAGCUCAAGUAUGGGUCACCUUGGGUACGCGCAUACGGCGACAAGAGCCAACACACGGAGAGGAUUGAUGACCUUACCUUCAUCGAGGAGAUUCGAUGCCGGGCUGCUGUGCGAGCUGCAGGCUACCAGCAGGGACUCCGUCAUUAUCACGACAGGAGAGUCCGUCCCCGGGGGCUCGAGGUUGGAGACCUCGUCCUGCGCCGGAUACAAGAAACGAAGGCCGGGAACAAGUUGACUCCAAUCUGGGAAGGCCCUUUCUGGGUAGUGCAGGUGACCAGACCGGGGCUGUCUGGCUGGAAACCGAAGAAGGCUUGCCGGUGCCCAAUAGUUGGACCAUUGAGCACUUACGCAAGUUCUACCCGUGAAACGGUGGCGCCUUACCCAUGGGUGAUGCUGCGGCAGCGUGCCUCUUUAAGCUAGUGUAGCCGGACAAAGCCCGAUUGUAAUCCGCUAGCAAAAAGACGAAUAAAGAUAAGUGUUGCUUCAAUGAAUGUUAUCCUUUGCUAUUUGUCAAUGUUUCUGUCUCCUGCUCUAGGUCCACAGAAUUGUCUCCUCAUCCUUGGCUGUGAGCAGGGGGCUGCCGGAACCCCGAAAACCAAACUCGUUGCCGGGACGCCCCGGAACGAGGCCUAGCAGUUGCCGGACCCGUCUGCAACGUGCUACGUGCUAGGGAGGCACCAUGGGAACAGAAGGAUACUAACACCUAAGUCUGAGGUCGACUCUUCUGUGCCCAAGGGCUGGGAGGCAGGAGGUUAUCCAAUUUAUAUUGUUUUUCGUGCAUUUCGGAAAAAAAAUUACUAGGCACCUUGGGCACUGCAGGAAUCUGACAUGCAGGAUAGAGAUGAGGCAAAGGCACACUGUGAUGCUCGUGGGGUGGUCACGGGUACCGUCGUCUUUCGAGUAAGUUAUACAUAUAUGGCAAUUGCUUCGAGGCUUGAUGCAGGAAACUAAGACAGGGCCAGUGCCUCCACGCGGCGGUGGUCCCGGGCGUGUGGAGGCAAGAGCGGCGCUUCGGCUAUUUAAGGAGACCAGGGCAGGUGCAACACCAGCAGCGGGCAAGAAAACAAGAGAUGUCGCAGAGAGGCGAUGGUGGUGCAUCCCUCUGCGCUUGUCGCUGAGGGUGUUCCCACCAUCGCGGCCCUGCCACAUCUCUUAUGGAAUGACACCAGAAAUGGCGAUGCAGCGGGUGAGGGGCGUCAUGAAGACGUUGUGGCGGUGCAUGCCUCCGCGCAUGCCGCUGGAGGGUGCACUGCCACAGCGUCCUUGCCACGGCUCUCAACAAGGCGAAACAAGUCCAAAAAGAACGGGAAGCUAAGUAUCUCAUUUUGGGUCCUUGGUUUCUCCCUUUAGUAACACUGGCUUGCUGAGGUAAUCUCAGUCCCUGUGUUGCCGGAGCGUAGGAAGGACGCUUGCGGGGUGAGGAUGCCCCCCACACGUGGCUCGCGGGCCCGUCCCGGAGGCGUGCGCGCUGGGGUAGUUAACCCGCAGGCGGAGUGACUAACCGCUGCUGUUUGGUCCUAGGUCGGCACUGCGGGUCCGUCCCGGGUCCCCAGUCGGGCCAAGCACGUGGUUGGCGAGUCCCCGGGUACGCAGGGCUAAAACACGAGAAGGAUAGAGCCCCUCCCCGGAAAGCUAGUCUUAGGCAAAGAAGCAAGUAAAAGUAACAUUGGAUAUAUUGAAGCUUGAGCAAACGAGUUAACAAGUAACACUGGUGAUGACAAGGGAAAGCUAACAUAAAAAGUUCUAAGGCGCCAUGCGCCACUUGCAGGAAAACAGAAAAAAAAAAGGAAGGAAACUAUGUGGGAGGUGCUCCCGGGGUGGUUGCAUCAGUGCCAGGUGCAUCCUCGGCAUCAGGGGCUUCCCCGGCAACCUCCUCAGCAGCGGCUUCGUCUUCGUCGACCUUGCCCUGCAUUUGCGCCACCAUCUCGUCCUUGACGCCCUGCAUCGCUUCCCGAUGGGUCUUAGCUUCUUCCUUGUCCGACCAAGCUUCGAAGAUCGACUCGAACGGGAAGUCGGGAUGGGCUGAGUGGACCCGGGUGAGAAUUUGCCCGGCGACCUACUCGGCCGCAAGGCCGACUUGCCGGUCGGCCAUCACACAGCUCUGCAGGCCGCUCAGCCGGCCGACGAAGUCUGCGAAGAAUGAAGUGAAGCUCCCAUGUCUGCCCCAUCGAAGGAAGCCAUAGGGAUGUCGAAUCCCUGCAGUGCCUCCACCGCCGAGUUAGCCAGCUUCUUCAGCCUGGCCACCUCCCCUGCCCUGCGGGCCCGCAGCUCGGUGCACGCACCACGAGCCUCCUGGGCCUGCAGGUUGUGCUCGUGGCACUCGGACUUCAGCCUGCCGACCUCGGACGCCUUCUUGGUGUUGUCGUCGUCAACUUGCUGAAGUUCCUGCCGCACCAUGUCGGGCUCGCCCUAAAGGUACGAGCUGGCAUCUUGGGCAGCCUUGAGCUGCCCCGCAAGCUCGUGCUCCCGGGAGCGAGCCUAGUCCUGCAGCUCCUUCUCCCGGCGCGCUGAGGCUUCGGCUGCCGUUGCAGCCGCCAUCUCUAGCUCUCUGACCUCACGGCGGAGACGCUUGAUCUCCAGGGAGUAGCCCCUUAAACGCGUCCAGAGCCGCCUGGUGCUCUUCCUCGCUCUUGGCGUGAGCGGCUUUCACCAGCUCGAGCUCCCGCUGGUGCUCUUGCUUGAGAUCCCACAGCUGCUGGAGGAUUUCAGCCUCUGGCACCACUUGCACAGCGGGCGUCGCCCUGACUUGCCAUGCCCGCUGGAGCUCCUCCCGGAGCCGCUGCAGCUCGGUACGCUGCUCCUCCGCUUCCCGUCGCGCUGCGCCCAGCUCCGCCACUAUGCGGGCGUGGUGCUGUUGCGCGUCGUUGAAGAAAUCGAUGAACAUCCGCUGCUGCUGCUGGAUGUUGUCGAUCACUUGGUGUCCCUGCUGGAACACGCUGGGGUCGAAGGUGAUCCGACCCCAAGUCCGCCCGGCGAGCUCCCCUGCUCCUGGGCUGAAGGUGGCCCCGGCAGAGGAGGAGGACCCCGCCGCAAUCGUCUGCGAUCCCGAGGGCGCGUCAGUAUUUGGCGACGCGCUCCCGGCUUGGCCAAGCCCUGCUGCGCCUUGCCCGUCCGAAGGGGCGGGUUGGGGGCUUGGGGGCUUCUCCAGAGCGCUGUCGCCUGCCUCGGCUGGCGGAGGCUGCUCCGUGUCACCCGCCUCAAAUGGUCACGGCCCCGGCAGGCGCCGUGGCCGAUUGAUGAAGGGCUCCGACGGAGGCAACUUCCGUCGAAGCAUCGUCGUCGACGUCACCAAUGAGGUCGAUUACCCGCACCUCUGUAGGCGCGGGAGCAGCCAGAACUGCUCCGACAACUGCACGAGGAGCACCUGCGUCAAGCAUGGGAAAUGGCGCGAAUAGAUAGAAGAAACGCUGGAACCCACACGUACCUGCCGCCGGGCCAGUGCCCUGCGAUCUCGAAUCGGGGACCCUUGGGCAUCAGCAGCAUCUUGCUCGCCACCGCCCGAUGCCGGGCGUGGCUUCUUGGUUGGGGCUGCCGGCGACGCGCUGGUCUGCCCCCUCUUUCUCGACGAACUGGAAAGCACAAAAAUAGAUUAGUCAGGCACAAAGUAAUUUCGUGAAAUCAAGGGUGUUCUGGACAACAUUGGACUUACCCCGCCGGUUUGAGCUUGAGCACCCUCUCCGCCAGGGUGCUCCUCACCGUAGGGCCGCUUCGUGCGGGGGGUGCUGUCGGAGUCGCCGGGGUGGUCAGGGCGGCUACUGCAACCGCAUCGUUGCCGCCGGAGGCCCCAGUCCCCACGUCGCCGUGAGGCUCUUGAGGCUGCGGGCUGGCAUCCUGCCUGCUCACCCUCUCCGCCGCGGACCGCCUCACUAGGGGGACGUCAUCUUCCUCCUCGUCGUCCUCCGGCGCGACCCCGACUGUUGCCGGGGGAGCGUCGUCGUCGCCGUCGUCUUCAUCGUCUUCCCUGAGGUCCCCUCCGACGCCCAGCGAGGAGACGUCGGAGUCCGAGCCCUCAGCCCUUGUGGAGGCCUGGCCUAGGCCCCCUUUCCCCGAGUCGGCAGCCGGCUCUUGGCCCUUGCGGGGCCUAGGCUGCGGGGCGGAGGGCUGCGCAGAGUGGGAGAUCCCGGGCUCCCGGGUUCGGGAUCCCGGCGUGGAGCGGUUGCGCUCCAAGCGGGGGCAACCGGUAAGGUUCGUCCUCGCCGGUGAUGCUCUUCACCCAGAACUGCACCUCCCCCAGGAGGAGGUUCGUGUGCUGCAGCUGGGUCCGGUCGCCGGCCCCGGUGUACAUCCACGCCGGCUGUGAGCGCCGCUGCAGGGGAUCCACGCGCCUCCCGAUGAAGUGGCGCGCCACAUCCGUGUCUAUGAGCCCAGCCUCACGGAGCGCCUUGAUCUUUGCACAGAUUGGGGCCAGCUCCUCGUCCUUCUGGUCGCGGAGCGUCCAGUCGUCAGAGCCCUGCGGAGGCCCGAGGGGCUCCUCGUGGAACUCCUGGAGCUCGUCAAUGCGCACCCAGCACUAGUCACGGCGCCACUGUGCUCGAUCUUCUUCUUCCUCAACUCGAUGAAUUCUGACUUGAUCCUGUCGCGGAAUCGGAACACUACUCCCGAGGACAGGGGAGCCUUCUUCUCCACCCGGGUAGUAGUAGUGGCGGAAUAGUGCCACCGACGGCAUCACCCCCACGAACGCUUCACAGAGGUGUUGGAAAACGGCCAAUGUGAAGACGGACGUGGGGUGAAGCUGCGCCAUGAUGAGCCCGUAGGUCUCCAUGAUGGCUGAAAGGAAGUAGGAGUGCGGCGGCACGAACCCGGCGAGGAUGAACCUCCUGAAGAUCCGGAAGUAGUGCUCGUCGCGCGCCGCACUGACGGGGAGGACCCGCGUUGGCCCGUGCUCAUUGUGCUUGGUGGCGAGCGCCAAGACCAGCUUGUCGACUCCCUCGCCGUUGUACCCGGGGGAGAAGAAAGCGAACUUAGCCCGCAUUUCCUCAUCCAUCGGAGCUCGGUCUGACAGCUCCUUCUUGGCGGCCUUUUCGCGCAGUUCCCCUUUGCUGGUGCUCCGCUUGGGACGGUUCUGGCCCUUGGAAGACAUCGGCGGAGGUGGAGAGGUGAUUUGGUUGGAGUUGGGGCGCGGGGAGCUUGGGAGGAGGCAAUGGCAGGAGCGAGAAAUAGUGGGGAGUGCCUGCCGCCGGCCUUGGGUAUUUAUCUGGGCUGGCAGACUGCAACGAACACCCCCACGAUCGGCAAUAAAGAGCCUUAAAGAAUCGGAGAUUAAGAGGGGGGUGCGCGACGUGGCCUUAAUUCUCUGGUGAUUAAGGGGAGUAAGGCACGGAAUCGUGUGCCCGACCGUUCUGCUCGGAGGAGUAGAGCAGUAAAUGCGGCCCACAAGGCCGGGUGCUAGGGGGGACUCCCCUUGGGACCCACACGUCGGAUAGGGCGUAGACUGGCAACCGACCGAGGAUAGCACUUGCUGGGAGCUUCAGGGCUGCCGGCCCACGCCCGGGGACUACUGUCGUACUAGUGGUCCGCGGGGUCCCACUGAUACGGGACGCGUGGGUUGCUAGUAACGAAGCCCUGUCAAGAAGGCCUCCCGGGAAGCGAUGAGUCCGAGCAGCCUGCCUCGAAGAAACGGCCCUUGGUGGGGGAGAAGCUAAGGGUCGAGUACAAGAAUCCCCCGGGAACCACGGUCUCGGGCAUGCAGGCGGGACCCGCAGAACAGUGAAGACAGGACAAGACAGCGGGCGCAGUGCAUUUAAUGCAUUGACAGGAGUCUUAUCAGCAGGCCUAGUCUUGCUGAGCAAGGCUAGGGCGACUACCCUACGAACCAUUUUUUUCUACCGUAUACAGUAGACAGGACGCUGCAUGGCGUCCAGCGCAGAUCAACCAAAGUGUAUCUCGUGUGGCCGUGACACGCGUCUGGGAAACGUGUCACGUUGCAUGCUUAGGCACCAGUGGUAUCCCCUUGUCUAUAAAAGGAGGACCAAUGCCACCAGUCAAAGGGUUCCAACCCCAGUUAUGAGAACAUAGCAUCGCGUUCACCCAAGUAGCCAACCCGGAAACUCCCCGGGUGAUCUGUACGCACUCAAACUUGUGAAUUCAACUCAAAGCAGGACGUAGGGUAUUAUACCUCCGGGUGGCCCGAACCUGGGUAAACUCUCGUGUCUACACUUCGUGUCUAUCGCCACACCGGCGAUUGCCAGAGCGAUCACCUCGCCCUCCACCGAACCAAAAAGGGAGUGCUCGGCAUCCUCGAUGUCGGAGACCGUGCUCCGACACCGGUACAGCCCAACUGGGGGCCCACAAGGAAGUCUACUACGACUCCAGGAGUCUACAUACCAAAUCUUGCUACUCAAGAUUAGGAAGAUUAAUUAGAGUGCAACUCCUUAUUGUAACCGACUUGGACUCUACCUUAGACCUGGGUUCUGCAUAUAUAAAGGACCAGCAGGGGGAGCCAAGAAGACACCCCCAACUUAGAUACAAGUGGCCUAGACGCACUCGUCGACUCUGUGCUUCUAGACUCUGCGGCACCCCAUUGUAAUCGACUCAGUGCCUCUAGAUCCGACAAGCAGGACGUAGGGGUGUUACCUCAUCGAGGGCCCUGAACCUGGGUAAAUCGUGUCCCCCUGUCCUUGUUAGCCGAUGAGUUCGCCAACACACACUCGAAAUCUUUCCUAAAUACAAGUCCAUCGAUGUGGACAUUGUCGAAGUCACAUCUUCGUCAGCUGUUUAUCGUAAUUCAUGUAUCAUCGUACUCCUUCUCGGUGAUGCAAGAAUUCUCUUUCUUAAAAAUGAGAUUUGUUUUUGGUAAAACCGUAAGUUUUCAAAGUUCUGAAGAAUGCUACUUCAACGGAAUCUCCAUUUUAGCCGUAGUUUUCACGAAUCUUUUCGAACGGUAAAUAUCUUAUCCCGUUGAAAAAUCCUAACUGUACGGGGAAACCCUAGCGAAACUUUGGGAUAAAAGAUACCGGUGAGAUUCUCUCACUUUUUCACCUCCCUAUAAAAGGCCACGAUACCCCUCCAGGAAAAUUUACCUUCCACCGCAAAUUCCCUCCUCCUCUUUCGCCCAGAAGCUCUCGUGACUCCUCUCUCGCCACGACUCUGCUCUCGCCCGGACGAAGACUUCAAGCUUCACUCUUCAUCAGCGCCGUCGCUGAUUUGCCUCGAUUCGAGUCGGGAACUACAGGCAAGCGUUGUUUUUCCCCUCUUAGAUCGAUUCCAAGUAGCAAACGCAUCUUACUAUCCUUCAUUUGCUGCAGUAGAUUGACUUCUCUCGCCAAGUUAGGGCUUUGCGGUUAGGGUUCUGGUGAUUUCUCUGUUCUUCACCGAGCUCAUCUUAGCUAUACUUCAAAUCUUAAUUUAAUUCCUAAGAUUAGAUGAAUCCUCAAAUGUUCCGUAUAUUUCUUUGUUUGCGUAGAAUAAUUUACUCUAAGUUUCCGAAGUUCUAGCUAAAUCAGAUCUAGGUUGAAGCUCUCUAGUAGAAUUUCAGUUUAAAUCUGUGUAGCUGUCUUCGUUGAAGAACUGAGUAGUUAUUCUUCAUAAACAUGGUCAAUUUGCUUCAACUAAAAACCUCUAACGCAUUGGUGAUUUGUUCCAUUUGCGCCGACCUAAGGACUGAGUUCUCGUUUUCGCCAAUCCAAGAAACUUCGCGCUAACCGCUCGUGGGAGAAUAUAUGGGUUCCCCCUCGGCUUAGUACUCGUUUCAUAGCUCUUCCAUUUGGCAUUUAAAUUGCAUGCACAUAGAGAUUUGUGGAGACUUGUUGGUGACUUUGCAUUCAUAUAGGAUUGCGGCACUAGUCUGGAGUGGUCAUCCUGCGGGCUUUGAACCACUGCCAGCUGUCCUCGCAACUCUUGAGUCUGUACGACGCUUUGGCCGGGCUCUCGUUUCGGAUAGACUCAGUUGGGUGGUCCCUCUGAAUUAGUUGUGGAACUUGGAAACGUCGUGUCGCUCAAUCCAGCUAGCGCACAUUUGAGUGUGAGCACUCAAAUGUCGUGGUAUUCGUGGGUUGGUCGAAUGUGUACGAGUAAAUUGGUGCACCCUGCAGGGAUAAAUCUUUCGGAAAGCCAUGUCCGUGGUUAUAGACGACUUGGUUGGUCAUUACUUGAUCAUAAAGAACUUAACCAACUUAAUCUCUUAAACUUGAGUAGUAAUUAGGCUUAAUCAUGGAUAUGCUCAAAACUGCUUAAGUGUGAGUGUCCUUUGGAUUGCUUCCUCACAGGGUGUUGAGGGGGUGAUAUGAGGAUUGUGUUGUUUGGUGUUUAGUAAAUAGGUUAAUCACCUCACUUAGUAGACGCUUCUCAUCCUCUACUUAGACGUUGUCAUUAGUGUGUCUCUCCAGAUAUUGCUGCUGCUGCAUAACCCCACCAUAUUUAUCCAUCCUUUGAGACUUGUUGCAUAUUUAGUUUAGUUCUACCCGUAAGUCUUGCGAGUACCUUGUACUCAGUUGCUUUGCAACGUUGUUUUCUUCAGAGGUUCUAGUAGAGCAGGUGAGCCGCUAGCUUCUUCGUGGAGCACGACGUUGGAUUUGAUGUUUAGCCAGGAGAUCCAGAUCAGGUUCUGGGACUCGUGGCGGGUUUCCUUCCAGCUUCCAGCCUCUUCAGGCUAUGCUGUAUUCUUGUCCAUACUCGGGUAUAUUUCGACUUCCGCUGAUGUAAUGACGUAAUGUUGGGACAUGUGUCCUCUCUUUGUAAUAAUUGUUAUUCUGCUCCUUGUAUGAGCUUUGUAAUUACUCUCUUCCGUAGAGUUUGGUAAUGAUAUUCAUGUUGCAAAAACCCUGCGAUGAGCACAUUAAUGCAUGUAUGUAUUGAAGUGUUUAUCGUAGGUUAAGAACCUGAGGCUUGAAUUAUGCAAGGGUUAGCAAUUUGGGGCUAAAUUGCAUAAUUCCGGUCCCGGGGUCUUACAACUUGGUAUCAGAGCUAAACUGACUCUAGAAUUCCCUGGCUACUUUUGGUCGAAGUUGUGUCUAGAAAUCUAUUUUGUUCGUCUAAACUAUCUGAAAAUGUGAAAAUAGGCUAUAUUUUUCUUCUUUUCCACCCACCCACCCUUCUUGUUUUUGGAAAAGUUCCCUCUCGCCUAAGUUUUGCAAACUAAGUAUCUCGUGGGUUUUCCGUAGUACCUCAGGUGGUGUCUUUCUCGUCUCUUCUUUUACUUCAAGACAGAUGAAGACCUUCUACUUCUCUUCAAGCUAGUGGUUCUAUAUGUGUUAUAGACCAAGCUUUUCUUCUCUUUCGUUCGUCUCCUUCUCUUCUUCUUGACUCCCCGACUUGCCUACUUUCGGAUGGUUUCACAUUCUUUCAAUUGGCUUCGUCAGGUUGUCCGAUUUGACUCGCUGCGAAAACAACGCUGGUCGUUUGGUCAUGCCGCGUAACACAAUGAGUACAUCAAUCUGAUCUUUCCUUCCUCUUUCUGGCAUUCUAUAUUUGUUAUAGAACUUGCUUUUCUACCUUGGCUUUUGCCUUCCUUUUAACGACUUCAUGGAUCGCCUUCUUCUAGGUUGGUUGUUUCACAUGUUGUUCCUUUGUCCGUUGAGUCAAGAUCUUCUGUCAUCUCUGGCUAUGUUUUGCGAUGCCUUGGAUUACAUCGGAUUACAUUGGGAACCUUUGUACGUUGUGUAAGAAGAUUACCUUGAUCUCAACCAGGAGAUGUAUCGUGUAGUGGUUUACACUUAAGACGAUGAGCCAUCUGACGCAACACCACUUCAUGUUUUUGUGGCAUUGGAUAAUAUCGUUUGAGAUCGUAGCUCAAUGCCAUCCACAUCUGUCUUACCCUGCUGUGUAUAGAGUACCUCAGUAUGGAGAAGUCACUUUUCAAAUGCAUUCCUAGGGGAUACAUUCAUGAAGGAGACUUUACAUCAGAUUGUGCAAAGAGGCUAAGGAUCAUCUGAUCUAUGUUGAGAGCAUAGCUAAGUUGCACAUGAUGAAGGUGGGACCAACCAGAAUUUGCACUUCUAGCUUGGUCACACCCGUGAACGACAAUGGAAUGCUCUGUGUUGAUUGGUGGCUACUACAGACGUUGGGUUUUUCUCUAAGGAUGUGCUUUACUCUGAGAAACCCUAGUUCUCGUUUCCAACAAGUUGCUUGAUGUUGGUUGUUUUACCUUUGAGCGUGGUUUUCUCACCAUACUCACAGCUACAGCCAUCAUCUUUCGUGUUUCUAUGGCAAGUAAACGCCUUACGGUGUUCAUUUUUCCAUGAGACCACAAGCAAUUCCAAAUGUGUCCGUAACGCUUGAUCCUCGUUACUGGGAUUCAUGUACCCAUAGCACUUGUGUACUACUAUCCCGUGCGAUAUGUGAUGCAUAAUUGAUGUUAUGGAUCAAGUUUAUCUUUUGAUGAACUCGGAGCUUUUUCUUUCAAACCUUGUGUGUGCGACUUUGUAUCAGUCGUACAACUUGGUUAGACUAUAACUUGGCAUCUUUUGGAAUGUCACUUAUGGUCGCUUUCCUUUUUGUUUUGUCACUCAUGCAUGAUGCAAAAGUUGGCAAACAAACCUCUCCAAUCUCUAGAGCAUUCUUCUGUGUAUGAAUGACAUCUAGAUUCUUUCCCAAGCUUCUUUUUGUUCUCACCCGGAGCACAGACGAAGAUUUCCAAAGCAUAACAUCCAUUUGGAAUCUGUUUUGCUUUGACUUUCUUGCUUCUCGUUUUUCCAACUCUUGAACCUAUACCGGCGUUUUGUGACUUUCUGGAUAUUUUUCCUAAAGAUUUGCUAGGCAUUCCGUCUAACAAAGCAGUCGAGUUUGUUAUCAAACUAGAAUCAAGUUUAGCUCCAGUUUUCUAAUUGGCCUUACAAGAUGUUUCCCAAUAACUUGUUAAGCUCAAGAAAGAAUUGGAAGACUUUGAACAUAAAGGCUACUUCCAACUUAGUUCUUAUCCUUGGAACUAUCCACUCUGUUUGUGCAGAAGGGGAAUAAAAAACCAAGCGGUAAACUCACGCGCGACACUUCGUGUCUUUCAUCACGUCGGCGAUCACCGGAGCAAUCGCCUCGCCCUCCACCGAACCAAAAAAGAGGAUGUCCAACAUCCCCGGAGCCAGAGUUUCGUGCUCCGACAUCAGGCGCGCCAGGUAGGGGGGCAUGCAGAGAACUUCGGGUGACCGCCGGCGUCAUCGUCUGCACCAUCGGCUUCGUCAUCGGUUUCAUCAUCAGCGGCAUCGUCCACGACUAGCUCACCAUGCCACCCAAGAAGGCAGACGAGCCCCGGGUCGACUUGCGCGACACGCUAGCCAUGCACACUCGAUCCCACGACGCCGCACGUGUGUCACACGGUCAAGGGGACCAACGGUCUCCUCAACGGCCCCUACAGCAGCAACCGCAGCUGCCACCGCCACCUCCUCAGGCAUCAAUGGACAACCGUCCGAGGGGGCCUGCGGCCGCACGGGCAACCUCAACAUCGCGCGUGCCAGCCAGCGAGCUCACUCGCGGGCUGAGAACGCGCAGCGACAGCUGCGCCACGACCACAGCCCGUCGCGUGCGACGCCAACGGAAUCUCGGCCCUCGCAUCCGAGGGCACCGGGCGACCGGGCGGACGGCAGCCGGUCAAAAAACCGGCAGGCCCCCGCCCAAAACCCCGGCGGAAGCCAUCAUUGAGGCGCUUGUCAUGGUGUGCUACGAGCCACCGCAAGGCACGCCAGCUCACAACGCGUGGAGCGCGGAGCUUUAUGCCCUCCUUGCGCUCGCGGCCCAAUAGCCGCAAGGUGAGGGCGGCCCGGCCGGUUCGGGCCGUGGACAGAUCCCAGGACGCGGAGACGCGCCCUGUGUCUCGGGGCAUGGAGAGCAUCCUCCACCUUCGGGAGGACAAAGUGACGAGGGUCCCGAGGACGAGUCGGACUCGUCGCCGACCGUCACACCAAGUGACGUGCGGGGCGUCCUGAACGCCCACCUGCAAGAGGAUCUCCGCCCGCGCUUGCAGCACCGGCGCCGGCGCGAGGUGGAGCGCCCGCACCCAGAGGAGCAGGAAGACGCUCCCAUGGGCGCCGACGACGGCUGCGCCGCGUUCUCUCGCGAGCUGCGUCGGGUGACAUGGCACCGCAAGUUACAACGACGAGAUCGUGAAUCCGAAGGACUUCCUCCUGACCUACACAUUGGGCAUGCACGCCAUCGGUGCCGACGACAAGGUCAGGGCCAACUGGUUCCCUAUGGUCCUAAAAGGGUCAGCGAGAACCUGGUUGCUCAACCUGCCCGCCGGGUCCAUCGCCUCUUGGGCUGACAUGCGCGAGCAGUUUGUGAACGCGUUCCAGGGUGACUACAAGCACCUGGGAACCAUGGCAGAGCUGCACACGGUAGUGCAGAAACCGAGGGAGAUGUUGCGGGACUUCACCAAUAGGUUCUCCAGCAUCUCUUACUCCUUAUUGGACUCGGACUCGAACUCGCGGCUGAAAACUAUAACUUGCUGACUCGAUGUAGGGACUCGGUGUAAGAUAUGGUGGCGGCAGGAGAUUAUGGCGGUGGUGUGGCAGAAAGUUUCGCGGCGGAAGAUUGAUGAAGGAAACCUGCGUCACACGAAGAACAAGAAAACCAAAAGCAAGUUCGAUCUAGUAGAAAAAAUCUGAAAAACGAUCCAAUCUAUACCAGCAACUCGACACGAUUAAUGCAGCAAAGAUUCAACAAUGCAAAUACUAAUGUGAAAAUUGCAAGGCUCA